GCUGCUUCCCGCUGAAGUAGCUGUCGGUGUGGUUCCUCUUGCUGUGAUUGGACACUUGAGUCAUCAUCAUCUUCCUCUCGGGCUACUGCUGCUGGCUAUGCGUCCGCCCCCUUUUUUCCUGCUGAAAACCAGGAGCGUUUCUGUAUGACUUCGGUCCGGAGUAAAAGCUGACUUUUACAACUGUACUCGUUGGUUCAGAGGUCGGUUUCAUGGAAAUCACCAUCCCUUAUUCUAUCCAGGUUUCAGUCUCAGACAAACAAAACCUAGCUUUAGUUUUUUUAUGAGCUCCUACUCAACUGCUACGCAAUUAACAGUAAUGGAACGGCAUGACAAGGGGCGGUCAAAGGUAUCAUGAGCGUCAAGAAUCCUUCUUUUCUCCGGCCGAAAGACAGAAACUUUUUGUUCUAUGGAAACUAAACAAUCCAAACUGUACCAGGGAAAAUGGAAUCUCUGGAUUGGUACUCAACUGCCCUCCAAAUUUUGGUACGAGUGCUGGCCUAGUAUUCCUUGGCUGCCAACUUGCAUUUCCCAAGCGGCCGCGUGCAAUCUUUCAUCAAUUGACAACUUUGUCCGCUUCUAAUGCCGCCAGUUGGGUACUUGUCCCUUAUCUGAAGCUUCUUCUUUGGCCCUUAUCUGAAGGUUUCUUCUUCGUCAGGCAGAAUGACCACUAAAUUGAGUUACAGAGGGGUAGGGCAAAGAAAAGUUGUACUCCUAUUCGCAGUCUAUACUUUAACCUUAUCACGAGAUUAAGAGGUCUUCUCUACCCAGUUGAGCUAACCAACGUUAUCAGGAAGCAGGCCGGGUCAAAGCUAAUUAAUAAUCUAGUUUCAUCCUUAUCUAUCAGCACCAGAUAACGUGCGGCGGUGCGGGUCCGAAACACUUGCAAGGACACUUGCAGGGAUAUCAUGAGCACUUGGUUACAGACGCAUGUGUACUGUGUUACGAAGAAUAUUAUGCACAUUACACAGUUAUAAUUACUCCCUCCGUCCCAUUAUAUAAGAACAUUUUUGAUAUUAGUGUAGUGUUAAAAACGCUCUUAUAUUAUGGAACGGAGGGAAUAUGUCUCAUGCAUGAAACUCAAUAUUAUGUUCAGUGGCAAGGACGCAGUGGUGUUACCUUGCAGAUCGGGGUUCUACUCCCGUCGAGAGGAAAUUAAAUUUCCGCGAUCUCACUGAGUUAAUUUCUUCUAUAAAAAUGUCUUCGGUGCUAGUGCCCAUGAAUCUCAUUUUUUUUAAUAUGAUGUUCAUCUUGAUAGAAAUAGUCCUAAGAACUGUUGGGUCCACCGUGUGUUAAAAAUGAACUGAAGCCCGAGUAUUAAUGGUAAACUAACGGUAAUUCAGGUCUGAGCCCAAGAUCAUCUACACCUGAUGAAUGGUAAAUAAAUAAGAUAAUAAAAAGACUAGUAUUUUUUUUUGCAUCGAUGAUGUGUGAGUGUGUAAGGAGCAUGCAAAUUUUCGGGGUGUGUGGACAUUCAAGGAGUUCAAGGAAAAAAUAAGACCGAAACGGGCCCAAACAAUGUAUAUUUUUGAAGUUCCUUUCACGACCAAAUUUUAUAUUUUGUUGCCACAACCACCUUGAAUGUUCAAACAUCACGAACUUUGCAAACACAUGAUGCAUUCGAGCAUCUUAAAAGCCAAAACAUUUCAUAUUUUUUUACUAUUUUAAAUGAUUCUGCAAUUCAUGCCUACUCGCCUAGACACAGAUGCACCUGCGCAGUGAAUCGUUGCAUUUUACCUAUAGUUUCUCAAUUUAUUUCAAUGUAACUACUCACUCCGUUCGGGUUUGUAAGACUCAUACAUAUAAAAACUUGACCAUUAUUUCAAUAAAUAAAAACUGGCUAUAUAUAUGUCCACAAAAAGUAUAGCUCUAAAACCAGAUUCGAAAUUAUAAUUUAUGACACUGAAUAUCAAAUUAGUGAUCAUUUUUAAGAAAGAAAUGUGUCUUAUAAACCCGAACAUAGGGAGUACCAAUGUACGCUCGCAAAAUAAUAAUUGUAAAACAUGUGUAUUACUCCCUCUGUUCCUAAAUAUAAGUCAUUUUAGAGUUUUCACUACCAGACCUCAUACGGAUGUAUAUAGACAUAAUUUUAAGUAUAGAUUAAUUUAUUUUGCUUCGUAUGUAUGUAGUCAUUUAGUGAAAUCUCUUAAAAGACUUGUAUUUAGGAACGGAGGGAGUACAUACUAUGAGAGCUUGCACUUUACAGCACAAUAUUUGUACAUGCACGGUAGGCAACGAACUUAAAUGAUCAAUCUCCAUCGAUCGAUCCGACGGUAGAAACAAAGGUGAUCGACGACGUCCUUGCGCGUGUGGCUGCCUCUGGCUGGUGACGAUCAACUAGCAUGAGCACCACCACAUAGGUGGCCAGCAUAGGAGUACACUCCGUCAUCACGUCCCGGCCGGCCAGUCCGGGGGCCCCAUCCUUCGGUUGGGAAGGAAGGAAGACAACAAGGUGCCAGCUAAUGUAUAGUUCAGGGUGGCCAGCGUGCAGUGACAUCGGUGUACCCCGCAGCUACCUUCCAUUUGUGCACCAUUCCGGGGAUGAUUCAAUCGGGCUACAGGCCCAUUGACUAAGUACAGGAGCAACGGGCUUUGUUUGGACCCUGUCAAAUUUAGCUGCUUGCUAGGGCGCCGCACCUGCAUGCCUUGAUCAUCCCAUUUGGAAAAGCAGCGAUGCAACUCUAGGAGUAGUGUAGUCCUACUGUUUACACUAGGGAAAUUACUUUGGUUUCUGUCAUUUCACCGGCUGGCUAGCUUUGGUUUCACUUUUUGCUGUAAAGAUGUUAUGGGCUUUUGUAUGGAUGCAUGCAUGGCUUGGUACACACUUUUUCUUUACUUGUGAGAGAUGAGAUGAGAUGAGAUGAGGAAAAGGGAGGAGCGAGCAGGUGGAUGAAGUGUGGAAGGAAGCUGGGAAAGAAGAAAGGACAAGGCGCUUUGUCCCGUCGAUGAUGCGAUGCUGGUAACAGAAACCAUGAUUGACGAAUUUGUCAACUAGCAUGGCAUGGCAUGGCAUGCACGCACGCGCUCGAGCGGUAGGGCUUUCCCUUCCCUCGUGUCUCCAUGCCAUGGUGUAGCACAGUACUGCACCCACUGUUGCCUUUUUCUUUUUCUUUCGGAAUUAGCAUUACUGCGUGUUUGUACUCCAUAAGAGUACGUUUUGUCACUGGUCUACCGGCCGGCCGUGAUGAAUGCUGCUGAGUGCUGAGUACGUACUUGCCUCGUCGCGACGCAAUCACGGGCCGGGGUGCUUGUUUAUGUUCGUGUGUGUGCGUAUAUAUCCGGCGCCUAAUCAACCACCCUGGCGCUUAAUUAAGGCCUCGUCUGGUCGGGGUCGGGGUCGGGUCGUGGCUAAUUAAUCCGGUCGCCGACGUAGCUAGAUGUCCACCCAGGAGCCAGCUGUAGGGAGAGCCCUCGCCCGCUCCCGCUGCGCCUGCUGACACGUACGUACGUACGUCUACGCGUCUGUACCUCGCGCCAUACACACGCCACCGCCUGCUCCUCCGUUUCCCCUCCCUCUCUCUCUCUCAAAGAACGGACGGUGACAAGACCGCCAUGGCUGGUGUGCAGCUAUGCUCUUAAAGUCUGCCGGCGCCAUACCAAGUUAAGCCAAGCAAGAGGAAGAAGAAGAUGUCUCCGUAAUCCGUAUGACUAGCUGUAUCAGCUAGCGAUCGUUCGGUAGCUAGCUAACUGGCACGGGGGGAGAAGUAAUUAACAGAUCGAGGCAAACGUAUAGCAAACUAAGAGACUAACUGCAUGCCUGCAUCAAGCGAAAGGGCUGGUCUUACCUGCAGAGGCAGUUUGAUAUAGGGAGACCCAGACUCGACUCGACUCCACCGGCGGAGUUGCGCCGCCACGGCAGCGAGCUCCGACGCCUCCUCGCCNNNNNNNNNNNNNNNNNNNNNNNNNNNNNNNNNNNNNNNNNNNNNNNNNNNNNNNNNNNNNNNNNNNNNNNNNNNNNNNNNNNNNNNNNNNNNNNNNNNNAGCCAGAGGCAAGGUCCGCGCCCCCAGCAAGGCCGCUCGUCGCCCAAAAAGAAGAAGAAGGAGUUGACGCCCGAGGAGCGGGCCAUGGAGUUGCCCAAGAGGAAGGGCGGGAGGCACGCACAUGAUGCAAGGGGCAAGGCAGCUGCCGCCGUCGCUGCGCAGCAGGAAGACACCAAUGCUCGGGUGAAGGCGACAAUGAUGGAGGCCUUGUUGUACCUAGGGGUAAACACUAGCCAGCACGAGCUUCUCAACGCCACCAUUGCCGUGGCCGCGGCCAGCAUGGGCUCGUCAGCACAUCCUCGGAUGAUGCUGCCGGAGUCGCCGCGCGCGUCUUGCACGUAGCCAAUUCCCGGCUUCCACGUAUACCCACAAGGCAGCCGCUUAUGUGGGGAAUGCUCGCCGGAGGUGAGCAUCGUGGCCCCUUCCACGCCCGCGUCGGUGACCAUCGACCUCAACGCCGCAUCGAUGGCAGCCGGAUCAUCGUCCGGAGGGAUGAGGAAACACGAGCACGAGAUGCCAGCCGACAUGCUCAUCGACGUCCGCAAUCUGUUCGACGGAAUGCCGGGGGCCGUCGAUGAUGACACGACCAACUGUUUCCUCGAGAACAUGAUCUUCGAAGGUGCGCUGGCGGCUGAUGCGUACGAUCCCGAUGAGACCCAAGGCCAGGACGGCCGAGCGCCAUUCACGCAAGCCACCAAUGAUCCACAUGACGCCUUCAUGCAAGAUCAGGUCGGCCUAGACGGCUUCUCGCUCGACCAUGAGUUCCCGGAGGACUACGACCUUGAGGAGGAGGACGAUGACAUGGACAUCGACGAGGAGUCUUUGUUCGAGGAGGAGCUCGCCAACCAAACUGCUGUCGGGGCGAAGCCGAAGCGCAAGAGCAAGUGGACGAAGGCAUACACGCCGGCUGAGGACAAGCUCCUUUGUGAGUGUUGGAGGGACAUUGGGCAAGACCCGAAGAUCGGCACCGAACAAAAGUGGGUAGCCUUAUGGACUCGUGUGCAUCGUGAGUUUCAUGAGCGCAAGAAGUUUCCCCCGUACCAAAUGCAAAGCAAACGUGGAUGGGCGUCACUUUCAAAGCGUUGAAGGGUGAUUCAACAAGAGUGCAACAAGUUUUGUGCCACCUAUGAGAGCAUCAAGGCAUGCCCCGUGAGCGGCCUCGGCAUGCAAGACAUGGUAUGCAUGUCCUCUCAUUCCCUUUUGGUGCCACGCUUUUUCCCGUGGAUUGCGUGUCCAUUUGCUCACAUAUGCUUGCUUGGUUUGAAUUGUAGGUGUUUCAAGCUUUGGAGGCAUUCAAGGUUCAGCACGACGGCAAAGCCUUCCAUCUCGCCCAUUGUUGGACUAUCAUCAACGGGGAGGAUAAGUUCAAGGCGCAAUAUGUCGCCCUCUUGGUGCAUACAGGGAAAGAAGCUGUGCAGGACCAUGGUGACGUCAAGAAGGCCCGGCCGCGGGGGAAGACCAACUCGAAGAAGGAGGACAUGCAGGACACGACGUCGAUCACCUUGCUUGAAAAGGUGGAGGGCAUGAUAAGCAAGAAGGACUAAAGGGAGGAGAAGCACCGGCAAGAAAAGAAAGAGCAAAUGCAUGCCUUCAUGGAAAUCCAAAGGAGGAGGCUCGAGAUGGACGCGGUGAGGCAAGCCAAGAUGCUUGAGUUGGAGGAGGCGAAGCAAGCCAAGAUGCUCGAGAUCGAGUCUACCAACGCCAGGACCAAGGUGAAAGAAGUGGCCUUCGCAAGCAUGAAGACGGGCGCGGAGGUCAUGAAGGUUAAUCUGAACACCGUGUCGUCGAUGAAGAGGCUUUGGUUCAAGAAGAUGUAGGCUGAAAUGCUCAAGUUUGACCAGCUGUGAUCUGCGACGAAGAUCACAGAACCUUUUUUGUAUGCCGGCAAGUGUGAUAACAUGACCACGGGCCGACCUGCCCUGGUCGAAUUCCCGCCCCUUUUGGCCUGCUGGCAAGUGUGCCAGCAUGAACUGCCUUGUGGUUUUAAUGUAGGUUGGCAAUGCAUGCCGGCCACUGGCAUGGUGCCGGCAUGAACUCUUGGGAAUUGGCAUGCUGGCAUGUUUUAUCUAAAUGUGUGGACAUAAAAUGGGUUGCGUGCGUUGGUCGCGCAGCUGACCCAAAACGAAAAGCGGGCGGACGCCGUGCGGGCGGGCGACCAAAAUGGACUAAAAUCGGACAAAACCGUCGUCCGUUUGGGUCGACCGGUUGGAGUUUCUCUAAGAGAUGUUAAAAUUCUUGUUCAUCUAAAAAAUUAAAAAGGUAUGGUGAUGAUGUGUGAGCAUUUCUAUUCCUUGUUGAAAUCCUAUUAUUGUUUUGAGUUGGAGUCGCGCGAUGGUUAACUCUUACCAACCCUCUCCCUCGGGGCAUGCGAGUAGUACUUUGAUUUGUGAUAAAACUAAUAAAACUUUGCAAUAAGUAUAUGAGUUCUUUAUGACUAACGUGAAACCAUGGACAUACGCACUCUCAUAUCCUCAUAUUUGCUAGCCUCGAUCUUCGAUAUCGUGCAUAGCCCGUUGUCACCUUGAGGAUGAGCGCAACUUUCACCGAUGCAUCCAAACCGCAUGACAUGACACGCUUUGUUGCACAUAAACCUUUUUAUAUCCUCGUCAAAACAUCCACCAUACCUACCUAUCAUGCCAUUUCCAUAGGGGAAAGUUGAUUUUAUACCCUUAGUUGUGUCCCCUCGGCAGGUUUGCCCUUAGUUUUGGAAAACCCUCGUUCUUGCCCAACUUACUUCAGUUUUCUUAUGCUUUUGCCCUUUCAACACGGCUCCGUCCAGUCAGCGCCGUUUGACCGCUACCGUCGCCAGAUUUUGGACAUUUUUGCCCAUGUCGUUGGCUCGCUGCUAACCCAAUACCCCUUUGUCAUGAGCUAGCUCACGGGAAAAACAGAGGUCAGGAAGGAGCAUAAAAAUAGGAGGGAAAAGCGGGCGGCGGGAGAGAAAGUUGUGGGUGCGCGCGGCGAGCUCGGGCUCAUCCAACUUCCGAGUGGUCACCCGAGAAGUAAGUAAUGUGCUGGAUUUCGUGAUCCUCCACCCCCGCCCUUUCAAUCUAGUUUUCUAGGGUUUGUGACAUUUAGGGGAAUUUUUAACCUUUUGUUUUAGGCCGAUGGGGUCGGGAUUGUGCAGCAUUCCUCGGAGUUUUAUCUUCCCAACGAUUCCUAUUCUGGAUUGGAGUUCUUGUCAAAGCAUCGCUGCCCAGGUCAUGGCCUUGUUCCUGCCCAUCGUGUAUCAUGGGGAGGUGCUAGCAGUGGCUGCCACUUUUUAGGUUGUCCAUUAGAUGCAACUUUUUUUGAAUUUGAGUCAUAUAUAGUUUUUGGUUAUGCCUACUUUCUAAUAUUGUUUGUUUGAUCUGCAUUUAGUUACCCAAAGAGUGUCAAUGGGUGGUUUGGGUUGACCCAGCUCUUCCAUUGCGCGUAGCCCUUACUUUUCAAGAUUUGCAUACAAAGGUUGAAUAUAGCUGGAUCAAAUGGCACCAUUUGAAGAAGCAAAACAUCGAGCUGGCAAGGAAGAACAUGACUUUGAAGAAGAAACUUAGGGGGAGAGAUGAGAUGCUGCUAUUAUGGGCAUGAUGACGAGUUGGUGAAUAUACUUCUCGCUCCUCAUUGGUUACCCCAAGUGGAAGGUGGAGAUGUAGUCAGCAGCAAGCUUUCCCUUACACGAAGACUGUAAGGUUUAUCGAACCAGGAGGACUCCUAGGAUCAACAAGUAGGUGUCCCCUGCCCUGGCACAAGCAGAAGACGUGGACCUGCACACACAAAAAAACUUUACUCCCAACGAGUAUAUAGAGGUUGCCAAUAUCCCCGGCCUUGUAGUUUGCAAAGGAUCAAAACACAAGCGGGAAUGGUGAUAGUGAUUGCAACGGAAAAGUAAAUGAAAUCAAUAAAUGAUGGAUGUGUAAGCAAUGGUGGUGAUAUGGACCGGAGUCACAUGAUGUUCACUACUGAUGUCUCUCUCCCAAAAGACGAUAAACAACUAUGCUUGGGUAAACAAAUUACAGCUCGGCAAUUGACAGAAUUAUGAACGCACCGCAAUGCUAAUUAUGCUACUUGAAAGUUAGAGGCUCAAUAGUAAUGUGCAGUACGCCAAGACAGGUAGACCGUUUAUUCAUCAGCACUACUUACUAAUCAUCCACCUUGAGAUAUCUAUCCAGAACAUCUUGUUGGUAUUAAGUUGCGAGCCCCACCCAAAGUGUAAACUCAAAGCAACGUACAACUGCAUUAACGAACUAUGAGUAAGGUAAACAAUCCUUGCAACAGUGGUCACAAGCACCGUUGUUUUCUCCCUGGUGGCAACAACACAUCCCCUAGUCUCAUGUUUCAGUCACUCAAGCUAGACAUUAGGGGGCAUGAACCCGCAAUCAUGCAUAACGCUCCCUCUUGGAGUUACAAUCUACUACUCGGUCAAAGCAACACAAAGCAACGGAGAACAUGCAUGAAUCACUAAAGAACAUAAUAUAAAAGGAUAAUCAAAUAUAUAACUCAUAACAAUCUGAACAUAAUCUCAUAAUCCAUGGAGCCCAACAAACCGAGUAUAGCAACAGUAGGAAAAUUACAUAGAUGCCUUGAUCAUGUAGGGCAGCUCACAAGGGCUAACCAUGGAAGCACAAGAUUGGAGAGAAGACAUCACAUAGCCACUGGUCACGGAAUCAUGGUCCAAGGAGGACUACUCACGGCACGUCCGGGAAGCGUUCAUGGCGAUGGAGAAGCUCCCGGAGGUCAAUCCUCCCUCCGACAGGGUGCCGGGAAGAGGUCUCCUGACGCUCCCGAUCUUGGAAGUGCUGCGGCGGCGGAAUGAUGGAGAAAUGCGCGAUUCUGGAUAUGAUGGAAGGGUUUCCUGUUGGAGGAGUAAAUAUAUGCCAAAAGAGGGCGUCAGAAGAGGUGGGCCCCACCCAGGCGGCAUGUGGGCGCGACCAGGGGCCAGGCCGCGCUGGGAGGUCACCUGGGCAGCCCGUGGCCCCCUCUGGCCCAUCUUCGGUGAUGUGGAAGCUUUCGUUACGCUGAUUUUUAUAUAUUUUUCUCGGGAUUUUUGGGGCUCCGGAAAAAGGGUAAAAGCCCAUGCAAAAAAGACAUCAGCAAAACAUAUAACAAUGUCCAAAUAUGUGUAAAAAUAAACUGACAUUGGGUGCACUGAGUUAGUAGGUUAGUCCAAAUAUGUGUAAAAAGAUAUAAAAGUGUAGCAAAACAUAUAACAGUGUCACCCAAAAGAUCAUGGAACAAGCAGAAAUUAUAGAAGCGUUUAGGACGUAUAAUGGCACUGUUGUUUAUGGGACUUAUUAUGUUAGCUGUAUCGGUACGGUAGAUGUACUGGUAUGUGCACUUAACAGUGUCAACGACAAAUCUUAUGUGAUGAUGUUAUCAUGUGCACUUGAAUGUGUUGAAGACAAAUAAAUCUUAUGUGACAACACAUUGAAUAAUAUCAAACAUUAAAGUUCAUAGCAACAUCAAUUGCAUAACAUACUACAACACCAAGUUCAUAGCAACAUCAAGUGCAUUACAGAACAUACUACAACACCAAGUGCAUAAAGCACUCAGAAGUUCAACAACAAACUCCAUAGCCAUUUGAUACGUCUCAAACGUAUCUAUAAUUUUUGAUGGUUUCACACUGUUAUCUUGUCAACUUUGGAUGUUUUAUAUACCUUUUAUAUCUUUUUUGGGACUAACUUAUUAAUUCAGUGCCAAGUGCGAGUUCCUGUUUUCUGUGUUUUUGACUCUUUUCAGAUCUGUUUUUGGAAUGGAGUCCAAACGGAAUAAAAUCCCCGAAAUAAAAUUUUCCAGAACAAAAGAAGAUCGAGGGACUUGAAGGCCAAGGCAGGGGGCCCACAGGGAGCCCACAAGCCCUGUUGCCGCGGCCAGGGGGGCCACGGUAACCAAGCUUGUGGCCUCCCUAGCGCUCCCCUGCCCUAGCUCUUUGGCCUAUAAAUUCCCUAAAAUCGCAGAAAAAAUCAGGGCAUCCACGAAAACACUUUUCCACCGCCGCAAGCUUCCAUUUCCUCGAGAUCUCAUCUGGAGACCCUUCCCGGUGCCCUGCCGGAGAGGACUUUGGAGUUGGAGGGCUUCUACAUCAACAUCAUCGCCUCUCCAAUGACUCGUGAGUAGUCCACUUCAGACCUACGGGUCCGUAGUUAGUAGCUAGAUGGCUUCUUCUCUCUCUUGGAUCUUCAAUACUAGAUGGCUUCUUCUCUCUCAUGGAGAUCUAUCCGAUGUAAUCCUCUUUGGUGGUGUGUUUGUCGAGAUCCGAUGAAUUGUGGAUUUGUGAUCAGAUUAUCUACGAUUUAUAUUUGAGUCUUUGCUGAUUUCUUAUAUGCAUGAUUUGAUAUCCUUGUAAGUCUCUUCGAGUCUUGGGUUUUGUUUGGCCAACUAGAUCUAUGAUUCUUGCAAUGGGAGAAGUGCUUGGAUUUGGGUUCAUACCGUGCGGUGAUCUUUCCAAGUGACAGAAGGGGCAGGAAGGCACGCAUCAUGUUGUUGCCAUCAAGGGUAACAAGAUGGGCUUUCAUCAUAGAUUUGAGAUUGUUCAUCUACAUCAUGUCAUCUUGCUUAAGGCAUUACUCUGUUCUUAUGAACUCAAUAUACUAGAUGCAUGCUGGAUAGUGGUCGAUGUGUGGAGUAAUAGUAGUAGAUGCAGAAAGUAUCGAUCUACUUGUUUUGGACGUGAUGCCUAUAGAUAUGAUCAUUGCCAUAGAUAACGUCAGGACUUUGCGCGAUUCUAUCAAUUGCUCGUCAGUAAUUCGUUCACCCACCGUCUACUUGCUUUCAUGAGAGAAGCCACUAGUGAACACUACGGCUCCCGGGUCUAUUCCCAACUAUCGUCUCCACUUUUACUUUUACUUUGCUUUGUUUACUUUUUGCUUUCAGUUCUCACUUUGCAAACAAUCUAUAAGGGAUUGACAACCCCUUCAUAGCGUUGGGUGCAAGCUCUUUGACUCGAUCCUCCUACUAGAUUGAUACCUUGGUUCUCAAACUGAGGGAAAUACUUACCGCCGCUGUGCUACAUCACCCUUUCCUCUUCAAGGGAACACCAACGCAAGGCUCCAAGGCCGCGGGGGAAUCCUUUGCAUAUUUGCCAAGGAAGUCCCUAUAGGCGUAGCCCGCAGCAGAAGGAUUUCUGGCGCCGUUGCCACGAAAGGUCUAUUGUCGCAGUAGCAGUGUCUUGCUCACUUCCCCAAUGGGAGACAGCUUUUGCUAUGCCGUACAACUCUGCUUCCAACAGGGGGAGAAGGUCUCCAACAACACAGCGGAGUACGGGGGCCUCAUCGCCGACCUCAAGGCAGCGGCGGCCUUGGGGGUCCAGCGCCUCACCGUGAUGGGUGAAUCUCAGCUUCUCGUCAACUUCUCCAACAAGGAGUACACACCCAAGGACAAACAUAUGGAGGCGUAUCUGUAGGAGGUACGUAAGAUUGAGAAACUUUUUCAGGGCCUGGAGCUGCAGUACGUCCCGCGAAGCAAAAACGAUGCGGACGACGUCGCCAAAAGAGCUUCGCGUCGCGAGGCUCCGGAACCAGGCAUUUUUGAGGAGCGAUUCUUCAAGCCUUCCGCGACGCGAUCACCUGAGGACCCGGUACCGCGCGGAGAGGAGCUCCCCCCAGCACCGCCAUCGGGGGCUUCGGACUGUGGCCAGGCCUUGGGGGCUCGACUUCUCCUAGCCCUGGAGGCUCAAGACGAUUAUUGGAUGCAGGAACUCGGGGCAUAUUUACUCCACGACAAAUUGCCGGAGAAGGAAGAGGACGCAGAACGCGUAGUACGACACGCCUCAACUUACUGUGUGCGAGACGGCGCCUUGUACCGCAGGCGCCCGAACGACGUCACGCUGCGGUUCAUUUCCAGGGAGCAGGGGCGCGAGCUACUGGCCGACAUCCACGGAGGGGACUGCAGACAUCACUCCUCCUCGCGCACGCUCGCAGGUAAGUCGUUCAGGUCAGGUUAUUACUGGCCUACAGCUCUGGACGACGCCACCGAGCUGGUCAGAUCUUGCUAGGCCAGCCAGUUCCAUGCCAAGAAGAUCCACCAGCCCGCGCAGGGCCUCCACACCAUUCCGCUCUACUAGCCUUUUGCGGUGUGGGGGCUGGACAUAUUGGGGCCCUUCCCGCGGGCCGCGGGAGCUUUCCGCUACCUCUACGUCGCCAUCCACAAAUUCACCAAGUGGGCGAAGGUGGAGCCCAUGCGCACCAUCCCGGUCGGGUCUGUCGUCAAGUUCGUCAAGGGCCUCGUGAGCCGCUUCAGCGUCCCCAACUGCAUCAUCACUGAUAACGGUUUGCACUUCACCAGUCAACUCUCUAAGAUUUACUGUGCUAACCUCGGUACAGAGAUAUGCUACGCAUCUGCGACCCAUCCGCGGAGCAAUGGCCAGGCGGAGCGCGCCAACGCAGAGGUCCUGCGGAGUCUCAAAGUGAGGAGCUUCAAGAAGAAGCUCGGAGCUUGUGGCCGGGGUUGGGUCGAUGAGCUCCCAUCGGUAAUGUGGUCCAUCCGCACCACUGCAACCAAACCCACCGGUGAAACCCUGUUCUUCCUCGUCUACGGAGCACAGGCGGUCCUUCCCCACGAAAUCAAGCACCACUCCCCGCGGGUCUUGGCGUUCGAUGAGGAGCGUGAGGAGCCUGCGCAGGGGACGAACCUCAUACUUGGAGAGGAGGCGCGCCGUCGGGCCUCUCUCCGAGCCGCGAGGUACCAGCAGGCCUUGCGGCACUACCACUGCUGCAACAUCCGCUCCAGGACCCUCGAAGUCGGCGAUCUCGUCUUGAGGCGGGUCCAAUCCAGGGAAGGCUUGCAUAAGAUUUCGCCCAUGUGGGAGGGCCCAUUUAAGGUCGUCCCCGUCUCUAGGCCCGGCUCCAUGCAUCUGGAUACUCAAGAUGGAGUUCUCAUCCAGAACGCCUGGAACAUCCAACACCUCCGCAAGUUCUACCCAUCACGACUCUGCACCGCCCGUGCACUGCCUCCGCACCGCCUCUGCAUCCACCCUCGAUCGUCCCUCAAUUCUUCCGGAACCUACUCCAUCCCGUGACACUCUCACGUAAUAACGAGCCGAGGCUGUAUAUGCCUAGCCCCCCCCCCCCCCNNNNNNNNNNNNNNNNNNNNNNNNNNNNNNNNNNNNNNNNNNNNNNNNNNNNNNNNNNNNNNNNNNNNNNNNNNNNNNNNNNNNNNNNNNNNNNNNNNNNCAGGGAGAGAGGGAGAAUGUGGGAGAGCAAGUGAGGGCUCAGGGGAGAGGAGAUAGGAGAGGGAAGGGCCGAGAGAACUCAAGAGCUCUCUGGAGCUCUCGGUGCAUGGUCGCCACGCAUAGCUGAGGGGUCUUGGAGGCUAGUUGAUGGCGGGGGAUGGUUUGAACGGUCAAGGGGAGCCUUUGAGACACGCUGGGGCACACUGGCUCGGCUUGGUGUGGCCUGGAGGAAGGAGACAAGGCGCAGAGCGCCCAUACUGCAGGCCAGAGUGGUGGUCACCACGGCAUCCCGUGUCUACAUGGUCCCAAUGGCCAGUCCAACAUGUCUAGCACGUAAGACAUACCUGCAGCAAGGGAACUCUGGAGUUUGGCAACUAGCAGAGUCGGUUUGAACUAGUUUUGACUGCUGUGAACAUUUCAGCAGGAAACUAGGGGCUGAUACAAAUGGUUUUCACAGGCAUAGAGGGGAGGUGAAACCAUGUCCUAGAGCAUGUGGUAUGAAAGGACUUCACACCUGUCGAAAUUCAGCUCAAGAGAAGAAGUGUAGCUAGCUUGCUGUACAAAGCUACUUUUCAGCCAGAAAUGAACUUGGGGAGGUGCUGCUCAUUUUCUCCACAUGAGCAUGGCAUAUCUUGGUUCUAAAUGAAGCCUUGGCAUAGAUUAGAUGCUCUGGAAAGAGUUGGGGUUGAUAGCUUAAGCAGAAGAAUGGGAAGAAGGGUAAAACAGUGCCGCCAAGGGUGAAAAUGAGAGAAACUUACAAAGGGACCUUCUCCAAUAAUUGACCAGUGGCCAUGGGGAAGUUACUGGAGGUAAAAUAUGACUAUGUGAGGCUGUGGUAGAAAGUUGAGCUCAAGGGUAAAAGUAGAAGGGGCAAAUGAAACCAAAUUAGUGAGUGCACACAAGGUGUUUGAUCUGUGGUUGGGCUACCAGAUGAAUUCCAAUGGCUAUGAAACUUAACAGGAUCAAAUAAUAGAUGAAAAUAGGCUUGCACACCAAAUUUGGGAUUUGCUGGAGAAGUUUUCCAAUGUAUACUUGAAAAACCUAGAAAUGGGCAGAAAUGAGUUUUUGCUUAGAAUCCUAUUCAAAUAAAUUUCCAUAAAUCCAAUAUUUGGUGUAGGGGCAUUAUUUGAGCAUUAAGUCAUGCACAAAAAGUUUGAGGAUAAUUGGAGAAACUUUAUAAUGUAAAGUUUACCAAAGUCAGAAAUCAAUAGAGAGGGUUUUGAGGGUCUUAGGACAAGUUCCUCUAUUCUCCUUGGUGUACUACUUGGUGUGGAUGCGUCAUUGGAGUGUUGGAACAUGUCCACCAAAUUUGAGCACAAUUGGAGACACUUCACAAUUUAGAGUUGCUCAAAUUUGAUUCUGGACAGAUGGGGUUUUAGAGUGAUUAGGGCAGUCAAAUCAACUUGGAUUGAAAUGAAACUUGGCAAGAUCAUCAAGAAUAUCAUAGAUGACAUGCUAGAAUUUUACUAGAAUUUAUUGAGAAUAUUUCUUAUAGAAAUAUUCCAAAAGCUUGAAAUAGGCAGGAAUGGUUUUGGAGGGGUUUGCCCAAUAUUUUUAACAUGACCAUGUGUUGAAACUCAUAAAUAUGGAAUAAAUAUAUCCACUGAGUUUCCCCAAAUUUUCUUAAAUAUUUUGAAAGCAAUAAAAAUAUCUUUCCUUCAUAGGAGACCAUUUCUGGCCUCACAGAAAGGCUUUUAAAAAAAAAUAAAAGAACUUUUAAAAUAAUAAUAUGGUGGUUUUUGCAAGUCAUUUUGAUAAUGGUUUUAAAUAAAACAAUUGGUGCAAAAGAAACUCCCUAAUUUCAGGACUUGUAGUACAAACCUCAUCUGAGGGGUUUGAAAGUUCAAUUCAAAGAAAAGCUUUUUGGUGAAAAUAAUAUUUGGUAAAAAUAGAUAUUUGUUCUAAACACAUGGUAUGAUCAUUAGGAACGAGAUCAUGGAGUGAGGAGGUGAUUAGGAGGAUGGGAAGAAUUAAUGGGGAUCCAUCACAUGCAAUUAAACAAAGAGGCACACAAUAGUCACUCCAAGCAUCACAAGCAUUCACAAAAAUUUUAAUUGGUCCUUAAUUUUGAAAUAAGUUAAUUAGUCAGGGAAGCCAAAAACAGGGUGUGACAUUGCACCUAAGGGGAAACUGCCCCAUCGUGCCAUCUGCUGCUCGCCUGUCCUUUCCUGGCGUCACACGUGACUCGUGAGGUUGGGCCUUGCCUCGGAAUGUCCGCCACUCUAGAGGGGUCCUGAUUAGGCCCCUUGCGGGUCUUGAUGUCGUUCCUCCUCAUGAGGCAUGGCCCCUCACGAGGGCCUUGUCGAGCAUGCCGAUGCUUGGCCGAUGGAGUGGGCCAGACCUGGUCCGCAGACAGGCGAGUCUCGGUACCUCCGUUCCCAGAACGCCGAUAGUAGCCCUCGGGCCCACGACGCGCCUGGGCUGGCUUCCCGGCGAAGCCUUGGAGGCAGCCUAAAGCGUCGCAGGCCCUAAAUGUUUGCGGGUCAGGCUUCACAGGCGCCGUGCAGCCUAGUGGCAACACUCCAGUUCCCGAGGUGCCUUGGGACACGUCUGGUCAAAUUGAUGUGAUGCCUGGAUGCGGCGACAACAAUCAUUGCUCCUUGGGGGUGACGCAUUUACACACGCCACGCGGGCGCGUCCCCUCACGAACUACGCGGGCCAGGGGACGCGAAGGGGUCCCAACCUACUCUUGGUUGCCUAUUUAACCCGGCGGGGGUGAUAAGGCUUGCGUCGCCUCAGUCUUCUUCGCCUCCCACCUUGAGCCCCCCGCUCUCUUAGCAUGGCGCCGACGAGAAGAUUCUCUGCUCCGAUAAGGGGAAUCCCCUGGCGAAGGUCUUGCUGCUCCACUUACCAAGAGGGGACGAGGCCGCCCUAGGAAGUAUGCGGCGGCGCCGACAGCGGCCUCCGGCGGGCGCGGUCAUGGUUCCGCCCACCUGGGGUCUCCAUCAGCGGCAAUGGCGGGUGCCGGCUAGAGCGGGUGCCCUUAGCGGCCGGAGUGGGAGGUCGGUGAUGGCCACCCGGUCGCCUCGCCCGCGGUUCCACUCGGCCAAUACGGUGGUGGAGUUCAUGACGUGGGUGGAGAGGUCGAAAAUCGCUUUGCUCCAGCUUCCGAACUUCUUCGCGAAGACACUGCCGACCGGCGAGCCUCGUGGCCUCUUGUUGUAGGCCGACGGCUGCUGCAGCGGGGCAUCCUGGGUGGAGGUUGAGGUCACCCCCGACGGUUAUGUGUAUCUGAACCAUGGGUGGCACACCUUCGCCCGCUCCCGAGGCCUGAAGGGGAGGUGCUACCUCCUUUUCAAGUAUGACGGGGAGGUGACACUCUUCGUCAAGUUCUUUGGGGUCGAGGGCGAUCGCGUGGGUUGCUGCCCGGAAGACGCCGGCCAUGGCUGUCCCGUAGACGAUCCCGUCUUCGAUGGAGGGCGCCAACCCCCCAGCAUUGGCGAUACCUCCUCCGGAAGGAGCCCGAGAAACAACAGUUACGAUGAGCUGCCUUGCCGCCAUGCCCGAGCCUCGUGGAGGAGCCCCCAAGCGUUGCGCCGCCCGUCUGGUCCUACGGCGCCUUUGAAGGAGGAGGAGGACACGGACUGAGUGUCGGCGUGCGGGUGCCGGGUAUCAGCGGCGGCAACCGUCCUCCGGGAUCUCCAUCGCUAGUUGUCUCCUUCUUGCUUUUGACCCUGCAUUCAUAGAAACAAGGAUAGGCCCUUCGGGCAUGUAAUGGAUUUGGGUGGUUGCCUCCUUUUGUUAGUGAUGUUGCUUCUCUACUGAUUUAGAUACUUAGCUUGGUAUGCUUGUGGGGAACUCCUUUGUUGUGACGCAUGACUGUGGUGCAAGUGGGUCGAUGCUUGAUACGUCCAUUUUACAUCAUGCUUUUAUGUUGAUAUUUAUCGCUCUAUGGGUUGUUAUUACACUUUACGGUAAAUUGAAAAGGACGUGGAUGUCGCCUAGAGGGGGGGGGGUGAAUAGGCGCUUUAAAAUAGUUAAGGUUUAGGCUUGAACAAAUGCGGAAUAAAACUAACGUUUAAUAUGUCAAGCACAAAACCUACAAACAACUAGGCUCACCUAUGUGCACCAACAACUUAUGCUAAGGAAGAUAAACAACUAAGUGAUAGCAAGAUAUAUUACAAUAAACAAUAUGUCUAUCACAAAGUAAAGUGCAUAAGUAAAGGGUUCGGGUAAGAGAUAACCGAGGCACGGGGAGACGAUGAUGUAUCCCGAAGUUCACACCCUUGCGGAUGCUAAUCUCCGUUAGAGCUGUGUGGAGGCACAAUGCUCCCCAAGAUGCCACUAAGGCCACCGUAAUCUCCUCACGCCCUCGCACAAUGCAAGAUGCCGUGAUUCCACUAAGGGACCCUUGAGGGCGGUCACCGAACCCGUACAAAUGGCAACCCUUGGAGGCGAUCACCGAACCCGUACACGUGGCAACCCUUGGGGGCGGUUACCGGUACCCGUACAAAUUGCUCGGGGCAAUCUCCACAACCUAAUUGGAUACCCCGACGCUUCCCGGAGCUUCACACCACAAUGAUUGAGCUCCGAGACACCACCAAGCUUCUAGGACGCCAAAGCAUCCACGAAGAACAAUAUCAAGGGCACUAAGUACCAAAGGUAGUAAGCUUCUCAACUUCUCACUUCCACGUAUCACCGUGGAGAACUCAAACCGAUGCAACUAAUGCAAUGGCAAGAACACACGAAGUGGUCAAGUCCCUCACACUCAAAUCCCUCCACAACAACAAAAGCUAUGGAGAAAUAUGAGAGGAAGAACAAGGAGCUCACAAAGAACUCCAAGAUCAAGAUCCAAGGGGUUCCCCUCACAUAGAGGAGAAAGUGAUUGGUGGAGAUGUGGAUCUAGAUCUCCUCUCUCUUUUCCCUCAAGAACAAGCAAGAAUCAUUGGAGGGAUAGAGAGUAAUCAAGCUCUAAGAAUGUCAACAAUGGAGAUAGAACAAGAGCUCAACGGAUGGAUAAGACCAAGGGGGAAGAAGACCCCCUUUAUAUAGUGGGGGAAGGAAUCAGACCGUUACCCCCACUUUCUGCCCGAGCUCCAGCGGUACGACCGCUGGCACUCCAGCGGUACCACCGCUGGCACUCCAGCGGUACUACCGCCAGCUAGCGGUACUACCGCUGGCACUCCAGCGUUACUACCGCUGGCCCCAGCGGUACUACCGCUGGCCCCAGCGGUACUACCGCUGGGCCCAUGGUAGUGCAACGACACUACCACCGCCAAGAAAGUAUUCGCAAAAAGGUCCGUCCACGAACAACCGCUAGGCAGGCGGUACUAAGCUCCUGGAGCGGUACUAAGCCCAUGUAAACACACCUAACCCCCACAUAGAACUCUCACGAAGACCAUGGGUUAGUACACAAACACGUAAUGGACAAUGCUUACCAUACCAUGGGAUCACUUGAUCCCUCUCGGUACAUCUUGUACGCUUUGUGUGUUGAUCAUCUUGAUUUACUCUUUGUCUGAGAUCUUGAUCAACCAUGUGUCUCUAUGACCAUUCUUUGGAUAAUACCUUGAAUACCAUCUUGGUCAUCAUAUAAACUCCUUGAACCCAACUGAUGGACUUCAAGAAGUGCCUAUGGACAAAUCCAUACCAUGGGAUCACUUGAUCCCUCUCGGUACAUCUUGUACGCUUUGUGUGUUGAUCAUCUUGAUUUACUCUUUGUCUGAGAUCUUGAUCAACCAUGUGUCUCUAUGACCAUUCUUUGGAUAAUACCUUGAAUACCAUCUUGGUCAUCAUAUAAACUCCUUGAACCCAACAGAUGGACUUCAAGAAGUGCCUAUGGACAAAUCCUAUAAAUGUAACUUAAGGCAACCAUUAGUCCAUAGGAAUUGUCAUCAAGUACCAAAACCACAUAUGGAGAUAUAUGCUCCAACAGGUACAAUACUUAUGUCUUUUAUCUCUUAUUUUAUAAGGUUUACAUGAAGAGGGAGAAUGCCGGCAGCUGGAAUUCUGGUCUAGAAAAGGAGCAAGUUUGAGAUACCUAUUCUACGCAACUCCAAAAGUCGUGAAAAUCAACGAGGAAUUAUUUUGGAUUUUAUAAAAAAUACUGGGCGGAAGAAGUACCAGACGGGAGCCACCAGGAGGCCACAAGCCUGCGAGGCGCGGCCUACCCCCCUGGCCGCGCCUAGGUGGCUUGUGGGCCCCUUGUUGCCCCUCUGGCUCCCAUCUUUUGCUAUAAGGAGGGUUUCUUCCUAGAAAAAAUCAAGAGGAUGCUUUCGGGAGGAAUCGCCGCCGCCACGAGGCGGAACUUGAGCAGAACCAAUCUAGAGCUCUCGCAGGGCCAUCCUGCCGGGGAAACUUCCCUCCCGGAGGGGGAAACCGUCGCCAUCGUCAUCACCAACACUCCUCUCAUCGGAGGGGACUCAUCACCAUCAACAUAUUCAUCAGCACCAUCUCAUCUCCAAACCCUAGUUCAUCUCAUGUAACGAAUCUCCGUCUCACAACUCUGAUUGGUACUUGUAAGGUUGCUAGUAGUGUUAAUUACUCUUUGUAGUUGAUACUAGUUGGAUUACUCGGUGGAAGAUUAUAUGUUCAGAUCCUUAAUGCUAUUCCUUACCUCUCUGGUCAUGAACAUAAUUAUGCUUUGUGAGUAGUCACUUUUGUUCCUAAGUCUUGCUAUAAGUAGUCAUGUGAAUUUGGUAGUCGUUCGAUAUUUUGAUGCGAUGUAUGUUUUCUUUUCCUCUAGUGGUGUUAUGUGAACGUCGACUACAUGACACUUCACCAUUGUUUGGGCCUAGAGGAAGUCAUUGGGAAGUAAUAAGUAGAUGAUGGGUUGCUAGAGUGACAGAAGCUUAAACCCUAGUUUAUGCGUUGCUUCGUAAGGGGAUGAUUUGUUCCACUAGUUUAAUGCUAUGGUUAGACUUUGUCUUAAUUCUUCUUUCGCAGUUGGGGAUGCUUGUGAGAGGGGUUAAUCAGAAGUGGGAUGUUUUCCAAGUAAGGGCAGCACCCAAGCACCGGCCCACCCACAUAUCAGAACAUCAAAGUAGCGAACGUGAAUCAUAUGAACUUGGUGAAAACUAGCUUGACAGAAAUUCCCAUGUGUCCUCGAGAGCGCUUUAACUCUUAUAAGAGUUUGUCCAGGCUUGUCCCUUGCUACAAAAGGGAUUGGGCCAUCUUUAUGCACCUUUGUUACUAUUGUUACUUGCUACUCGCUACGAAUUAUCUUAUCACACAACUAUCUGUUACCGAUAAUUUCAGUGCCUGCAGAAAAUACAUUGCUGGAAACCACUUGUCAGUUCCUUCUGCUCCUCGUUGGGUUCGACACUCUUACUUAUCGAAAGGACAAUGAUAGAUCCCCUACACUUGUGGGUCAUCGAGACUCUUUUCUAGCGCCAUUGCCGGGGAGUGAAGCACCUUUGGUAAGUGGAAUUUGGUAAGGAAACAUUUAUAUAGUGUGCUGAAAUUUAUUGUCACUUGUCACUAUGGAAACUAAUCCAUUGAGGAGCUUGUUCGGGGUAUCUUUACCUCGAACGGAAGCACAAGGAUUUGCUCCUCAACCUGCUGGACCUACUGAAAAUAUUUUUUAUGAAAUUCCUUGAGGUAUGCUAGAGAAACUGUUGGCUAAUCCUUUUACAAGUGAUGGAACAUCACAUCCCGACUUGCAUAUAAUCUAUGUAGAUGAAGUUUGUGAUUUAUUUAAGCUUGCAGGUUUUCCCGAGGAUGAGGUCAAGAAGAAGGUCUUUCCCUUAUCUUUGAGGGAUAAAGCAUUGACAUGGUAUAGGCUAUGUGAUGAUACUGGAUCAUGGAACUACAACCGAUUGAAAUUGGAAUUUCAUCAAAAGUUUUAUCCUAUGCAUUUGGUACAUCGUGAUCGGAAUUAUAUUUAUAAUUUUUGGCCUCGUGAUAGAGAAAGUAUCGCUCAAGCUUGGCGGAGACUUAAGUCAAUGUUAUAUUCAUGCCCCAACCAUGAGCUCUCGAGAGAAAUUAUUAUUCAGAACUUCUAUGCUGGGCUUUCUCAUGAUAAUUGCACCAUGCUUGACACUUCUUGUACCGGUUCUUUUAUGAAGAGAGGUAUUGACUUCAAAUGGAAUUUAUUGGAAAGAAUUAAAUGCAACUCUCAAGAUUGGGAUUUUGAUGAAGGUAAGGAGUCAGGUAUGAAUCUUAAGUUCGAUUGCGUUAAAUCCUUUGUUCAAACAAAUACUUUUUGUGAUUUUAGCGCUAAACAUGGACUUGACUCUGAGAUAGUAGCCUCAUUAUGUGAAUCAUUUUCUGCUCAUAUUAAUCUCCCUAAAGAGAAGUGGUAUAAGUAUCAUCCUCCCAUAAAAGUCAAUGUAGUUAAACCCAAUCUAGUUGAAGAGAAUAUCAUUGUUAUAAUGAUCUCAUUUUUCCUAGUGCUUACAUUGAGAAACCACCUUUCCGUGUUAGAAUAAAGGAUCAUGCUAAAGCUACAACUGUGAUACGUAGGGGCUACAUUAGAACACCUACACCCCUUGAGCAAAAUAAAGUUGAACCUAGCAUUGCUAUUAUCAAAGAUCUCCUAUCCGACAAUGUUGAUGGGCAUGAUAUUCACUUCUGUGAAGAUACUGCUAGAAUUGCUAAACCUCAUGCUAGAGACAAACUUAGGCCUGUUGUUGGCAUGCCUGUUGUUUAUGUUAAUAUAGGAGAUCAUUGUUAUCAUGGUUUAUGUGACGUAGGUGCUAGUGUUAGUGCAAUACCUCAAUCUUUAUAUCAUGAAAUUAAAGACGAGAUUGCACCUGUCGAUAUGGAACCUAUUGAUGUUACUAUUAAGCUUGCCAAUAAAGACACUAUCUGCCCUUUGGGAAUUGUUAGAUAUGCUGAAGUCUUGUGUGGUAAAACUAAGUAUGCUGCUGAUUUUCUCGUUCUUACUACCACACAAGAUAGCUUUUGUCCCAUCAUAUUUGGCAGACCCUUCCUCAAUACUGUCAAUUCUCACAUUGACUGUGAAAAGCAAACUGUCAUUGUUGGCUUUGAAGGUGUGCCACAUGAAUUCAAUUUCUCCAAGUUUGGUAGACAACCUCAUGAAAAGGAAUUUUCUAGUAAGGAUGAAAUUAUUGCCCUAGCUUCUAUUGAUGUGCCUCCUACUGAUCCUUUAGAGCAAUACUUGCUUGAGCAUGAAAAUGAUAUGCAUUUGGAUGAAAGGAAUGAGAUAGACAGAGUUAUCUUUGAACAACAUCCUACCCUUAAGAAUAAUUGGCCUGUUGAAUUACUUGGAGAUCCAUCCCCACCAAAGGGUGAUCCCGUGUUUGAGCUUAAACAGUUACCUGAUACUCUUAAGUAUGCUUAUCUUGAUGAAAAAGAGAUAUAUCCUGUUAUUAUUAGUGCUAGCCUUUCAGAGCAUGAAGAAAAGAAGUUAUUGAAAACUCCGAGGAAGCACUGUGCCGCUAUCGGAUAUACUCUUGAUGAUCUUAAUGGCAUUAGUCCCCCUCUAUGCGAGCAUAAAAUUUAAACCGAUCCUGAUUCCAAACCAGUUGUCGAUCAUCAACGGAGGUUAAAUCCUAAAGCACCUGGAAGCAGGUAUUAUCUAUCAUGUUGCUCAUAGUGAUUGGGUAAGUCCGGUGCAUUGCGUCCCUAAGAAGGGAGGUAUUACCGUUGUCCCUAAUGAUAAAGAUGAAUUGAUCCCACAGAUGAUUAUUACUGGCUAUAGGAUGGUGAUUGAUUUUAGGAAAUUGAAUAAAGCCACUAGGAAAGAUCAUUACCUUUUGCCUUUUAUCGACCAAAUGCUAGAAAGAUUGUCUAAACACACACACUGUUGCUUUCUGGAUGGUUAUUCUGGUAUCUCCGAAAUACCUGUUACAUAAUAUGAUCAGGAGAAAACCACUUUUACCUGCCCUUUAGGUACCUUUGCUUACAAACGUAUGACUUUUGGCUUAUGUAAUGCACCUGCUACCUUUCAAAGAUGUAUGAUGGCUAUAUUCUCUGACUUCUGUGAAAAGAUUGUUGAGGUUUUUAUGGAUGACUUCUCCGUUUACGGGUCUUCUUUUGAUGGUUGCCUCAGCAACCUUGAUCGAGUUUUGCAGAGAUGUAAAGAUACCAACCUUGUCUUGAAUUGGGAGAAGUGCCACUUUAUGGUUAAUGAAGGCAUCGUCUUAGGACAUAAAUUUUUUGAAAGAGGUAUUGAAGUCAAUAAGGCUAAAGUUGAUGCGAUCGAUAAAAUGCCAUGCCCUACAGAUAUCAAAGGUAUAAGAAGUUUCCUUGGUCAUGUUGGUUUCUAUAGAAGGUUCAUUAAGGACUUUCCUAAGAUUUCUAGGCCUCUUACCAAUCUCUUGCAAAAGGAUAUUCCUUUUGUUUUUGACGAUGAUUGUGAGGAAGCCUUUGAAAUACUUAAGAAGGCCUUGAUAACUGCACCUAUUGUUCAACCACCUGAUUGGAACCUACCCUUUGAAAUUAUGUGUGAUGCUAGUGAUUAUGCUGGUGGCGCUGUUCUAGGACAAAGAGUUGAUAAGAAAAUGAAUAUUAUUCUAUAUGCUAGUAAAAAUCUAGACAGUGCCAUAGAAACUAUGCUACUACUGAAAACAAAUUUUUAGUAGGCGUGUUUGCAUGUGAAAAGUUCAGAUCUUAUAUUGUUGAUUCCAAGGUUACUAUUCACACUGAUCAUGCUGCUAUUAAGUAUCUCAUGGAAAAGAAAGAUGCUAAACCUAGACUUAUCAGAUGGGUUCUCUUGCUACAAGAAUUUGAUUUGCAUGUUGUUGAUAGGAAGGGUGCUGAGAACCCCGUAGCACAUAACUUGUCUAGGUUGGAGAAUAUUCUUGAUGACCCACAACCUAUUGAUGAUAGCUUUCCUUAUGAGUAAUUGAAUGUCAUCAAUGCUUCACGUAGUACACCUUGGUAUGCUGAUUAUGCAAAUUAUAUUGUUGCCAAAUAUAUACCACCUAGUUUCACAUACCAACAAAAGAAGAAAUUCUUCUUUGAUUUGAGACAUUACUUUUGGGAUGAUCUUCACAUUUAUAAAGAAGGAGUAGAUGGUGUUAUUAGACGUUGUGUACCUGAGCAUGAAGAGGGACAUAUCCUACAUAAGUGUCACUCCGAGGCUUACGGAGGACACCAUGUGGGAGAUAGAACUGCACUCAAGGUAUUGCAAUCCGGAUUUUAUUGACCUACUCUCUUCAAGGAUGCCCGUAAGUUUGUAUUGUCUUGUGAUGAAUGUCAAAGAAUAGGUAAUAUCAGUAAACGUCAGGAAAUGCCUAUGAAUUAUUCACUUGUCAUUGAACCAUUUGAUGUUUGGGGUUUUGAUUAUAUGGGACCUUUUCCAAAGUCCAACGGGUAUACUCAUAUCCUAGGUUCUGUUGAUUACGUUACUAAGUGGGUAGAAGCUAUCCCAACUAGUAGUGCUGAUCAUAACACCUCUAUCAGGAUGCUUAAAGAAGUUAUUUUCCCAAGAUUUAGAGUCCCUAGAUAUUUAAUGACUGAUGGUGGUUCACAUUUUAUUCAUGGUGUUUUCCGUAAAAAUCUUGCUAAGUAUGAUGUCAACCAUAGAAUUGCAUCUCCCUAUCAUCCUCAGUCCAGUGGUCAAGUAGAGCUAAGUAAUAGAGAGAUUAAACUAAUUCUGCAAAAGACUGUUAAUAGGUCUCGAAAGAAUUGGACUAUGAAGCUUGAUGAUGCACUGUGGGCUUAUAGAAUUGCUUAUAAGAAUCCCAUGGGCAUGUCUCCGUACAAAAUGUUUUACGGUAAAGCAUGUCAUUUACCUCUUGAGCUAGAGCAUAAGGCUUAUUGGGCAAUCGAAGAGCUCAACUUUGAUUUCAAAUUGCUGGUGAGAAGAGGUUAUUUGACAUUAGCUCACUUGAUGAAUGGAGAACUCAGGCAUAUGAAAAUGCCAAGUUGUUUAAAGAAAAAGUUAAGAGGUGGCAUGAUAAAAGCAUACAAAAUCGUGAGUUCAAUGUAGGUGAUUAUGUCUUGUUAUACAAUUCUCGUUUAAGAUUUUUUGUAGGCAAGCUUCUCUCUAAAUGGGAAGGUCCUUACAUUGUUGAGGAAGUAUAUCGUUCCGGUGCCAUAAAGAUCAACAACACGGAAGGGAAUUUUCCGAGAGUUGUAAAUGGGCAAAGAAUCAAGCAUUAUAUCUCACGUACUCCCAUAAAUGUUGAAAGCAAUAUUAGUAAUACCAUAACUCCGGAGGAGUACAUAAGGGAUAUUUAUCAGCCCGUUUCACACUACAAAAACGAAGAGGUAUGUGAUUCGGUAAGUAAAUCGACCUCAAAACUUUUCCAGUAGCAAUUUUUCUCCGUUUUGGAUUUUUUAGAAAAAUAGAAAAAAUUGAAGUAGUCCGGAAAGCGCACGAGGAGGCGACAAGCCUGCUAGGCACGACCUACCCCCCUGGCCAUGUCUGGGUGGCUUGUGGGCACCUCGUGUGCCUCCCAGACUCCGUUUUCUUGCGUAGUACUCCUUUUGGUCGGGAAAAAUUCAUUAUAUAUUCUCCCGAGAGGUGUGACCCUCGUAUCAUGCAAAUAUCCUGUGUUUUUGUUUCGAGCUACUGUGCAAGAAGAUCUAGAUCGCUAUGGCGUCCCCAAAAGUUCCGAAGGACAAGUUCUUCGAGAAGGUCAUCAAUCCCUACCUCGCGGGCGUGCUGCAACACCCUCAAUCUAUCGAGAUGCAUGAGGGGUUUCUGCACAUCCGUGAUGUUGAGGGGCCCAAGAAGACCGGAAGCAUGGAGAAGAGGCUCGAAGCAAUGGAGCAGCAAGUCUUCAAGUGGCAAGGGAUGGAGGAACGCGGACUCAACGCCAACCACAUGAUGAUCACGGAGUUCACCAAAAAGCACAAGAUCGAUGCCAAUGACAUCGGGAAGCACCUCUCCAGGCUCUAUGACAGAAUUGAUCACCUCCAAGCACAGAUCUAUGACCUGCAGAACCAAAACUAUGAGUAUGAUUAUAGAUUUAAAUCAAUACGGUUGGCUGCAGAUUUGAGGAUUUCGGAGACUCGAUCAUCUUUCCAUGAUGGAGCACCUAUGCCUUGGAAGACGGAGGAUCAAACCGAGGUUGCAAAAACUCCACCACCAUCACCUUCGAAGGAAGACAAUUAAGCACGGGCAUGGGCACUCCUCUUGGCUUGUGCCAAGCCUGGGGGAGUUGCCUCGGUAUCGUAUCACCAUCACAUCUUUUGCCUUUACCUUUUUCUUAGUUUGAUCCUUUUUGGUUUUAUCUUUCUCUAGUAGAAUAAAGUUCUUAGUAUGAUUUAGGCUUGAGUUUUGCGUUGUGUCUCCCCCAAUGUAAUUGUGUUCGUGAGUCAUAUAAUAAAGAGUGUUUUAGUUAAGGGCCUUGCUUAAUGCCAUGAUCUAAAGAAAAGAAUAAUAAAAGAACAAAAGCAUGAAAGAUCAUGUAAUGCUCUUAUGGAAAUUGAUGGCUUCACAUAUAAAAAGAAUGUUGAUUGAAAAUUGUUGUAGGUGAAAAAACGUAGACUUUGGUCAUUGUUGGAAUUAAUAGGAAGUAAUAAAGAAAGAGAAGUUCACAUAUAAAUAUAUUAUCUUUGACACCGUCUAUGAUUGUUAACACUCAUUAAACUAUUACAUGCUUAGAAGUAGAUGUUCGACAAGGAACACAACAUAAUGAAUUAUGUUUGCUUGGUUCCAAACAAUGUUAUAUGACUAGAGAUCCCUUAGCAUGUGACGCUAGCUUCCACCUCAUAUCAGCCAAAACUUCCGCACUAAGUAGAGAUACUACUUGUGCAUCCAUAAACCUUCAACCCAGUUUUGCCAUGAGAGUCCACCAUACCUACCUAUGGAUUGAACAAGAUCCCUCAAGUAAGUUGUCAUCGGUGCAAGCAAUAAAAAUUGAUCCCUAAAUAUGUAUGAUCUAUUAGUGUUUGGAAAAUAAUCUUUGUACGAACCUGUGAUGAGGAAGACAUAAAAGCAACAGACCGCAUAAUAAAGUUCUUUAUCACAGGAGGCAAUAUAAAGUGACGUUCCUUCACACUAAGAGGUCACACAUCCAAACCUCAAAAGCGCAUGACAACCUUUGCUUCCCUCUGCGAAGGGCCUAUCUUUUACCUUUACUUUUUAUCUGUAAAAGAGUCAUGGUGAUCGACACCAAUUCCUUAUUUCGCCAUUAUCUUGGCUAACGUCAUGUGCUAGGGAAAGAUCUAUAUUCAUAUGUGAACCUAGAAGUAAGUAUUCAUGAACUAUUAUUGUUGACAUUACCCUUGAGGUAAGUAGUUGGGAGGCGAAAGUAUAAGCCCCUAUCUUUCUCUGUGUCCGAUUGAAACUUUGAUCUCAUGUGUACCACGUGAUUUGUAGCAAUUGUAGAAGACGAAAGGAUGAUUGAUUAUGUGGAUUUUCUUUACAAGCUCUUACUUGACUCUUUCCGAUGUUAUGGUAAAUUGCAAUUGCUUCAAUGACUAAAGGCUAUUGUUUGUUAAUCCUCAAUAGGGUUCUUGAUUCUACUUUGUGAAGGAAUUGUCACUUUAUCAUAAGAGUUUAUAUCACGUUAUUGUUGUUCUAAUUAUGAUCAUGAUGCGUGCAUGUCCAUAUUUUGUUCUAUCGACACCUCUAUGUGUAAACAUGUGGGCAUAUUUAUUGAUCUCGGCUUCCGCUUGAGGACAAGAGAGGUCUAAGCUUGGGGGAGUUGAUACAUCCAUUUUGCAUCAUGCUUUUAUGUUCAUAUUUAUCGCUUUAUGGGCUGUUAUUACACUUUACGGUACAAUACUUAUGCAUUUUCUCUCUUAUUUUAUAAGGUUUACAUGAAGAGGGAGAAUGUCGGCAGCUGGAAUUCUGGUGUGGAAAAGGAUCAAGUUUGAGAUACCUAUUCUGCACAACUCCAAAAGCCGUGAAAAUCAACGAGGAAUUAUUUUGGAUUUUAGAAAAAAAAUACUUGGCGGAAGAAGUACCAGAGGGAGCCACCAGGAGGCCACAAGCCUGCCAGGCGCGGCCUACCCCCGUGGCCGCGCCUAGGUGGCUUGUGGGCCCCUUGUUGCCCCUCCGACUCCCAUCUUUUGCUAUAAGGAGGGUUUCGUCCCGGAAAAAAUCAAGAGGAGGCUUUCGGGAGGAAUCGCCGCCGCCACGAGGCGGAACUUGAGCAGAAGCAAUCUAGAGCUCCGGCAGGGCCGUCCUGCCGGGGAAACUACCCACCCGGAGGGAGAAAUCGUCGCCAUCGUCAUCUCCAACACUCUUCUCACUGGAGGGGACUCAUCACCAUCAACAUCUUCAUCAGCACCAUCUCAUCUCCAAACCCUAGUUCAUCUCUUGUAACCAAUCUCCGUCUCACGACUCCGAUUGGUACUUGUAAGGUUGCUAGUAGUGUUAAUUACUCUUUGUAGUUGUUGCUAGUUGCAUUACUCGGUGGAAGAUUAUAUGUUCAGAUCCUUAAUGAUAUUCAUUACCUCUCUGAUCAUGAACAUAAUUAUGCUUUGUGAGUAGUCACUUUUGUUCCUGAGGACAUGGGAUAAGUCUUGCUAUAAGUAGUCAUGUGAAUUUGGUAUUCGUUCGAUAUUUUGAUGUGAUGUAUGUUGUCUUUUCCUCUAGUGGUGUUAUGUGAAUGUCAACUACAUGAAACUUCACCAUUGUUUGGGCCUAGAGGAAGGCAUUGAGAAGUAAUAAGUAGAUGAUGGGUUGCUAGAGUGACAGAAGCUUAAACCCUAGUUUAUGCGUUACUUCGUAAGGGGCUGAUUUGGAUCCACUAGUAUAAUGCUAUGGUUAGAAUUUGUCUUAAUUCUUAUUUCGUAGUGGUGGAUGCUUGCGAGAGGAGUUAAUAAUAAGUGGGAUGUUUGUCCAAGUAAGGGCAGCACCCAAGCACCGGUCCACCCACAUAUAAAAACAUCAAAGUAGCGCACGCGAAUCAUAUGAACUUGAUGAAAACUAGCUUGACAGAAAUUCCCAUGUGUCCUCGGGAGCGCUUUACCUCUUAUAAGAGUUUGUCCAGGCUUGUCCCUUGCUACAAAAGGGAUUGGGCCAUCUUGCUGCACUUUUGUUACUAUUGUUACUUGCUACUCACUACGAAUUAUCUUAUCCCACAACUAUCUGUUACCGAUAAUUUCAGUGCCUGCAGAGAAUACCUUGCUGGAAACCACUUGUCAGUUCCUUCUGCUCCUUGUUGGGUUCGCACUCUUACUUAUCGAAAGUACUACGAUAGAUCCCCAACACUUGUGGGUCAUCAAUGCUCUAUGUCAGCUGGCUCGGUCCCGCACAUCUCCCUGCCGCCGUGGGGCGCGACCCGUUACCAAGGUCGUUCCUCACGGGGCAAAGCCGUGGCACCAGGGUGCCACGUGGCUUUGUGACCGGUAAGGCUCCUGAGGUUCUAUGCUCAGGAGCGCCCUUAGACAUGCAAGCGGCUCUACAUCGACAGGUCCCAGUCCCGCACAUUUCCCUACCGCGAGGCGUGACUUGUCAAGGUCGCCCCUCGCGGAACAAGGCCCUGGCACCCGGGUGCCAGGUGGCUUUGCGACCGGUAAUGUUCCUGAGGCGCGAUGCUUAGGAUCCCCCUUAGACGUUUGAUGACGAGAUGAUCUAUAUACUUCUCGCACCUCGUUGGUUACCCCAAGUGGAAGGUUGAGAUGUAGUCAGCAGCAAGUUUUCCCUCACACGGGAACUGUAAGGUUUAUCGAACCAGGAGGACUCCUAGGAUCAACAAGUAGGUGUCUUCCACCUGGCGCUAGCAGAAGACGUGGACCUGCACACACAACAAAUAACUUUGCUCCCAACGAGUAGAGAGAGGUUGUCAAUCUCUCCGGCCGUGUAGUUUGCAAAGGAUCAUAACAGAAGCGGGAAAGUAAUAGUGAUUGCAACGGAAAAGUAAAUGAAAAUGGUGAAUGAUGGAGGUGUAAACAAUGAUGAUGAUCUGGACCGGAGUCACAUGAUGUUCACUAGUGAUGUCUCUCUCCCAAAAGAUGAUAAACAACUAUGCUUUGGUAAACAAAUCACAGUUGGGCAAUUGAUAGUAUUAUGAACGCACCGCAAUGCUAAUUAUGCUACCUGAUAGUUAGAGGUUCAAUAGUAAUGGGCAGUACACCAAGACAAGUAGAUCAUUAAUUCAUCAGCAUCUACUUACUAAUCAUCCACCUUGAUAUAUCUAUCCAGAACAUCUUGCCGGUAUUAAGUUGCGAGCACCACCCAAAGUGUAAACUCAAAGCAACAUACAACUACAUUAACGAACUAUGCGUAAGGUAAACAAUCCUUGCAACCGUGGUCACAAGCACCGUUGUUUUCUCCCUGGUGGCAACAAGCACAUCCCCUAGUCUCAUGUUUCUGUCACUCAAGCUAGACAUCGAGGGGUAUGAACCUACAAUCAUGCAUAACGCUCCCUCUUGGAGUUACAAUCUACUACUCGGCCAAAGCAAUAAAUAACAACGGAGAACAUGCAUGAAUCACUAAGGAAGAUAAUAUAAAAGGAUAAUCAAAUAUAAAACUCAUAACAAUCUGAACAUAAUCUCAUAAUCCAUCGGAACCCAACAAACUAAGCAUAACAAUAGCAAGAGAAUUACAUAGAUGCCUUGAUCAUGUACGACAGCUCACAAGGACUAACAUUGAAGCACAAGAUUGGAGAGAAGACAUCACAUAGCUACCGGUCAUUGACUCAUGGUCCAAGGAGGACUACUCACGGCACGUCCGAGAAGUGUCCAUGGCGGUGCCGGGAAGAGGUCUCCUAACGCUCCCGAUCUCGGAAGCGCUGCGGUGGCGGAACGAUGGAGAAAUUCUCUAUUCUGGAUGUUGUUCAAGGGUUUCCUCUGGGGACCCUAAAUAUAGGCCAAAGGAGGGCACCAGAGGAGGUGGGACCCAGCCAGGCGGCCUCCUGGCGCGGCCUAGCCAACAGGUCGCCGUUGAGGCCCCUCGCCCCCCUUUGGCCCAUCUUCGGUGAUCCGGAAGCUUCUAUUUCGCUGAUUUUUUAUAUACUUUUUCUGGAAUUUUUUGGGCUUCGGAAAAUUGGGUAAAAGCCCUUGCAAAAUAGACACGAGAAGACAUAAAUUGGCACUGGGUGCACUGAGUUAGUAGGUUAGUCCAAAUAUGUGUAAAAUGAUAUAAAAGUGUAGAAACCAUAUAACAAUGUCACCCAAAAGAUCAUGGAACAAGCUGAAAUUAUAGAUACGUUUGGGACGUAUCAACGCUCAAGAGGCCCUUGCGAGUUCUGUUUUUGGAGGUCCCUAAUCUGCAUUCAGGACGCUCUGCGUCAGCAGGUCCCAGUCCCACACAUUUCCACGCCGUCGUGAGGCGCAACCUGUUACCAAGGUGGUUGCUCACGGGGCCAGGCCCUGGCACCGGGUGCGAGGUGGCUUUGUGACCGGUAAGGCUCCUCAGGCGUUAUGCUCAAGAGCCCCCUUAGGAGCUCAAGUUGUCCCAAGAUAAACAACUAUUGUGUGAAAAGACCAAAUGUUGUUUCCUCUCCAGGAUGGUGUGUCGAGCCGCGAAUAGUCCUCUUGAGCGAGCACUAGUUGGCAUGAGUCUAGCGACUCGUCAGUGAGUACCACGCAUGGAUUCGGGCACCAAGGCCUCGGCGAGGUGCCAACACCGUGCCCCCAGCCCCCGCUUGCGGGGUACGAGUAGGUGAGGACAGACGGAUGCUCGACUCAGAGGAAAAGAGUGGGCUACGAGGAGUUGCAGGGAAAAUAAGUUCUUGCAAAAAUCUUCAUUUGGAAAGGCCCCAAGUUUUGAUUUCAUAAAUACCAGUAAAUCCAAACCAAAAAAAGAAAAUGCAAGCCGCAUCUGGCGCCUAAUCUAUUCUCCGCCUCCAUCGCUCCCAGCGUUGAGCAUAGGGCUUCCACUAGGCAUGGUGUGGACCCCUUCCGCGUCCUCGGGGGGCCCUGGGCGUAUACAGCCUCGGCUCGUUAUUACGUGAGAGUGUCACGGUGAGGGUGUAUCUGGGAGGUCGAAAGGAUGCUUUGGCCUCGCGAGUGUCCCUACCCUCGAGUCAUUAGGCGCGUGAUUUCGGAAGUCAUUGGUGGACUGUGUUGAUUUCCUCUGUCUUCCCCACUAGGCAUGAGAUGGACCCCUUCCGCAUCCUCGGGGGGGGGGGGCUAGGCAUAUACAGCCUCGGCUCGUUAUUACGUGAGAGUGUCACGGGAUGGAGUAGGUUCCGGAAGAAUUGAGGGACGAUCGAGGGUGGAUGCAGAGGCGGUGCGGAGGCAGUGCACGGGCGGUGCAGAGUCGUGAUGGGUAGAACUUGCGGAGGUGUUGGAUGUUCCAGGCGUUCUGGAUGAGAACUCCAUCUUGAGUAUCCAGAUGCAUGGAGCCGGGCCUAGAGACGGGGACGACCUUAAAUGGGCCCUCCCACAUGGGCGAAAUCUUAUGCAAGCCUUCCCUGGAUUGGACCCGCCUCAAGACGAGAUCGCCGACUUCGAGGGUCCUGGAGCGGAUGUUGCAGCAGUGGUAGUGCCGCAAGGCCUGCUGGUACCUCGCGGCUCGGAGAGAGGCCCGACGGCGCGCCUCCUCUCCAAGUAUGAGGUUCGUCCCCUGCGCAGGCUCCUCACGCUCCUCAUCGAACGCCAAGACCCGCGGGGAGUGGUGCUUGAUUUCGUGGGGAAGGACCGCCUGUGCUCCGUAGACGAGGAAGAACAGGGUUUCACCGGUGGGUUUGGUUGCAGUGGUGCGGAUGGACCACAUUACCGAUGGGAGCUCAUCGACCCAACCCCGGCCACAAGCUCCGAGCUUCUUCUUGAAGCUCCUCACUUUGAGACUCCGCAGGACCUCUGCGUUGGCGCGCUCCGCCUGGCCAUUGCUCCGCGGAUGGGUCGCAGAUGCGUAGCAUAUCUCUGUACCGAGGUUAGCACAGUAAAUCUUAGAGAGUUGACUGGUGAAGUGCAAACCGUUAUCAGUGAUGAUGCAGUUGGGGACGCUGAAGCGGCUCACGAGGCCCUUGACGAACUUGACGACAGACCCGACCGGGAUGGUGCGCAUGGGCUCCACCUUCGCCCACUUGGUGAAUUUGUGGAUGGCGACGUAGAGGUAGCGGAAAGCUCCCGCGGCCCGCGGGAAGGGCCCCAAUAUGUCCAGCCCCCACACCGCAAAAGGCUAGUAGAGCGGAAUGGUGUGGAGGCCCUGCGCGGGCUGGUGGAUCUUCUUGGCAUGGAACUGGCUGGCCUAGCAAGAUCUGACCAGCUCGGUGGCGUCGUCCAGAGCUGUAGGCCAGUAAUAACCUGACCUGAACGACUUACCUGCGAGCGUGCGCGAGGAGGAGUGAUGUCUGCAGUCCCCUCCGUGGAUGUCGGCCAGUAGCUCGCGCCCCUGCUCCCUGGAAAUGAACCGCAGCGUGACGUCGUUCGGGCGCCUGCGGUACAAGGCGCCGUCUCGCACACAGUAAGUUGAGGCGUGUCGUACUACGCGUUCUGCGUCCUCUUCCUUCUCCGGCAAUUUGUCGUGGAGUAAAUAUGCCCCGAGUUCCUGCAUCCAAUAAUCGUCUUGAGCCUCCAGGGCUAGGAGAAGUCGAGCCCCCAAGGCCUGGCCACAGUCCGAAGCCCCCGAUGGCGGUGCUGGGGGGAGCUCCUCUCCGCGCGGUACCGGGUCCUCAGGUGAUCGCGUCGCGGAAGGCUUGAAGAAUCGCUCCUCAAAAAUGCCUGGUUCCGGAGCCUCGCGACGCGAAGCUCUUUUGGCGACGUCGUCCGCAUCGUUUUUGCUUCGCGGGACGUACUGCAGCUCCAGGCCCUGAAAAAGUUUCUCAAUCUUACGUACCUCCUACAGAUACGCCUCCAUAUGUUUGUCCUUGGGUGUGUACUCCUUGUUGGAGAAGUUGACGAGAAGCUGAGAUUCACCCAUCACGGUGAGGCGCUGGACCCCCAAGGCCGCCGCUGCCUUGAGGUCGGCGAUGAGGCCCCCGUACUCCGCUGUGUUGUUGGAGACCUUCUCCCCCUGUUGGAAGCAGAGUUGUACGGCAUAGCAAAAGCUGUCUCCCAUUGGGGAAGUGAGCAAGACACUGCUACUGCGACAAUAGACCUUUCGUGGCAACGGCGCCAGAAAUCCUUCUGCUGCGGGCUACGCCUAUAGGGACUUCCUUGGCAAAUAUGCAAAGGAUUCCCCCGCGGCCUUGGAGCCUUGCGUUGGUGUUCCCUUGAAGAGGAAAGGGUGAUGUAGCACAGCGGCGGUAAGUAUUUCCCUCAGUUUGAGAACCAAGGUAUCAAUCUAGUAGGAGGAUCGAGUCAAAGAGCUUGCACCCAACGCUAUGAAGGGGUUGUCAAUCCCUUAUAGAUUGUUUGCAAAGUGAGAACUGAAAGCAAAAAGUAAACAAAGCAAAGUAAAAGUAAAAGUGGAGACGAUAGUUGGGAAUAGACCCGGGAGCCGUAGUGUUCACUAGUGGCUUCUCUCAUGAAAGCAAGUAGACGGUGGGUGAACGAAUUACUGACGAGCAAUUGAUAGAAUCGCGCAAAGUCCUGACGUUAUCUAUGGCAAUGAUCAUAUCUAUAGGCAUCACGUCCAAAACAAGUAGAUCGAUACUUUCUGCAUCUACUACUAUUACUCCACACAUCGACCACUAUCCAGCAUGCAUCUAGUAUAUUGAGUUCAUAAGAACAGAGUAAUGCCUUAAGCAAGAUGACAUGAUGUAGAUGAACAAUCUCAAAUCUAUGAUGAAAGCCCAUCUUGUUACCCUUGAUGGCAACAACAUGAUGCGUGCCUUCCUGCCCCUUCUGUCACUUGGAAAGAUCACCGCACGGUAUGAACCCAAAUCCAAGCACUUCUCCCAUUGCAAGAAUCAUAGAUCUAGUUGGCCAAACAAAACCCAAGACUCGAAGAGACUUACAAGGAUAUCAAAUCAUGCAUAUAAGAAAUCAGCAAAGACUCAAAUAUAAAUCGUAGAUAAUCUGAUCACAAAUCCACAAUUCAUCGGAUCUCGACAAACACACCGCCAAAGAGGAUUACAUCGGAUAGAUCUCCAUGAAGAUCAUGGAGAACUUUGUAUUGAAGAUCCAAGGUACAGAAGAAGCCAUCUAGCUACUAACUACGGACCCGUAGGUCUGAAGUGGACUACUCACGAGUCAUUGGAGAGGCGAUGAUGUUGAUGUAGAAGCCCUCCAACUCCAAAGUCCCCUCAGGCAGGGCACCGAGAAGGGUCUCCAGAUGAGAUCUCGCAAAAACGGAAGCUUGCGGCGGCGGAAAAGUGGUUUCGUGGACGCCCUGAUUUUUUCUGGGAUUUUAGGGAAUAUAUAGGCCGAAGAGCUAGGGCUGGGGAACGCCAGGGAGGCCACAAGCCUGGUCGCCGCGGGCCCCCCUAGCCACGGCGUCAGGGCUUGUGGGCUCCCUCUGGGCCUCCUGCCUUGGCCCUCAAGGCCCCCGAUCUUCUUCUGUUCUGGAAAAAAUUCUUUCGGGGAUUUUAUUCCGUUUGGACUCCGUUCCAAAAUCAGAUCUGGAAAGAGUCAAAAACACAAAAAAAAGAGGAACUGGCACUUGGCACUGAAUUAAUAAGUUAGUCCCAAAGAAGAUAUAAAAGGUAUAUAAAACAUCCAAAGUUGACAAGAUAACAAAAUGAAACCAUCAAAAAUUAUAGAUACGUUUGAGACGUAUCAGACACCAGCCCCCGCUCCCAUUCAAGCGAAGGCUCCAUCGAAGUGCAUUGUCCAUCCCUCGGGCGCCUCUUCUCCGGGGGCAAGGGAUUGGUUCCCUUCCAUCCCCAGUCUGGUGCAUCCAUCCAUUCCGCCACGAAGUCAGCCAGGGUGGCUCCCUUGAUGACCCUGGUCGUGCUGAAUUCGAUGUUGAAGGCCUGAAGCUCGAUGUUCCACUCAGCAACUCUUCUUGCUGCGUUUGGGUUGUGCAGGAUGUUCUCCAAGGGGUAGGCGGAGACGACCUUGAUCGGGUGUCCUUGGAAGUAGUGAUGCAGCUUGUGCAAGGCGACGAGGAACGCCCGAAGGAGUUUCUUCUGCAUGGGGUAGCGCGAGCGUGCGUCCCGCGGUACCGUGCUAACGAAGUACAAUGGGUGCUCGAUGAGGAUGCGUCCGCCUGGGGCGCCGUGCUCCUUGGUGGCUUCAGGAGGUCGGGGUGUUUCGUCGUCCGGAGGAAAAGUUAGGGCCUUGGGAAGAAAAGGCUCUUCAUGACAGGAUUCACCAGUCUGGGCCUGAGGUCCCUCCGCUCGCGGGGGAGUUGGAACUUGUGAGUCGUGCGAGCCCUCAGGCGCAUCGGGCGAGGGCCCGCUGGGACUUCCCAAAGUAGCGCUCUUGCCGGUUUGCUCCUCCCUUAUUGCCACCAAUGCGGUGCUGGCGAAGUGGGGGUGGCAGCAAGGUAAAGUAGCAGGGGCUCCCGCGGGCGAGGCGCCACCAUGACCGGCGGACUCGUGAGGUAAUGCUUGAGCUCGUCGAAGGCAGCGUCGACCUCUGGGGUCCACUCGAAGGACCCCUUCCUUUUCAUGAUCUUGAAGAAGGGCAGGGCCCGCUCGCCAAGCUUGGAGAUGAAACGAGCCACGGAGGUAACCCACCCCGCCAGCUUCUGCAUUUCCUUGAGGGUUGUGGGCGCGCUCAUAUUGUUUAUGGCAUUUACCUUUACUGGUUAGCCUCGAUCCCCCGGUGCGACACCAGGAAACCGAGCAGCUUGCCUGAUGGGACCCCGAAGACGUACUUCUCGGGGUUGAGCUUCAGGUUCACCCCCACAGGCUGGCGAGGUCUCCUCCAGAUCCUCCACCAGGGUCUUUCUUGCCUUGACUUGACCACGAUGUCGUCGACGUAGGCCUCCGCGUUCCUCCCGAGCUACGGCCCAAGACAAUAUACAUCAGCUGCUGGAAGGUUGCCCCGGCGUUCUGCAUCCUGAAAGGCAUACACUCGUAGGAGUAUACCUCGCACGGAGAGACAAAGGCUGUCUUCUCGACGUCCUCUACUACCAUCUUGAUCUGGUGGUAGACCGAGAAUGCAUCCAAGAAGCACAGGAGGUCGCACUCCGCGGUGGAGUCCAUGAUCUGGUCGAUGCAUGGUAGGGGGAACGGGUCUUGAGGGCAAGCCUUGUUGAGGUUUGUGAAGUCGACACACAUGCGCUCCUUCCCACACUUAUUCGGGACAACCACCGGGUUGGCCACCCAUUCUGGGUAGCGCACCUCCCUUAUGACCCCUGCUUCCUUCAGCUUGUGCACCUCCUAAGCGAUGAACGCCUGCUUCUCCGGGGAUUGCCUCCUUGCCUUCUUCUUCACCAGACGCACGUUCGGGCACACCAUGAGGUGGUGCUCGAUGACGUCCCUCGGAAUCCCCACAAGGUCAGAGACGCUCCAGGCGAACGCGCCCUUGUUCGUCCCGAGGAAAUCCACGAAUGCCUUCUCUUGGUCUUGGGGGAGGUUCGCGCCGAUAGUGAAGGUGGGGGCCAGGCUUCCUUCGUCCAUUGGCACUUGCUUUGUCUUCGCCCGGUCCUGGGAAAACAACUGUUUCUUCUUCACGGGCGCGAUGUCGUGGACGUCUCCUAGGUCCUCCGCGGUGCGCACCUCGCCCCUGGAGGCGGCACGCACUGAGGCCGUGGCCUUAUGGGAUAACCCGAGUACCCGCGAGGCAUCCUUGAUGUCCCCCACGAUGGUAAGCACGCCGCCGCUCCCUAGCAUCUUGUCGAUGUUGUAGCCCGGGUGCGUCACCGCCAUGAACUACGCGAGGGCGGGGUAGUCGAGUAUUUCUUUGUAUGGAAGGUGGAUGUGAGCGACGUCGAAUUCGAUCUGCUCGGUGUGGAAGUUGGCGCGGGUGCCGAAUGUGACACAGAGGCGGAUCCAUCCGACGGGAAUGAUGGAUCCCGCCACAACCCCAGAAAAGGGCUUCGAGGGCACGAGCUGCUCUCGGGGUAACCGCAGCGUGUCGAAGGCCUCCAUUGAGAUAAUGUUGAGGCCCGCGCCGUAAUCGAUGAUGGUCUUGGAGAUAGCCAUGCCGGAGAUGGUCGGCGUGCACAGCAUGGGAAGCACCCCGGCAGCCGUCAUGGCUUUAGGGUGGUCAUCGGGGCCGAAGGUGAUGUUGACCUCUGGCCACACGCGGUGUUCUGGGGGCUUGGGACUUAGGUCGGACUGGGCAUUCGGUUCCCGUGAACCGAACAGUGCGGUUCUUUGGUCUCUGUGAGAAUUCGGUUUUAAGAAAUUGCUUACCGGUCAGUUAACUAAAAAAUGCCAAACCGAGCAUCCGGUGCACCGAGAAAUUGGUUCGGUCAUUGGUGUUACCGGACAACCACGAUUAAAUAAUAGAAAAGACUAGCAGUAGCAGGAAUCUCUGUGAGACUCUGACUGACAGGGCUGACAGUACAGUACUCAGUGCCUGUACCACUGCAUGCAUGCAUGUUAAAAGCUAGCCUGUACGUCAACUCACAUGCCCCUUUGUACACAAAAUUUUAAGAUAAGAAAAUGAUAGAAUAUGAUUAGGAGAAGGAAGCAAUGGAAGGUGAAGCAUCGACCAAUAAACUCCAUGCGAGAAGCGAGGAGGCGGUGAAUUAAAUCGCAGCGGUCAGACAGCAGCGGCUUGCUUGCUAGUCGCUACCUCGGUACUCCUCACGCAUGCAGCUGCAGGGCAGGGGAUUAGGGCAAGCUGGCAAGGCCUGUAGGCUGUAGUGAUGGGCCGGCCGGGCUGGGCCUCUUUUUUACUCGGUGUUUGGUCAAUUCGGUUGACCGAGGGCUAAACCCGAAUUUACCGAACUAAUUUCGGUUUUGCAGAUAUGUAGACUGAUCGUACUACCGAAGCUCUUGGUUUCAGUGUAUUCGGCUUCGGUUCCUGUUAUUUCGGUUCGGUACAUCGGUUUACGGGUUAUAUGCCCAGCUCUAGCCUUAGGCGAGUCAUCCCCCCGCACUGCAGGAAACACUUGACGUGGCGGGUGGAGGGUGGCGCGUGUGAUCUGUCGAGAAUACAAGCGACCGCAGGGACGACCAUGCUUUCUCGGCCGCCGUCCACCGCCGCAGACCGACGGUCGUCGGUGGUUGCACUUGCCAUGGUGCCGCCGAGUCGAGAUCUGGUUCCUGCUGUUGGCAUGGAGGCUCCGACACGCGCCCCUACCUGGCGCACCAAAUGUCGGAUUUCGGGCUCCGCAAAACCCCAAGGAUUCGAACAUAGGGGCGUGCGCGUAGGCCACUUAACAGAUUCGAGUCACCAGAUCUGCUACUCGGUGAGCAAGGCUAAGAACCCACAGGAUGGUGAGUAAGACAAGGGGCGCGACAGUUUACCCAGGUUUGGGCCGCUGCGAAGCGUAAAACCCUACUCCUGCUUUUGGUGGAUUGCCUCUCACGGAGGUGGUGGAUGAACUAGUACAGUGCUCUCGAGCCUCCGGAACCAACUGGCUAGGUGUAUUGCCCUAUGGUUGGAAUAAACUGCCCCUACCAAGUAUUCUACCCUCUCUAUUUAUAGCGGAGGCCCGGGUCCUCUUCCCUCAUAGCUUCGGCAUGAAGGUAUCCCACGACGGCCAAUUUUAAAGGCGAACAGGGGAACAUGCUCCCUUGCCCAAAGGUGGUCUUCGCCUGCAAAGUAACUGUCCGCGCUGUAGAGACGGGCCCGAGGAUGACGGUUUCCCUACUGGCAGGUGGCGGCGGCUUCAUUGCACCAGAAGGGAAACCUUUGUAAGAUGCCUUUUGAACCCCUUUACGCUCCCGCCUCCGUUGCACCAAAGAGGAAACUGCCCCAUCCUGCCAUCUUCUGCUCGCCUGUCCUUUCGUGGCAUCACCCUUGACUCCUGAGGCCGGGCCUUGCCUCGGAAUGUCCGCCGCUCCGGAGGGGUCCUGAGGAGGCCCCGUGCGGGUCUUGAUGCCAUUCCUCCUCGUGAGGCCUAGCCCCUCAGAAGGGCCUUAUCGAGCCUGCCGAUGCUUGGUCGAUGGAGUGUGCCAGCCGUGGGCCGCACACACGCGAGUCUGGGUACCCCCGUUCGCAUAACGCCGACAGCAGUAUACGCCCAGGCCCCCUCGAGGACGCGGAAGGGGUCCACACCACGCCUUGUGGAGAAGACGUAGGCAAUCAUCACAAUCCACCAAUGACUUCUGGAAUCAGACGCCUAAUGCCUCGGGGGUAGGGACACUCACGAGGCAAAAGCGUCCUCGCGACCUCCCAGAUACACCCCCACUAUGACACUCUCACGUAAUAACGAGUGAUGCUGUAUACGUCCAGGGCCCCCCGAGGACGCGGAAGGGGUCCACCCCACGCCUAGUGGAAGCCCUAUGCUCAGCGUUGGUGGAGACGGAGGCGAUGAAUAGCUAGGUUGUUUUCUCCUUCCUUCCUUGCGUUUUAUGUUGUGGCUUGAUACGUCUCCAACGUAUCUAUAAUUUUUUAUGGUUUCAUGCUAUUAUCUUGUCAAACUUUGGAUGUUUUGCAUGCCUUUUAUAUAUUUUUUGGGACUAUCUUAUUAACUCAGUGCCAAGUGCCAGUUCCUGUUUUUCCAUGUUUUUGACCCCUUUCAGGGGAGAAUUUGAAAUGGAGUCCAAACGGAAUAAAAUCCCCGAAAAGAUUUUUUCAGUAACAGAAGAAGAUCGGAAGACUUGAGAGCCAAGACAGGGGGUCCUCAGGGGCCCCACAAGCCCCCUAGCCGCCGCCAGGGGGGGAGGCCACGCCCCCCUGGGUGUGGGCCCCCUGGACCUCCUUUGCCCUAGGUCUUGCCCCUAUAUAUUCCCUAAAAAUCCAUAAAAAUCAGGAGAUCAACGAAAGUACUUUUCCGCCGCCGCAAGAUCCCAUCUGGGGCACGUUCUGGUGCCUUGCCGUAGGGGGGAUUUGGACAUGGAGGGCUUCUUCAUCAACACCAUGACCUCUCCGAUGAUGCGUGAGUAGUUCACCAUAGACCUACGGGUUCAUAGCUAGUAACUAGAUGGCUUCUUCUCUAUCUUGGAUCUUCAAUACAAAGUUCUCCAUGAUCUUCAUGGAUAUCUAUCCGAUGUAAUCUUCUUUUGCUGUGUGUUUGUCGAGAUCCGAUGAAUUGUGGAUUUAUGAUUAGAUUAUCUAUCAAUCUUAUUUGAGUUUCUUCUGAUCUCUCUUAUGCAUGAUUUCAUAUCCUUGUAAUUCUCUUCGAGUUGUGGGUUUUGUUUGGCCAACUAGAUCUCUGAUUCUUGCAAUGGGAGAAGUGCUUGGUUUUUGGUUCAUACUGUGCGGUGACCUCACCCAGUGACAGAAGGGGUAGCGAGGCACGCAUCGUGUUGUUGCCAUCAAGGGUAAAAAGAUGGGGUUUUGAUCAUUGCUUUGAGUUUAUCCCUCUACAUCAUGUCAUCUUGCUUAAGGCAUUACUCUGUUUGUCAUGAACUCAAUACACUUGAUGCAUGCUGGAUAGCGGUCGAUGUGUGGAGUAAUAGUAGUAGAUGCAGAAAGUAUCGGUCUUCUUGUCUCGGACGUGAUGCCUAUAUGUAUGAUCAUUGCCUUAGAUAUCAUCAUGACUUUGCGCGGUUCUAUCUAUUGCUCGACAGUAAUUUGUUCACCCAUCAUGAUAUUUGGUAUUUUGAGAGAAGCCUCUAGCGAACACUAUAGCCCCCGGGUCUACUCCACACCAUAUUUUCAGACUUACACUUUUUACUUCGUUGCACUUUCCGCCUUCAGAUCUCACUUUGCGAACAAUCUUGAAGGGAUUGACAACCCCUUUACAGCGUUGGCUGCAAGCUCGUUUGUGUUUGCGCAGGUACUCUGGACUUGAUGAGAUUCUCCUACUGGAUUGAUACCUUGGUUCUCAAACUGAGAAAAAAAACAUACUGCUCCUGUGCUGCAUCACCCUUUCCUCUUCAAGGGAAAAACCAACGAAAGCUCAAGUGACGACACAAGGAUCUCUGGCACCACUGCCGGGGAAGGACUUUUGUUGCCGUAGCAGAAGGAUUUCUGGCGCCGUUGCCGGGGAGGAUCAAGUCAAUAACUCAUCCAAGUAAGUGUCGCAGACUCAUCUCUUGCAUUUACUUUGUUUGCCAGUUUCCCCUCGUUUUCCUCUCCCCCACUUUACAAUUUGCCUUUUUCUUUUGCCUUUUUCGUUCGCCUUUCGUUCGCCCUUUUUCUCGCUUGCUGUUUGUUCGCUUGUGUGCUUGCUUGCUUGUUGGAGUCACCAUGAAUGAAAACACCAAACUUUGUGACUUCUCGAAUACUAAUAAUAAUGAUUUUAUUAGUACUCCGAUUGGUCCCGUCACUAGUGCGGAGUCAUACGAAAUCAAUGCCGCUUUGCUGAAUCUUGUUAUGAAAGAGCAAUUCUCCGGCCUUCCUAGUGAAGAUGUCGCAUCCCAUGUCAAUACCUUCAUUGAGCUUUGCGAUAUGCAAAAGAAGAAAGAUGUGGAUAAUGACGUGAUUAAAUUGAAGCUUUUUCCUUUCUCGUUGCGAGAUCGCGCAAAAACUUGGUUUUCUUCUUCGCCCAAAAAUAGUAUGGAUUCUUGGGAUAAGUGCAAAGAUGCCUAUAUAUCCAAGUAUUUUCCGCCGGCUAAGAUCAUCUCUCUCCAUAAUGAUAUCAAAAAUUUCAAUCAACUUGAUCAUGAACAUGUUGCACAAUCUUGGGAGAGAAUGAAGUUGAUGAUUAGAAAUUGUCCCGCUCAUAGCUUUAGUCUUUGGAUGAUUAUUCAAAUCUUUUACGCUGGCUUGAAUAUCGCUUCUAGAAAUAUCUUGGACUCCGCCUCAGGUGGAACGUUCAUGGAAAUCACGUUAGGGGAAGCCACAAAGCUCCUAGACAACAUCAUGACGAAUUACUCUCAGUGGCACACUGAAAGGUCACCUACUAAUAAGAAGGUACACGUUAUAGAAGAAAUUAACUCGUUGAGUGCUAAGAUGGACGAUUUAAUGAAUUUGGUUGCUAGUAGACGUGCUCCUUUAGAUCCUAUUCAUAUGCCCUUGUCUUCCUUGAUUGAGAGUAGGAACGCUAGCUUGGACGUUAAUUUUGUUGGUAGGAAUAAUUCUGGCAACAACAAUGCUUUUAGAGGAAACUAUGUUCCUUGGCCUUUUCCUAGUAACUCCAAAAAUAACUUUGGCAACUCCUACAACAAUACGCAUGGAAAUUAAAAUAGAUUACCCUCUGAUCUAGAGAGUAAUAUCAAAGAGUUCAUCAACUCUCAAAAGAUUUUCAAUGCGUCCAUAGAGGAAAAGCUACUCAAAAUUGACGAUUUGGCUAAGAGCGUUGAUAGAAUGUCUAGUGAUGUUGAUGCUUUGAAAGUUAGAUGUGCUCCUCCUAAGAUCAACAUGGAUGAAACUUUGAAAGCUAUCUGUGUUUCCAUGAUUGAGAGCAAAGAAAGAACCGCCCAAAUUCGUGCUAGACAUGAAUGGCUUAAAAAGGCGUGUUCUCGUGAUAAGAAUCAUGAAGAUCUUAAAGUGCUUGGUGUGACUCCCAUUGAAUCUUUGUUUUCUUGUGUCAAACCUAAUGAUUAUGGGGCUGGAUAUGAAUCCACUUUGGUCGAAAAGUUCCCCAAUGAUUCGGAGUCCAUCUAUCUUGAUGCUAAAAGCAUUGAAAGUGGAGUAGAAAUUAACACUUUGAGUAGUAAUGAAAUUACUACCAUGGUUUUCAAGGAAUUGAAUUAUGAUAGUUGCUCCUUGAUUUAAUGCAUUUCCUUGAUGCAAUCCAUGUUAAACUCUCCACACGCUUAUAGCCAAAACAAGGCCUUUACCGAUCAUAUCGUCGAAGCUAUGAUAAAGUCUCUUGAAGAGAAACUUGAAUUGGAAGUCUCUAUCCCUAGAAAGCUUCAUGAUGAGUGGGAACCUACCAUCAAAAUCAAAAUCAAAAACUAUGAAUGCAAUGCUUUGUGUGAUUUGGGUGCUAGUGUUUCCGCGAUUCCAAAGUCUUUAUGUGUUGUUCUGGGUUUUAAUGAGAUUGAAGAGUGUUCUCUUAAUUUGCAUCUUGUGGAUUCUACUGUCAAGAAACCCAUGGGAAGGAUCAAUGAUGUUCUUAUUAUUGCAAAUAGGAACUAUGUACCCGUGGAUUUCAUUGUGCUUGACAUUGAUUGCAAUCCUACAUGCCCUAUUAUUCUUGGUAGACAUUUCGUGAGGACUAUCGGUGCUAUCAUCGAUAUGAAGGAAGGGAAUAUUAGAUUUCAAUUUCCUUUAAGGAAGGGCAUGGAACACUUUCCUAUAAAGAAAAUAAUAUUGCCUUAUGAAUCCAUGAUGACGGCCACUUAUGGUUUGAGCACCAAAGACGACGAUACGUGAUUCUAUCGCUUUUAUGCCUAGCUAAGGGCGUUAAACAAUAGCGCUUGUUGGGAGGCAACCCAAUGAAUUUAUCUUUUUCUUUCUGUUUUGUUGCGUCCACACCAUCAUGAUUCUGUUGUGAUUGUGUUUUUUGUGUUUUUUUUGUGUUUGAGCCAAGCAAAACCUUUAUGACUAGUCUUGGUGAUGGUUGUUUGAUCCCGCUGGAAAAUGACAGAAACUUUUCGCUCACGAGAUGAUUUUUCAUUUUUAUUCAGAAAGAGGUUUUGAGUUGAUUCUUUUUGUUGAUAGUUGAUAUGCCUUUUUCCCAGACAGUCGUAAUUGUUCAGAAUUUUUGAGGUAUGAGAAGUAUACGAAGUAUACAGAUUGCUACAGACUGGUCUGUUUUUGACAGAUUCUAUUUUUGUUGAGUAAGUUGCUUCUUUUGAUGAAACUAUGGUUAGUAUCGGGGCCCCCCCCCCCGGGGGGUACUAGCCAUGGAAAAGUGAGAAUACAGUAUCCCAACACCAAUAUAGAUAGAAUUCAAGUUUUCUACAGUACCAAAAGAGGUGGUAGUUCGUUUUCUUGUGCUAUUGUUAUCACGAGUUUCUGUUUAAGUUUUGUGUUGUGAAGUUUUCAAGUUUUGGGUGAUGUUCUCAUGGACAAAGAGAUAAGGAGUGGAAAAAUCUAAAGCUUGGGGAUGCCCAAGGCACCCCAAUCCAUAUUCAAGGACACCAAAAAGCCUAAGCUUGGGGAUGCCCCGGGAAGGCAUCCCCUCUUUCGUCUUCAAUCCAUCGGUAACAUUACUUGGAGCUAUAUUUUUAUUCACCACAUGAUAUGUGUUUUGCUUGGAGUGUCUUGUAUCGUAGGAGUCUUUCCUUUUUGUUGUGUCACAAUCAUCCUUGAUGCACACCUUUUUGAGAGAGAGAGAGACAUGCACUCACCGUGAUUUUGCUAGAAUGCUCAUAGUGCUUCACUUAUAUCUUUUGAGCUAGAUAAUUUUGCUCUAUGUGCUUCACUAAGAUCUUUUAGAGCACGGCGGUGUGUAACUUGGUAGUUGGCUUGUGCUAUGAAUGUAGUCCCAAAGGUGAUAGGUACCCAAAGAGGAUACAAAAACCUCCAUCUUCAUGUGCAUUGAGUAGAAAGAGAAGUUUUGAUUCCUCUCAAUUAGUUUUGAGACGUGGAUUUGGUAAUAUUAAUAGUUAUGUUAGUAGGGUGUUGUGAAUCUAGAAAUACCUGUGUUGAAGUUAGUGAUUCCCGUAGCAUGCACGUAUUGUGAACCGCUAUGUUAGGAAGUCGGAGCAUAAUUGAUUUUUUGAUUGCCAUCCUUUGUGUUGAGGUCGGGAUUGCGCGAUGGUUAACACCUACCAACCCUUCCCCUAGGAGUAUGCGUUUAGCACUUUGUUUUGAUUACUAAUAAAAACUUUCGCAACAAGUAUGUGAGUUCUUCAUGACUAAUGUGAUUCCAUGGUAUAGAUGCACUUUCACCUUCCACCAUUGCUACCCUCUCUAGUGCCGCGCAAUUCUCGCCGGUGCACAAAUCCACCAUAUGCCUUCCUCAAAAAAGCCACCAUACCUACCUACUAUGGCAUUUUCAUAGCCAUUCCGAGAUAUAUUGCCAUGCAACUCCCACCGUUCCGUCUCAUGACUUGUGUCGUCACUCUCAUAUUGCCAUUGCAUGAUCGUAAGAUAGCAAGCGAGAUGUUUUCAACGUCAUGCGCCAUGCUAGAUCGUUGCACAUCCCGGUACACUGCCGGAGGCAUUUCCUAUAGAGUCAUCAUAGUUCUAAGCUUUGAGGUGUGAGUAAAUAAAAGUGUGAUGAUCAUCAUUAUUAGAGCAUUGUCACAUGUGAGGAAAUAAAAAAAGAGGCCAAAGAGCCCAAAUAAAAAAAACGAGAAAAGAUAAAAAAAGAGGCCCAAGUGCCCAAAUAAAGAUAAAUAAUAAUAAGAGAGAGAAAAAGAGAGAAGGGACAAUGCUACUAUCUUUUUCCACACUUGCGCUUCAUAAUAGCACCAUGUUCUUCAUGAUUGCGAGCUUCUUGCUUUGUCACUGCCAUAUGCUAGUGGGAAUCUUCAUUAUAUAACUUGGCUUGUAUAUUCCAAUGAUGGGCUUCCUCAAAAUUGCCCUAGGUCUUCAUGACCAAGAAAGUUGGAUGCACACCCACUAGUUUUCCUUUUGAGCUGUCACAUACUUAUAGCUCUAGUGCAUCCCUUGUAUGGCAAUCCCUACUCAUUCACAUUGAUAUCUAUUAAUGGGCAUCUCCAUAGCCCUUUGAUACGCCGAGUCAAUGUGACCAUCUUCUCCUUUUUGUCUCACAACCACCACACACUCUAUUCCACCUAUAGUGCUAUAUCCAUGGCUCGCGCUCAUGUAUUGCGUGAUAGUUACAAAAAGUUUGAGAAAGUAAGAGUGCGAAAACAAUUACUUGGCCAAUACCGGGGUUGUGCAUGAUUUACAUUAGUUGUGUGAGGAUGAUGGAGCAUAGCCAGACUAUAUGAUUUUGUAGGGCUAACUUUCCUUGGCCUUGUUAUUUUCAAAGUUCAUGAUUACUUUGCUAGUUUGCGUGAAAUAUUAUUUUUUUCAUGUCAAUAGAAAACUAUUGUUUUGAAUCUUACGGAUCUGAACAUUCAUGUCACGGGAAAGAAGUUGCAAAGGACAACUAUGCUAGGUAGCAUUCCACAUCAAAAAUUCAUUCUUUAUCACUUCCCUACUCGAGGACGAGAAGGAGUUAAGCUUGGGGAUGCUUGAUACGUCUCCAACGUAUCAAUAAUUUUUUAUGGUUUCAUGCUAUUAUCUUGUCAAACUUUGGAUGUUUUGCAUGCCUUUUAUAUAUUUUUUGGGACUAACUUAUUAACUCAGUGCCAAGUGCCAGUUCCUGUUUUUUCCAUGUUUUUGACCCCUUUCAGAGGAGAAUUUGAAACGGAGUCCAAACGGAAUAAAAUCCCCGAAAAGAUUUUUUCCGUAAUAGAAGAAGAUCGGGAGACUUGAGAGCCAAGGCAGGGGGUCCUCACGGGCCCCACAAGCCCCCUAGCCGCGGCCAGGGGGAGGCCGCGGCCCUGGCUUGUGGGCCCCCUGGACCUCCUUUUCCCUAGGUCUUGCGCCUAUAUAUUCCCUAAAAAUAAAUAAAAAAUCAGGAGAUCAACGAAAGUACUUUUCCGCUGCCACAAGCUUCUGUCUCCGGAAGAUCCCAUCUGGGGCACGUUCUGGUGUCGUGCCGGAGGGGGGAUUCGGACACGGAUGGCUUCUUCAUCAACACCAUGACCUCUCCGAUGAUGCGUGAGUAAUUCACCAUAGACCUGCGGGUCCAUAGCUAGUAACUAGAUGGCUUCUUCUCUCUCUUGGAUCUUCAAUACAAAGUUCUCCAUGAUCUUCUUGGAGAUCUAUCUGAUGUAAUCUUCUUUUGCGGUGUGUUUGUCGAGAUCCGAUGAAUUGUGGAUUUAUGAUCAGAUUAUCUAUGGAUCUUAUUUGAGUUUCUUCUGAUCUCUCUUAUGCAUGAUUUCAUAUCCUUGCAAUUCUCUUCGAGUUGUGGGUUUUGUUUGGCCAACUAGAUCUAUGAUUCUUGCAACCGGAGAAGUGCUUGGUUUUGGGUUCAUACCGUGCGGUGACCUCACCUAGUGACAGAAGGGGUAGCGAGGCACGCAUCGUGUUGUUGCCAUCAAGGGUAAAAAGAUGGGGUUUUGAUCAUUGGUUUGAGUUUAUCCCUCUACAUCAUGUCAUCUUGCUUAAGGCAUUACUCUGUUUGUCAUGAACUCAAUACACUAGAUGCAUGCUGGAUAGCGGUCGAUGUGUGGAGUAAUAGUAGUAGAUGCAGAAAGUAUCGGUCUACUUGUCUCGGACGUGAUGCCUAUAUGUAUGAUCAUUGCCUUAGAUAUCGUCAUGACUUUGCGUGGUUCUAUCAAUUGCUCGACAGUAAUUUGUUCACCCACCGUGAUAUUUGCUAUUUUGAGAGAAGCCUCGAGUGAACACUACGGCCCCCGGGUCUACUCCACACCAUAUUUUCAGCCUUACACUUUUUACUUCAUAGCACUUUCCGCCUUCAGAUCUCAAUUUGCAAACACUCUUGAAGGGAUUGACAACCCCUUUACAGCGUUGGCUGCAAGCUCGUUUGUGUUUGUGCAGGUACUCUGGACUUGACGAGAUUCUCCUACUGGAUUGAUACCUUGGUUCUCAAACUGAGGGAAAUAGUUACUGCUCCUGUGUUGCAUCACCCUUUCCUCUUCAAGGGAAAAAAACCAACGCAAGCUCAAGAGACGACAAAAGGAUCUCUGGCACCACUGCCGGGGAAUGACUUUUGUUGCCGUAGCAUGGCCCACCAGGGCCUCCCCUUUUUGUAUUUUGAGCUAUCGAAGGCUUGUAGGCUUCUUUCUUAAUGUUUUGAAAAGAAAAUAAGGGCGGGAAUUUCUUCUCUAUCUUCUCUCGUUUUACCGAACUCUCAUUCUCUUUCUCCCUUUAUUCUGAUUGGUGUUUCGCGGGAACCUCGGGAGACCCCCAGGCCUCCUGAGGCAACCGCAAAAAGGGGCGGAGUGGGGAAUCACUCGAGCGUCAAAGGGGGCUCCUGAGCAUCGAGUCUCAGGAGCCUUAUCGGUCAUAAGUCCACUCGCCACCCCUGGUAUCGACCUGGGGCUCAGGUCGAUGCCAGGAGCGAUGGGGCCCCGCCCUGUGAAGUGUGUCGAACCUAACGGCGGUGGGGAAUUGUGCGGGACCGGGACCUGUCGACGUAGAGCGGUUUGAGUGUCAAGGGGGACUCCUGAGCAACAUGCCUCCGGAGCCUUACCGGUCGCAAGGCCACUCGGCCACCCAGGUGCCACGCUUAUCAACACCCAGGGCGUCGGGGCCUUGCCCCGUGGGGGGCAACCUUGGUAACAGGUUGUGCCUCACAACGGCAAGGAAAUGUGCAGGACUGGGACCUGCAGACACAAAGUGCCAAAAGGGUCCUCAAACCGUCCCACAAGCACGGAGGAGGUGCCACGAACAAAGCCACACAUGUGGGCUAGACCAUCGGUGUUGCGACAACACGGGCUGGCAGCAUCCACGACCAGAAGGGAAGCAUCGUGCACACCUCGUCUUCAGAAAACGCGUUAAAAGGUACCCACCAGACACAUCAAGGUUGAUGUUAAACUUAAUACAUAACCCUACCACGAGAGCGAGGCGGCGGAUCAGGAGGACGCAUCGUCACCAGAGUCCACGCCGUGGUCUUCUCGAGCAAGUCUUGUCACCAGGUCCUCCACGUGAACCUCGACCCAUUCGGUCAGGGCGGCGCAGAUCGUGUCUGGCAUCGGAUCCAACACCAUAGCGAAGUCAAUGUCUGGGUCGAGGCGAAGGAGGUGGCUGAAGACGUCCGAGGCCGCUUGACCCAAGAGGUCACGGCUCUUCUCCUCCACCGGCGCGAGGGCCUUCUCGGCACCCGCCUCAAGACGCUCCACGACGCCAUAGAAGAAGCCCAAUUACCUGGCGUUGUCGGGGACCAGGGUACUGGAGACACUCUCGCCGCAGAUGUCUCUCAGAGCACAUGAGGCUCUCCUCUCGAGGGAUUGGAAAAUUUGCGAGCAUUCAAGUUGGAGGAUGCGGGCACGGACCGCUUCUUCGGAGGCCUCUCCAACGAGGGAAGACGCGCCUUUCACCUGUUUGCAAACAUGAAACAGUUUACGUUCGGCAGUAGCCUGGGCGUCCAGCGUGACCUGUCAACUUUUCACUUGCUAAUCCAACCUCCUCCGGAGGGCAUUGACCUCGUUUUGCUGGUGACCGCGGCGCUCAAGGAAGCGGGACUCCUGGAGCCUCAACUUUGCACGAGAGUCGAGAAGAAGGGAACGUUGAGCCUCCUCCAUCCCUUUGUCUAUCACCUCAUGAAGCUUCGCAUCACGAGAGGCAAGGGAUUCCUCAGCAAGCGACACCUGGCACUCCCUCAUCUCCUGACGCUCCUGCCCCACGCUCUGCUCCACCUUUACAAGCGCCAACGAAUUGGCGGACGCUUGAGAACCCGCGGUGGCGAGGAAGGAAUCCAUUGGCGAACCCCCUAGGUUGGCCCUUAGUGGGGCCUCCUCUUCAAGAUCAGCGAUUAGGGUGCAAAGCUCCCUCUGACGAUCUUCGGAGGCCCUGCGCCAACAAUCAGCCUCCUGAGCCUCGAAGAGAGCAUGCUCGCGGGCUUCUACUGCUACGGCAAGGGACGCCUCAAUUUCUAUGCGGGCGUGCUCCCGCUGUAGACGGCCAAGGUUCACGGCGACCUCAAGCUAGUGUUGUCCCGACGCAAGAUGCUGGCGCUCCCCUUCCCGGCGGGCUUCAUGACUGGCAAGCCCCGUCCCCAGACAUUGAAGCGCGUCCGCCGCAGUGCGGAGCAAUACCCACGGCACGGUAGGCGAACCCGCGACAGGCUCGAGAAGCCUGUAAGAGUUCUCACCUUGUGCACGGGAGGGCGCGCGAGGAAUAACCCGGCCCGAGUCCAUGCUCGGGGGCUGGGGGCUUGCGUGUGGGCGUUUCGUCAGCAGUAAGCGUCCCUUGAGGCCCCACAUCUCCAAGGAGAAGGGGUCCAGGAGGAAGACACAAACAGCCCUAGGAGGGGCCACAAGCGAGGGGAGUACACCCUUCCGGAGUACCGGAAGCCGCUACCGAGGAAGACUGAUACGUCCAUUUUGCAUCAUGCUUUCAUGUUGAUAUUUAUUGCUUUUGGGCUGUUAUAUUACUUGUGAUACCAUAUUUAUGCCUUUUCUCUCUUAUUUUGCAAGGAUUAUUUGAAGAGGGAGAAUUCAGGCAGCUGGAAUUCUCGACUGGAAAGGAGCAAAUCCUAGUCCACUAUUCUGCACAUCUCCAAAUGCACUAAAAAUUUACGUGGAAUUUUUCUGGAAUAUAUUAAAAAUACUGGGCGAAAGAACUACCGGAGGGGAUCCACCAGGGCUCCACAAGCUUGCCCACCGCCGCCACCCCCCUGGUGGCGCAGGGCAGGUUUGUGGGCUGCUUGAAGGCCCACUAGCCCCCCUCUUUUGCUAUAUGAAGCGUCCUGGUCUGGAAAAAAAAUCAACCAGGAGCUUUUUCGUGGUUUCGCCACCGCCAUGAGGCGGAACUUGAGCAAAUCCAAUAUAGAGCUCCGGCAGGACGAUCCUGUCGGGGAAACUUCCCUCCCGGAGGGGGAAAUCGUCGCCAUGUCAUCACCAACACUCCUCUCGUCGAAGGGGAGGCAUCUUCAUCAACAUCUUCAUCAGCACCAUCUCCUCUCCAAUCCCUAGUUCAUCUCUUGUAACCAAUCUUCGUCUCGCAACUCCGAUUGGUACUUGUAAAGUUGCUAGUAGUGUUGAUUACUCUUUGUAGUUAAUGCUAGUUGGAUUACUUGGUGGAAGAGUUUAUUUUUAGAUCCUUGAGGCUAUUCAUUACACCUUUGGUCAUGAUUAUGAUUAUGUCUUGUGGGUAGUUACUUUUGUUCCUAAGGACAUGGAAUAAGUCAUGCUGAUAAUAGUCAUGUGAAUUUGAUAUUUCUUCGGUAUUUUGAUAUGAUGUAUGUUGUUUCUCCUCUAGUGGUGUUAUGUGAACGUUGACUACAUAACACUUCACCAUAUUUGGGCCUAGAGGAAGGCAUUGGGAAGUAGUAAGUAGAUGAUGGGUUGCUGGAGUGACAGAAGCUUAGACCCCAGUCUAUGCGUUGCUUCGUGAGGGGCUGAUUUGGAUCCACUAGCUUAAUGCUAUGGUUAGACUUUGUCUUAAUUCUUCUUUUGUAGUUGCAGAUGCUUGCGAGAGAGGUUAAUCAUAAGUGGGAUGCUUGUCCAAGUAAGGGCAGUACCCAAGCGUCGGUCCACCCACAUAUCAAACUAUCAAAGUAACGAACGUGAAUCAUAUGAACAUGAUGAAACUAGCAUGACAGAAAUUACCGUGUGUCCUCGGGAGCGUUUUUCCUCCUAUAAGACUUUGUUCAGGCUUGUCCCUUGCUACAAAAGGGAUUGGGCCACUUGCUGCACCGUUGCUACUACUUGUUACUUGUUACUCUUUGCUUGCUACGUUUCACCUCGCUACACAAUCACUUGUUACCGCUACUUUCAGUGCUUGCAGUUAUUACCUUGCUGAAAUCCGUUUAUCAAAGCCUUCUGCUCCUCGUUGGGUUUGACACUCUUACUUAUCAAAAGGAAUACGAUUGAUCCCCUAUACUUGUGGGUCAUCAAAGACCACGGGGGGCUGACGCGCGUAGGACUUAGGAGGUUGAACCCCGCGGAGUGUGGGGAAAGAAACCGCAGGAUGCUCGGUGCACUACUAGAAAAAGGAUUAUAGAUAAUAUAGACACUAAUGGCACACCAGACAAGUGGUGCGCCACUACUAUAUAGCAGUGGCGCACCAUGUGCAGGUGCACCAUUAGUGUGAUGGACACUAAUGGCGCACCACACACACGGUGCGCCACUACUAACAAAUUUGUUUCCAAAAAUACUAAUGGUGCACCGGGGCAGAGUGCGCCAUUACUAGUUUAACUAGUAAUGGCGCACCACUCACCCAGUGGGCCACUACUAUUUUUUUUGCAAAACUAUUAAUGGUGCACUGCCAGCUGGUGCGCCAUUAGUAACCCUGGUUACUAAUGGCGCACCAGCUGGUGGUGCGCCAUUAGUAGUUUUGCAAAAAUAAUAUAUCCUUCCUCUCUGAAUCGAAUCGAUUCGAAACCCUAGCUGACCCAUCCCCCUCCACUCCAAGAAAUCUCAGAUGGUCGCCGCCGCCUCCUCGCCCCUACCACCCAUCUCAGCCACCAGCGGCGACCUCAGAUGGUCGGACAGGCGUGCCGCCCUACCCAUCACCGCCCUCGCCUCCGCCUCCGCCUCCGCCCCAGCCACUGCCACCUUCUCCUCCACCUCCUCCCGCUCCUGCUCCUCUUCCUCCUGCCGCAUGUCUCCGCCCUCCUCCGUCACGCCAACUCCCUGGGCCGUUGGUGCCUGCCCCCCGCUGCCGAGCGCAGUCCCCUCGCCGGCCAGCAACUCAGCUUCUCCAUCGUCACGCUCUCUGACGAGCGCCUGCCGGGCCAAGGCGUGCCGGGGCCGGUCCUUUCGAUUAAUUGAGUCCAAUUUCUUCGCCUAGCUGAGUCAGGUUAGCUUAGCAGAUCAGUAAUCUCUUGGAAUAACUUCCUGAUGAUACAGUCAAUUUUUCAUUCGGUUUGCUGACUCUGAAUGAAUUUUUUGAUCAAGGAUAACUUGCCUUCGGUGCUGUUUGCAAUGGCAGGGGGUCUAGUGCUCAGUAUUGGGAACCUUUCUACACAGUAUGCUUGGGCAUAUGUGGGUCUCUCGGUUACUGAGGUUAUAUGCGCGAGCAUGGUUGUUGUAAUUGGUAAGUUUGUAAACAUUCUUAUUAUUGUUUCUGAUGAUACAUGUGAUGUACAGCUCAUAAUCUUCUUUAUUAAGCAAAAUUACAGGAGGGGACUGAAUUACUAGGUUAGCACUAGUUGGUUUAAGCUAGAAUUUUGCGCAAUAACACUGGUUAUCUGACAGUUCUAGUUGCUUGAACAAAGUGUCUGUCGAUCGCAUGCAGAUCAUUUAUUAAAAGCAGCUCAAGAUAGGAACAGAUUUGAAGAUAUGAGUACAGAUGAUAUCUUUUUUUCCUCGAAUAUGCACGAGUGUGCGUAUCAUAUAUAUAUUAUAUAUAGAAGAAGGGCAAAGAAAGCCUCCACAAAAGUUAUCUGAAAAAUAACAUUUCCGGUUAACUAUAUCGAUCGAUGCACCAAAUUGCCUGUUGGCUCUGCUAUUAUCCUGUGUCCUCGAAGAAUUCACUCAUUUUUAACGCAUGUUGUAUUUUCAGGUACGACACUGAAUUAUUUCCUGGACAACCGCAUCAACCGGGCAGAUAUUCUUUUCACCGGAGUGGGUUGCUUCCUUGUUGUAGUCAUCCUUGGGACUGUUGUACACGCUUCCAAUGCAGCUGAUAAUGAAGAGAAACUAAGCGAAUCCUCAAAUGGCUACAACCUUGGGCGUCGAGGUAUCUUCUCUCACCCUCUCUCUCCAUACCUGCUAGUUUGGUGGAGUUGUUGCUGAGUUGCACACAGAAAACCACGGUGAUAUUCUUGCUGAAUGCAAGGAACAACACCAUUAUCAAGGAAUUUCGAUAGAAAAAACGUGUCAUGGAGUCUGUGUCUCGUGCCGAGUUUGCUCUACUUGAAAGACAAGAGAGGGAGGACUUGUCCCUGACAAAGAUCCAAACAUUUACAUGUGUUCUCCCUACUUUGCGGCUGCGUGGUGCUACUAUGGCCUUUGUCUUGCUCCACCUGAAAACACCGCGUGAACCAAAGCCGUUCAUGCCCAUGGAUGAAGUAAUCCUGCAAUGUGAUGCAAUUCAUCUGUGACGAUAUCCCUACAUUACCCAUGUUUUUCUCUGGUAUGUGGCUGCCAUAGUGCGCUAGUGCUUGUACCCAUAUUAUUAAAAUUGCUCUUCCUCGAGCAAUUUUUUCAUUCCGUUUUACUAGUGAUUUGCUUGGCUGUUCAACGAUUCUUUUCUGACCAAAGAAGAUGCAAGAACAUUUUUAGUUUUUUACCCCUUGCACAUGCACUGCUGACUUCCCCCUUGUUCUUCUGACAAAAGAACAUGCCACUUUAAGCAUAUUUUCCCUCCUUCUCCCACUCCCAGAUCUGUCUCCAGAACGGAUUCUAGAGCUUCCUGGUCCAUCUUGGAUGUUUUUUUCCUUUGCUGAUGUCUUGCAAGUGCUUGUUUAUACAUGUUGACUUGCUGAACUAUUCAAUCCAAGGCUCUUCUCUAGUUAAUAUCUUCAUUUUUCAAUGGUAACCGAGACUGGGUCUCAUGCGUAGACAGAUUCAGUUUUUUAAGGAAAGCCUUCAUCUUUCUUACCAGUACUGACUGUUGUUCACAAUUUCCUGAAGCUGCCGUCACAAAGAUCAGAUGUAUCUGGUGAAGGACAUCGGCAGAGACAUCGGGCUGAUGGUGGCGUCCUUGGUGCUCCUCGGCACCUGGCCGGUCGUCCUCACCGUGCUGGAGCACCGGGGACGCCUGCCGCAGCACACGUACCUCGACUACUACAUCACCAACUUCCUGGCCGCCGUGCUGAUCGCCCUCACAUUCAGCCAGAUCGGCGGCAACACGCCGGAGACGCCCAAUUUCCUCACUCAGCUCACCAAGCCGCAGGUAGCUCAAUUAUCACUGUCGACAUUCCUUCCUCGCAUCGCAUAGAAAGAAAGGGUCAACAUGUAUAUGCAAGACUGAAAUUCAGACAGCACCUGAAGUUGGCUUGGCUUUCAGCGUUUCUGAACUGAAGUUUAACUGACAUAAGUGAAGCCACAAGUUCAGUUGGUACAUCAGGCUUUGCUCAUUGUAUAUGAUGGUGCAAUUGUUCUAACUAUAUAUGUAUUGAACGAACAAUCCAGAACUACUGGUCGUCCAUCAUGUUUGCGCUGGCGGGCGGCGUGGUGAUCACCCUCGGCACCGUGGCCACGCAGUACGGCUGGGCAUACGUCGGGCUUUCGGUCACCGAGGUCAUGGCCUCAAGUCUCAAGGUUGUCAUAGGUAGGUAGUACAUGGAUGUUUCAAGCUGCAGCUGUUCCAGCAUCAUUAUCUGAAGAUAAGUGAAUGAUUGAAAUUACUAUUGUAGGGACGACACUGAACUAUUUUCUGGACGGCCGGAUCAACAGGGCGGAGGUACAAGGAUUUGAUGGCUGCUGGUAUUAUUGAUCCAUCCAAGGUAUGUGAUUGCGGAAGCAAUGUUCUCUUUGAUCACAUCAUAUAACCGAUACUCUCAUAUGAGCAUGGCACAUAAUACUAGACUCGAUUAUCUGUAAAUUUUAGUUCGUUUGCUAUUUCAAAGUUGGUCCAGGAAUCAAUUGAAUUGUAUGUCUAUUGACGAGAGAUUAAGCUCUGAUAAUAUCCAAGAUAGCCUCUGUUGCUCCGCGUCGAGUACGUACCUUUUUUGUUCUGCUCUUGAAAAGCCUCCCUCCUUGAUUGACAUCCUAAACUGAUCAUAUAUUCUGAGCAAGCAUGCGAAAAUCUGAAUUGAUCAUCUUGCUAGUGUGAUCAACUGGCGCCCAAACCAACCUUCUCUUCUUUUGCUUUGGUGCAGACCGCCCAUGGCGCAGACGGGACAUCGACGACGGCAGGAGGGCACCAGCCGGGAAUAGGGCCUUGUCCUGCUGGAGGAGGGACAGACCUAACUGGCUGCUCUGUCCUCCUCGAGGAGGAGGGGCACACCAAGGGGUCUGCUCCUCUGCUUCCAAGGCAACCAAGGGGUCCUGCACGAGGUCGACAAGUCGAGCCUGACCACGACAACACACCGCUCCCAGCAGGUAGCACCUCCCCCCCUCUGCUUAGUCACCUGCUGCUAAUCUCUCUGAACGGGCUGCUGCUAUGCUAAUCUUCCAUUGGUUGCCGUUUGUUAGCUAGUUAAGCGGCUUGCUUUUCUGCUAAUGGCCCAUUAUGUAGACGUGGUGGUGGCCAUGGCUUCGCUGCUUAAUCAUAUUUUUUUCUUCCUUUGGGUCAUUAGCUAGAUGUGCUAUGCAUGUGGUGGUUAAUUUGCAAGAAAGAAGUGUUUCCAUUUCCUUGCUCUAGUCAAAUUCAUCUUUUUCUAGAACUGAUACUUGGUAGAUUUUGAGUAUGUCACUGUUGCUAAAACAACAACAGCAACCACCAAUUACCGGACGAACAAGACCGUACUUGGUUUUGGUGAGUCCCUGGUCUCCUCUUUCUUCCCAUGCCUUGUAAUGCAUUUGACAACGAGCCAUGGCUGACUGUGAUGCCGGCCAUUGAGUUGAUGAUGCUGUUUUUAAAUCUUGUUAUUGCGGUCAUCUUUCUUUUCAAUGAACUAUGCCACAAUAUAUGUGGUUUGCAAGGUUCUGUGGUUACUAAGUUAUGUUAUUUGCAGCUCAUAGAUCCUUGUUGGUCUAUUAUACAAUCUAAAGAGCUAUGCCCUUUUUCACUUGUACAGUCAGCUCCUUUGUUUUGUUUUGUGCUCAUUAGAGAACAUAGGGCUCAUUAGAGAACAUUGAGUUGAUGAUUGGUCUAUUAUACAAUCUAAAUACCGCUCGCCCCGCGCACUCCGCCCUACACCCCUGCCCCGCCCGGCCAUAGGGCUCAUGAUUUAGUGUUAAAUUUGACAUGUUGAUGAUUUCAUCUUGUAGGUUGCCACGUGGAUGCUCUUUGGACUACGAUAUGGACAUGAAGGCAUUUGUUUUAGUGCCAAAUAUUACUUACUAAUGCCCGCAAGGUAUCUUUGAGAAUUAUAUUUGCUAUGGAGCUAUAUAUGUAUGGACACUAUGGAACUAUAUGUAUAUAUGGAUGCUAUGGAAUUUUGGAUGUAUGGAUGCUAUGGAAUUUUGAUAUAUGGAUCAUGAAAUUUGUUAUGCAACUUUGCAUAUAUGUUAUGUGUUGUGGAUCAGUAAAACUAUUGGACAGAUAUUAUGUAUUAUAUAUUUGAUAUAUAUGUUAUGUGUUGUUGAAUUUCUGGUUUUUAAACAAACAUAUAUAUGCCAGAAUACCAGAUACUAAUGGAGCACCAUGGGCUAUACUAAUGGCGCACUGCCUGGUGCGCCAUUAGUAUAUAUGCCCUCAGAGGCAUACUAAUGGAGCACCGUGGGCUAUACUAAUGGCGCACUACCUAGUGCGCCAUUAGUAUAUAUGCCCUGGGAGGCAUACUAAUGGAGCACCAUGGGCUAUACUAAUGGCGGGCUGCCUGGUGCGCCAUUAGUAAAAAAAUUUAAAGGCGUGAUGCUAGUGGCGCACCUAUAGUGCGCCAUUAGUAGCCAAAACAGGUGCGCCACUAGCAGGCCUUUUCCUAGUAGUGGUGACCUCAGGGGUAGGCAGCACUGACCCGCCUCCUCAGUCGCUGGUGGGGAGCCUGCAGAACAAAGGCUCAGAAGAUAGGCACAUAAAGGAAGCAAGAAGGAGAAUACGGGCGCUUACUCGUUAAUGGCGAUCCACUUCUUCCUCACCGGAGCCCACCGCAUUGGGGGCGGCCUCCCUAGGGAGACCUCCUUUUUCCGGCCGGUGAGGGUGGUCUGACGUGGGUACUCGGCGGUCCUCGAGUGAAUCUUGGAGGCGGGGGCGGCGACUUCCACCGUCGACCGUCCGCCACCACCAACCCCAGCUCGACACGGAGAAAGAGCCGAGGGAGCGGGCGGCGAUGCACAGCCCACCCCGGCCUUGGGAGGGACGGCACGGCCAGAGUUUCCACGGGCCUGAACCCCAAGGGUCGAGGCCCCCCGGAGACUCUCUUUUCCCCCCAGGGAGGAGCUUCCACUCAUCAAAGAGCGACAUCUCCGCGACUAGAGCUCCCGGGGCCUUGAAGCUAUACAACGGGAGGCCGUUCGGGGGAAGCUCAUCACGAUUGCCACAGGUCAGCCGACGGAGCAGCUCGCGCAAGACGUCGGGGGAGAGAGGCAUGACUUGGGUCCUCAUUGAGUGACUAGGCCCCGCGUAGGCCCACAUCGGACGGGAGUGGUGCUGAAGAAGAGCAAUUCGCCGGGAGAUAAACUCUCGCACCACCAUCGCCAUCGUCACCCCCGCCCGUCUCAGCAUCUCCAGCCGGGUUAAGACUGGCGUGAGCCGGGAGUCAUUAAGCUUUUCACGCUCCCACCCCCAGUUCGGCGUUGCGGGGGUCGACAAAGGUUGGAACAGGGCUCCGGCCUUGGCAGUUUCGACAUGCACCCAAUAUCGUUGGAACCCCUCUGCUUCGGGGAGGAGCUCAGCGUCGAGGGCCCCCGGGACUGAUGCGUCGACAGCUUUCAAGGUCACGCAUCCGGAGCACUGCUCCUCGGAGACCAAAUCAAGGGAGAAGAAAUGGCGAAGCAAUGCCACGGAAGGAGUAACGCCAACAAAAGCCUCACACAAGAACACGAAGGCCGAGAGAAGAACCAAAGAACUGGGGUAAGGGUGGAGCGCGUGGAUUUGGUAAUGUGAAAGCACUGCACCAACGAAGCUCGAGAAUGGCGGCACUACACCAGAAAGAAGGGCGCGGAAAUGAAUAGGAACCGCGGGGGACACCAUCUCACCCCGAGGCCAUGAACCUGGCCAGAUUUUGGUGGCCCCUCACUCAUUGGAGUCGGUAGAAACUACCAGUUGGACCUUCUCCAACCCCUCGAAGUCCACCAUCGUCGACCGGCCCAACGCGCAGGAGUCAAAGGAAGGGCCGGAGCCAAGACCGACAGGAGGAAGGACCGGCGGUGGGAUCGACAGGAUGAAGAGCCGACUGGGAAAUUUAUAGGACCCGGAGGCGGACUACAAACGCAGGUCAAGAGAUGCUACACCGAGAAGACGGGUCCGCCAUUUAAAAUGCAUGGCCCUCACGCGUUUACGGCAUGCAACGCUUCAGGCCUCCCUCAAGGCUCCGCAAAGAAGCCAACCUAGGCACGCCUUGGUCCUGGGGUCUACUAUCGGCGUUCUAGGAAUGGGGGUACCCAGACCUGCCUAUGUGCAGCCCAGGGCUGGCCCACUUCGUCAAUCAAGUAAACCAACGGGUCCGGCAGAACUCAAGGCAAGGCCCUCGUGAGGAGCCAAGCUUCACGAGGAGGAACGACAUCAAGACCUGCAGGGGGCCUCCACAGGACCCCUCCGGAGCGGCGGAUAUUCCGAGGCGAGGCCCGGCCUCACGAGUCAAGUGUGACGCAAGGGAAGGACAUGCAAGCAGCAGACGGCUGGACGGAGCAGUUUCCCCUUUAGUGCAAAGGGGGAAGGACGUAGCAGGGUUCCCAAGGCAUCUUCCAAAGGUUUCCCUUCUGGUGUAACAAAGCCACCGCCGCUUGCCAGUAGGGCAGACGUCAUCCCUGAACCCAUCCCUGCAGCACGGGCAACCACUUUGCAGGCGAAGACCACCUUUGGGCAGGGGAGCAUGUUCCCAUGUUCCCCUUCAAAAUUGGCCAUUGUGGGAUCCCUAAUGACCCACAAGUGUAGGGGAUCUAUCGUAGCCUUUUCGAUAAGUAAGAGUGUCGAACCGAACGAGGAGCAGAAGGUAUUGACAAGUGCUCUUGAGCAAGGAAUAACUGCAAGUACUCAAACGUAACUUUUUAUGGUUUUUCUAGUAUAAGCAACAAGGAAAUAAAUGCAAGUAAAGUAAAUGGUGCCGAGGUGCAGUAAGUGGCCCAAUCCUUUUGAACACAAAGGAUAAGUCGAGGGACUAAACUUAUAAAUACUAAGGCGUUCCUCAGGACACACGGGAAAGAUAGUCAAGCGCUUUCGUCAUAUUCCGUCUAGUACUAUGUUUUGUAUUGAUAAGUGUUAUGUGGGUGGAUCUUAACUAGUGCACCGUCUAGGCUAAGACAAGUACACUCUUAUGAUCAAUCCCUCAUGCAAGCAUCCUCAAAUACAUGAGAGAAAUUAAGGCAAAGCCUAACCAUAGCAAUAAGCUUUAGGAUCCAUUACUCCCUCAUGUAAAAGUAUGCAAACUGAGGUACAGGUUUCUGUCACUCCGGCAACCCACCAUAAGCAUUCUUUACACACGAUGCAUCCCCCUAGGUCCUUCAAAAUGGGAAGUUUGUGUAGUCGACGUUCACAUAACACCACUAGAAGAAUAACACCAUAACUUAAAUAUCAAUCAACACAUAUUACUUCAACAUCAUAUGACUACUAACAUCUAGAAUUUUCCCAUGUCCUCAAGAACUAAUGGAACUACUCACAAGACAUAAAAGAGAUCAUGAUCAGAGGUGCUGAAAAUGUGAUUAACAAUCUGGUCAUAACAAUAAUUCUCUAACAAAACUCAAUAGCAUUCACCACAAAAGAGUAAUCAACACCGGUAGAGUAGAGGGGAUGAAUAGUGCAAGGUAAAACUCCGAUUGCAAUGGUGGAGUAGAUGGGAUGAGGAUGGAGAUGGUGCUGGAGUUGGUGAUGCCCCCCCCCCCCGAUGAUGCCGGUGACGAUGGUGAUGACGAUGAGGACGAUAUCCCCUUCUGGGAGGAGUUCUCCCCGGCGGAAUCUGCCGGCCAGAAAGGUAUUUUCUUCUCUAUAGGUUUCCGCCGCAGAGCGGCGGCGGAAUCAAGAAAACUCUUUUGUCCCUCAAAUUUUUAGGUCAAGAGAGACAUAUAGGCCAAAGGAGUGUGCCGGAGGUCGGGCCCGUCACUCAGGCGGCCUCCUGGCGCGGCCUAGGGGGGUCGUGCCAGCAGGUCGCCUCGGUGACCUGUGGCCCCCCUCCGGCCCUUCUUUCGCCUGUCUUCGGGACCCGUUCGGAAACUUCUUCCCUCAAAAUUUCAACUCAAUUGGAGAUGUUCUGAUAUUGCAACUCUUCAUGCUAUUUUCUCCGCUGAAUCCUGCGUCUCCUGUUUCGGCACCGGAAAGUUGGACACUGUGUAAAAUAAGCCAAAACACUAUAAGUACACCAUCAAAAAGUGAAAUAUAUCAAUGAAUAGAGAUAAAUUAUGAUACAAAAUAGUGAUGCAUUUUGGACGUAUCAACUCCCCCAAGCUUAGACUUCGCUUGUCCCCAAGCGAAUACGAAGCUCGAUAAACCUGUCCACAAGUUUAGAGAGUGAAGUGUCGAUAAAUAAGAAUAGGGAGAAGAAGCAUCAUAAUUUCUCUACUAAACUCAACCAUCCUCAACAACAAUCUCAACUCAUGAGGCCCUUAUGAAAGAUUAAUAUCAAUUACAAUCAAAAGUAGAGCUAAUAAAGCUCAUCAAAGCAUGGCAAACAUGUCCUUGGUCAAAGAACAACUACUAACUUUUAACUUUUGAUCUUCCUCUUAUAUUUUGAUGAGAUCAAUUGAAGCUUUUUGAAAGAACAUGUUAUUAGUCAAGAAGUGAAGAUGCUAACACAAAGGAAGAUGUUUGCUUUAGCUAGGCUUAACAAACAACUCACUUAUCUUAAUGAUAAUGUCAACAAAGGUGUGAUAUGACAAUUCUUAGUGAAACAAUAUAAAUGCAUGCAUCUUUGUCAACAUAAAGUGUCUUCUCUUUUCAGGAUAGAAAGAAGCGGGUUUACUAACUCAACAUAAAAGUAAAAGAUUGGCCCUUCGUAGAGGGAAGCAAGGAUUAAUCAUGUGCUAGAGCUUUUAGAGAACAACAAGAUUGUAAAACAAGCUUUCGAGAGGUGCAUGAUUUGCCAACGAAUGCUAGUAGAUAGCCCAAUACUACUCAUGCUGGAUAAGUUUUGAGGAACGGCUCCCAAAGUGGGGAAGAUCAAAUCCCCUUAGUCUCCUUUGUUUAUCACUACCAAAGUUUUCUGAUCUCUCAUCAACAAAGCAUGAAUGAGGUUUUGUUUGUUGUUAUUAUCUUUUACGAGCUGGGCGUGCUCAUGUCAGUCCCUCCUCGUAUUAGGGGUUCACAGAUAACAUGCAAACCCAAGAUAAAACUUGUCCUGUAUGAGAAGAUCAUGAAUCACCUACUACUUCUCAUGAGCUAAAGCAGGGGCACAAAACAGGGACUAAUAUUUAAAGGUUUAAAGAUAGCACAUGAGUAAUAUACUUUAGGAGUGGUGGUGAAAUACCACGUAAAGGGAAGGUAUGGUUGACUCUUGGGAAGGUUGAGGUUUCAGGGUAUGGAUGCACAAGCAGUAUUCCCGCUUAGUGCAAGGGUUGGCUAGCAAAUGUUUUUAAGAGUAGACAAAUGAUGUUGACUUUGAUGCAAAACAAUAUAAAGUUUAACAUAAAUAAUUGGAAUAAAACAUCAAGUUGUCUUCCUUGUCAGCAUAACACUUCAAGCAUAAGAACAUAAAGGUUUUGCCUAUGUCGCUACUAGAAAAACUCAUGCUUGUUGUUAUGACCAAUGCUAUGUUUGCCAAGUUUAAAUAAAGUUUUCAAAGCCAUACCUGAUGUGUAAGAUCAAUACUCCCAUAAGAAUCAGCAUAUGAGAUCGAUUGCAUGAAGAGAAUACCAAGUGGAGCAAAGAAACCAAUAGACUUCUCAUUAAUAUUCCAUCAUACAAACUCUCCACAAAGGAGUGAUAGACCUCAAUGCAAACACCUAUUUCAUAAGAUAACUUCCCUAGACAUGAUACGACAUUUAACUUGACCAAGAAAGAUAAAGGAUAAAAAAUAAAGAUAACGUGCACUCCCCAAGCUUGGAACAAGCUAAGGGAAUGCCAUUACCCAUGAAGAUUACACUCUUCAUCCUUGUUCUUUUCGUUCUUCAAGUCCGCUAUUAUGCGCCGAAGGGUUUUGUUUUCAGCUUCCAAUAUGGCCACCUGUACUUUAAGCACACGGAAAUCUUCACAGAAUUGGUUAGUCAUUCUGUAAGCUUCAGAUAGAGUAGAUGACACAGGUGGAUAUCCUGGUGGAGGGGCAGUUUCUGGAAGGUGCACAGAAAGAUCAUGUUGGGGUUAAUAAACCCUACGAGGAUGGGGUUGUUGGAGCUGGAUCCUUGUGAUGAAGGAUCUCCUUCUUGUUGGGUGGUGACCAUCUUGACUUCCUCUCUCACGAAGCACUCCAUCUCCGCUUGUCUUGUGGCUAUCUCUUCAUUGGUGGCCCAUACGGUGGCCUUUCCUUGGUUGAUAUCCCGCUGGACACGGCGGAGACGAUGACCUGUGUAGUCUUCCCCGCUUGAGUCGCAAGAAGACAUCUCGAAUAAUAGCUGCUUACCCUGGCAGAAAAAGAUCGAGAGAGAAAACGCACGAAAUCGCAAGAUACAAAGUCGGGACGAUCCGGGAAAAUAUAUAGGAAAAAUUUCUACACCAAAAGGAAGGUAACAAGCCAAAGUGGAGUCGGAGAGGGGCUCCAGGUUAUCCAGGCGGCCUCCUAGCACGGCCAGGGCCUAGCCCGCGCCAGCAGGUCGCCUGGGUGACCUGGAGAUCCUCUCCGGCUCCGCUUCGGCUCGGAAUUUUCCUAAUUUUGCAAAAAAGCAUAAAAUGGAACUUUCAUUGAUGUUUGCGAAGUUUCCUUACCGUAUUUCAUACAUUUUCUUAUUCUACUUCUGUCGGUGUCUGAUACACUAUUGCAAUAUGUUCUUCUUGAUUGGCUACGUGUAUCACAUCCACCUCUACAUUGAUGGGGUCUCCAGCCAUGUAAUUCUUGAGUCUUUUCCCAUUCACAACAUGUGGUUUUGUGCCUUCAAAAUUAUUAAUCUUGAUUGCACCAGAGCGGUAGACUUCUUCGAUAUGGUACGGUCCUUACCAUUUGGAAAGUAAUUUACGUGGAGAGAACCUGAAACGAGAUCUAUACAACAAUACUUUGUCACCAACAUUAAAUUCACGUUUCAAAAUUCUCUUGUCAUGACACUUAUUUACCUUUUCUUUGAAUAUUUUUGCGCUCUCAUAAGCUUCACUUCUCCACUCAUCUAGAGAAGUCAAGUUCAUGAGACGCUUUUCACCAGCAACCUUUGGAUCAAGAUUAAGCUCUCUAACAGCCCAGAAAGCUUUGUGUUCUAACUCUAGAGGUAGAUGGCAUGCCUUGCCAUAAACCAUCUUAUACGGAGACAUCCCCAUGGAAUUUUUGUAAGCAGUUCUAUAUGCCCACAAGGCAUCUCCUAGCUUAUUGGACCAAUCCUUUCUAGAACUGUUCACUGUCUUUUGCAAGAUUAAGUUGAUCUCUCUAUUUGUGAGCUCAACUUGCCCAUUUGUUUGAGGGUGGUAACGUGAAGCAAUUCUAUGAUUAAAAUCAUAUUUGGCUAGAGCUUUUCUAAAAGCACCGUGUGUAAAAUGUGAUCCUCCGUCGGUCAUGAGGUACCUAGGUACACCAAACCUCGGGAAGAUUACAUCCUUGAGCAUUUUCAAAGAUGUCUUAUGAUCUGCACUUUCAGUGGGGAUUGCUUCAACCCACUUGCUAGUCUAGGGCUACUAAGAUGUGAGUGUAUUUGUGUGAAGGAGGGAAAGGACCCAUUAAAUCAAAACCCCGGCAAUCAAAAGGGUCAAUAACUAGAGAAUAAUUCAUAGGCAUCUCAUUCCUCCUACUAAUAUUACCAACUCCCUGGCACUUAUCACAGGAUAAAACAUAAUUUCUAGCAUCUUUAAAGAGAGUAGGCCAAUAAAAAGCUGAUUGGGGAACCUUUUGUGCGGUCCUCUCACCGGCAUGAUGUCCUCCAUAAAAACUGAUAUGACAUUGUCUCAAGAUAUCCUUCUGCUCAUGCUCCGGUAUGCAUAUCCUCAGAAUCCCAUCCGCACCUUCUCUAAAAAGAUGUGGGUCAUCCCAAAAGUAAUACCUCAAGUCGUGGAAGAACUUCUUCCGCUGUUGGAAUGUUAAACCUGGAGGCAAAAACUUUGGAACAAUAAAGUUAGCAUAAUCUGCAUACCAUGGAUCUGAAUUAGAUUUCACCUGUAAAACAGCUAACUGUUCAUCGGGAAAACUAUCGUUGACCGGAAUAGGAUCAUGUGGUAUGUCCUCCAUCCUGGAAAGGUUGUCUGCUACAGGGUUGUCUGCUCCUUUCCUAUCAACAAUGUGCAAAUCAAAUUCUUGAAGAAGAAGGACCCAUCGGAUAAGCCUUGGUUUGGCAUCCUUCUUUUCCAUAAGAUACUUAAUAGCAACAUGAUCAGUGUGAAUGAUAACUUUAGAAUCAACAAUGUAAGGCCUUAACUUAUCAUAAGCAAACACUACCACUAAAAAUUAUUUCUAAGUAGUAGCAUACUUCUUUUGAGCAGUGUCAAGGGUUUUGCUAGCCUAAUGGAUAACAUUCAAUUUCUUAUCAAUCCUUUGUCCUUACACAGCUCCAACAACAAAAUCACUAGCAUCACACAUGAUUCCAAAAGGCAAAUUCCAAUCCGGUGGUUGGACUAUAGGGGCGGUUAUCAAGGAUUUCUGAAGAACUUCGAAGGCUUCCUUACAAUCUUCAUCAAACACAAAAGGAAUAUCCUUCUGGAGAAGAUUAGUAAGGGGUUUCUGUAAUGCCCCAGAUGUAGCCCUUGCCAUUUGUGGAACCCUUUCCUAUUUUGGGUCUUGAUGUCAAUGCUAUGGAGUUAUCAUUUCAUGUGGUCACCUUUGCAUCAUGACAUUCAUCGCAUUCAUGUUAUUUUUUCCUUUGUGUUGUUGUUGUUGCUCGAUCUUCAUGAGUCUCUUGUGUGAUGAAUUCUUGUGGUGGUAUGUGAUGAGGUGGUGAAUCCCAAGCUUGAUUCAAACUAUGUUUGUUUUCAAAUAGGUUUCAAACCCCUUCUUCUUUAUUUAUUUGAGCUGAUGUUUAACUUGCUCAAAACCUGUUUUAAAAAUGUUGUUCAUUUUGUAGUUUUACCUUGUGUUUGAGGGGUACUGUUUUGGGGUUUUUAAGACUUAAAUGAAUGGGAGUUUAAAUGCAAAAACAGAAUACCCUGAUACGUCCAUUUUGCAUCAUGCUUUUAUGUUGAUAUUUAUCGCUUUAUGGACUGUUAUAUUACUUUGUGGUACCAUACUUAUGCCUUUUCUCUCUUAUUUUGCAAGGUUUAUUUGAAGAGGGAGAAUAUCGGCACCUGGAAUUCUGGACUGGAAAAGGAGCAAGUCUGAGUCCUCUAUUCUGCGCAACUCCAAAUGCCCUGAAAAUCAACGUGGAAUUUUUUGGGAAUAUAUAAAAAUACUGGGCGAAAGAAGUGCCACAGGGGCGCUACCAGGGGCCCACAAGCCUGGUAGCCGCCCCCCCCUGGUGGCGGCUAUAGGGCUUGUGGGCACCCUGGCGGCCCACUGGCCCCCACUUUUUCUAUAUGAAGGGUUUCGUCCAGGAAAAAUCAGGGUGGAGCUUUUUCGUGGAUUCUCCGCCGCCGCGAGGCGGAACUUGAGCAGAACCAAUGUAGAGCUCCGGCAGGACGAUCCUGCCGGGGAAACUUCCCUCCCAGAGGGGGAAAUCGUUGCCAUCGUCAUCACCAACACUCCUCUCGUCGGAGGGGAGUCAUCUCCAUCAACAUAUUCAUCAGUGUCAUCUCCUCUCCAAACCCUAGUUCAUCUCUUGCAACCAAUCUCCGUCUCGCGACUCCGAUUGGUACUUGUAAGGUUGCUAGUAGUGUUGAUUACUCUUUGUAGUUGAUGCUAGUUGGAUUACUUGGUGGAAGAGUUUAUGUUCAGAUCCUUGAUGCUACUCAUUACACCUCUAAUCAUGAUUAUGAUUAUGCUUUGUGAGUAGUUACUUUUGUUCCUGGGGACAUGGAAUAAGUCAUGCUGAUAAUAGUCAUGUGAAUUUGAUAUUCGUUCGGUAUUUUGAUAUGAUGUAUGUUGUUUUUCCUCUAGUGGUGUUAUGUGAACGUAGACUACAUAAAACUUCACCAUAUUUGGUCCUAGAGGAAGGCAUUGGGGAGUAGUAAGUAGAUGAUGGGUUGCUAGAGUAACAGAAGCUUAAACCCCAGUCUAUGCGUUGCUUCGUAAGGGGCUGAUUUGGAUCCACUAGUUUAAUGCUAUGGUUAGACGUUGUCUUAAUUCUUCUUUCGUAGUUGAGGAUGCUUGCGAGAGGGGUUAAUCAUAAGUGGGAUGCUUGUCCAAGUAAGGGUAGUACCCAAGCGCCGGUCCACCCACAUAUCAAACUAUCAAACUAACGAACGCGAAUCACAUGAACAUGAUGAAACUAGCAUGACAGAAAUUCCCGUGUGUUCUCGGGAGCGUUUUUCCUUCUAUAAGACUUUGUUCAGGCUUGUCCCUUGCUACAAAAGGGAUUGGGUCACUUUGCUGCACCGUUGGUUGUUACUUGUUACUUUUCACUUGCUAUGUUUCACCUCAGUACACCAUCACUUGUUACCGCUACUUUCAGUGCUUGCAGUUAUUACCUUGCUGAAAAUUGUUUAUCACAGCCUUCUGCUCCUCGUUGGGUUCGACACUCUUACUUAUCGAAAGGACUACGAUUGAUCCCCUAUACUUGUGGGUCAUCAAGACUCUUUUCUAGCGCCGUUGCCGGGGACUGAAGCGCCUUUGGUAAGUGGAAUUUGGUAAGGAAACAUUUAUAUACUGUGCUGAAAUUUAUUGUCACUUGUCACUAUGGAAACUGUUCCUUUGAGGAGUUUGUUCAGGGUAUCUUCACCACGAACGGAAGCGCGAGGAGUUGCUCCUCAACCUGAGGUACCUACUGAAAAUAUCUUUUAUGAAAUUCCUUCGGGUAUGCUUGAGAAACUGCUGGCUAAUCCUUUUACAGGAGAUGGAUCAUCACAUCGAGACUUGCAUCUAAUCUAUGUAGAUGAAGUUUGUUGUUUAUUUAAACUUGUAGGUUUGCCUGAGGAUGAGGUAAAGAAGAAAGUCUUUCCUUUAUCUUUGAAGGACAUGGCGUUGACAUGGUAUAGGCUAUGUGAUGAUACUGGAUCAUGGGACUACAAUCGGUUGAAAUUGGAAUUUCAUCAAAAGUUUUAUCCUAUGCAUUUAGUACAUCGUGAUCGGAAUUAUAUUUAGAACUUUUGGCCUCAUGACAGGGAAAGCAUAGCUCAAGCUUGGGGGAGGCUUAAAUCAAUGUUGUAUUCAUGCCCCCAAUCAUGAGCUCUCGAGAGAAAUUAUCACUCAAAACUUUUAUGCUCGGCUUUCUCAUGAAGAUCGUACCAUGAUUGACACUUCUUGUACCGGUUCUUUUAUGCAGAAGGAUAUUGACCACAAGUGGAAUUUAUUGGAAAGAAUCAAACGUAACUCUGAAGAUUGGGAGCUUGAAGAAGGUAAGGAGUCAGGUAUGAAUUUCCAAUUUGAUUGUGUUAAAACUUUUGUUGAAACAAACACUUCUAGAGAUUUUAGCGCUAAGUAUGGACUUGACUCUCAGAUAGUAGCUUCUCUAUGUGAAUCUUUUGCUGCUCAUGUUGAUCUUCCCAAAGAGAAGUGGUUUAAGUAUCAUCCUCCUAUAGAAGUCAACAUAGUUAAACCCAAUCUAGUUGAAGAGAAAGUCAUUGCCUUUAGUGAUCCUAUUGUUCCUUAUGCCUACGCUGAGAAACCACCUUACCCUGCUAGGAAAAAAGGAUUAUUCUAAAGCUCCAACUCUGAUACGUAGGGGUUACAUUAGACCACUUGCACCCCUGAGGAAAUUAGAGUUGAACCUAGUGUUGCUAUUAUCAAAGAUCUCUUAGCUGAAGACAUAGACGGGCCUGUUAUCAAAUUUUGUGAGGACUCCGCUAGAAUUGCUAAACCUCACGUGAAAGACAAAUACGGACCUGUAGUUGGCAUGCCCGUUGUUUCUGUCAAGAUAGGAGAUCACUGUUAUCAUGGUUUAUGUGAUAUGGGUACUAGUGUUAGUGCAAUACCCCGGUCCCUAUACGAUGAAAUCAAAGAUGAGAUUGCACCUGCUGAGUUAGAACCCAUUGAUGUCACUAUUACGCUAGCUAAUAGAGACACUAUCUGCCCUCUGGGAAUUGUGAGGGACGUAGAAGUCCUCUGUGGUAAGAUGAAGUACCCUACUGAUUUCCUCAUCCUUGCUACUGCACAAGAUAGCUUUUGUCCCAUCAUAUUUGGUAGACCCUUUCUCAACACUGUCAAUGCUCAUAUUGAUUGCAUUAAACAGACUGUCACUGUUAGUUUAGAGGGUGUGUCUCAUGAAUUUAACUUCUCCAAGUUUGGAAGACAACCCCAUGAACAAGAGUCGUCUGGUAGGGAUGAAAUCAUUGCUCUUGCCUCUAUUGCCGUACCUCCUACGGAUCCUUUAGAGCAAUAUCUGCUUGAGCAUGAAAAUGAUAUGCAUAUGGAUAAAAGAGAUGAGAUAGAUAUAAUUGUUUUAGAUCAAUAUCCUAUUCUCAAGAAUAAUCUGCAUGUUGAAUUACUUGGGGAUCCUCCCCCACCAAAGGGUGAUCCUGUGUUCGAGCUAAAAUAGUUACCAGAUACUCUUAAGUAUGCCUACCUUGAUGAGAAGGAGAUAUAUCAUGUUAUUAUUAGUGCUCACCUCUCUAAUCACGAAGAGAAGAAGUUAUUAAAAACUUUGAGGAAGCACCGUGAGGCUAUUGGAUAUAAUCUUGAUGAUCUUAAGGGUAUUAGUCCCACUCUAUGUCAGCACAAGAUUAAAACUGGCCCUGAUUCUAAACCAGUUGCUGAUCAUCAAAGGAGAUUAAAUCCUAAGAUGAAAGAGGUCGUGAGGAAAGAAAUAUUAAAGCUUCUGGAAGCAGGAAUCAUUUAUCCUGUUGCUCAUAGCGAUUGGGUAAAUCCAGUACAUUGCGUACCUAAGAAGGGAGGUAUCACCGUCGUUCCUAAUGAUAAGAAUGAACUAAUCCCACAGAGGAUUAUUACUGGCUAUAGGAAGGUGAUAGACUUCCGAAAACUGAACAAGGCAACCAGGAAAGACCAUUAUCCUUUGUCGUUUAUCAACCAAAUGUUAGAAAGGCUAUCUAAACACAUACACUUCUGCUUUCUAGACGGUUAUUCAGGUUUCUCGGAAAUACCUGUUGCACAAUUCGAUUAGGAGAAAACCACUUUCACCUGCCCCUUCGGUACCUUUGCUUAUAGACGUAUGACUUUUGGCUUAUGCAAUGCACCUGCCACCUUUCAAAGAUGUAUGAUGGCAAUAUUCUCUGACAUUUGUGAAAAGAUUGUUGAGGUUUUCAUGGAUGAUUUCUCCGUUUACGGUUCUUCCUUUGACGAUUGCCUCAGCAACCUUGAUCGAGUCUUACAGAGAUGCAAAGAUACUAACCUCGUCUUGAACUGGGAGAAGUGCCACUUCAUGGUUAAUGAAGGCAUCGUCUUAGGAAACAAAAUCUCUGAGAAAGGCAUUGAAGUUGAUAAGGCUAAGGUUGAUGCAAUUGAGAAAAUGUCUUGCCCCACAGAUAUCAGAGGUAUACGAAAUUUCCAAUGUCAUGUUGGUUUCUAUAGAAGGUUCAUUAAAGACUUCUCUAAGAUUUCUAGGCUUCUUACCAACCUCUUCCAGAAGGAUGUUCCUUUUGUUUUUGAUGAGGAUUGUGAGGAAGCUUUCGAAAUACUUAAGAAGGCCUUGAUAACCGCACCUAUUGUUCAACCUCCUGAUUGGAACUUUCCCUUUGAAAUCAUGUGCGAUGCUAGUGAUUAUGCUGUCGGCGCUGUUCUAGGACAAAGAGUUGACAAGAAGUUGAAUGUUAUUCACUACGCUAGUAAAACUCUAGACAGUGCCCAAAGAAACUAUGCCACUAUGGAGAAGGAGUUUUUAGCAGUUGUGUUUGCAUGUGAAAAGUUCAGAUCUUAUAUAGUUGACUCCAAAGUCGCUAUUCACUCUAAUCAUGCUGCUAUUAAGUACCUUAUGGAGAAGAAGGAUGCUAAGCCUAGGCUAAUCAAAUGGGUUCUCCUGCUACAGGAAUUUGAUUUGCACAUUGUUGACUGAAAGGGUGCUAAUAACCCUGUAGCAGAUAACUUGUCCAGGCUAGAGAAUGUCCUUGAUGACCCACGACCUAUUGAUUACAGCUUUCGUGAUGAGCAAUUAAAUGUCAUUCGCACUUCACAUAGUGCAACAUGGUAUGCUGAUUACGCAAACUAUAUCGUAGCCAAAUACAUACCACCGAGUUUCACCUACCAGCAAAAAAGAAAUUCUUCUUUGAUUUGAGACACUGCUUUUGGGAUGAUCCUCACCUUUAUAAGGAAGGAGUAAAUGGUGUUAUUAGACGUUGUGUGCCUGAACAUGAACAGGGACAGAUCCUGCAGAAGUGUCAUUCCAAAUCCUACGGACGACACCAUGCUGGAGAUAGAACUGCUCAUAAGGUAUUGCAAUCAGGUUUCUAUGGGCCCACUCUCUUCAAGGAUGCCCGUAAGUUUGUCUUGUCUUGUGACGAAUGCCAAAGAAUAGGGAACAUGAGUAAACGUCACGAAAUGCCUAUGAACUAUUCACUUGUCAUUGAACCAUUUGAUGUUUGGGGCUUUGAUUAUAUGGGACCCUUCCCGAGUUCCAAUGGGUACACUCACAUCUUAGUUGCUGUUGAUUAUGUCACUAAGUGGGUAGAAGCUAUCCCCACUAGAAAUGAUGAUCAUCACACCUCUAUUAAGAUGCUUAAAGAAGUCAUUUUCCCAAGAUUUGGAGUCCCUAGAUAUCUGAUGACUGAUGGCGGUUCACACUUCAUUCAUGGUGUUUUCCGCAAGAUGCUUGCUAAGUAUGAUGUCAACCGUAGAGUUGCAUCUCCUUAUCAUCCUCAGUCUAGUGGUCAAGUGGAGUUGAGUAAUAGGGAGAUCAAAUUGAUCUUACAAAAGACUGUCAAUAGAUCUCGAAAGAAUUGGUCUAGUAAACUAGACGAUGCACUAUGGGCUUAUAGGACUGCUUAUAAGAAUCCCAUGGGCAUGUCGCCGUAUAAAACGGUUUACGGUAAGGCCUGUCAUUUACCUCUUGAGCUAGAACAUAAGGCUUAUUGGGCAAUCAAAGAGCUCAACUUCGAUUUCAAACUUGCCGGUGAGAAGUGGUUGUUUGAUAUCAGCUCAUUAGAUGAAUGGAGGGCCCAGGCAUAUGAGAAUGCCAAGUAGUUCAAGGAAAAGGUUAAGAGAUGGCACGAUAAAAGAAUACAAAAACGAGAGUUCAAUGUAGGAGAUUAUGUCCUGCUAUACAAUUCUCGCUUAAGAUUCUUUGCAGGCAAGCUUCUCUCUAAAUGGGUAGGUCCUUACGUUGUCGAGGAAGUAUAUCGUUCCGGUGCCAUCAAAAUCAAUAACCCGGAAGGUAAUUUUCCUAGAGUGGUAAAUGGGCAAAGAAUCAAGCAUUAUAUCUCUCAUACUCCCAUAAAUGUUGAGACCAAUAUCAUCAAUAUCAUAACUCGAGAGGACUACAUAAGGGAUGUUUAUCAGCCUGUUUCAGACCCUGAAAACGAAGAGGUAUGUGUUUCCGUAAGUAAUUGGACUCUGAAACUCUUCCAAUAGAAAAUUUUCUCUGUUUUGGAAUUUUUGGAAAAUUAGAAAACUAAAAAGCAGUCCGGAGAGCACACGAGGCGGCCACAAGCUUGGUAGCCGCCACCAACCCCCCNNNNNNNNCCCCCCCCCCGCGGCGGCUACAAGGCUUGUGGGCACCUCGUGUGCCUCCCGGACUCCGUUUUCUUGCGGAGCACUCCUUCUGGUCCAGAAAAAAUCAUUAUAUAUACGCCUGAGGGUUUUGAUCUCCGUAUCGCGCAGUUUUCCUCUAUUUUCGUUUCGAGCCUGUUUUCUGCCGCAGAUCUAGGUCAAGAUGUCUUCUCAGGAUUCAGAGGGGGGAGCUAUGUGGCUGAUUACCUUGCUAACCCCAAGGUUUAUGGGGACUUGGAACCAUAUGGCUAGAAAACUGACGAGGAAGAGGACUAUGAUCCCAAGGGGAAGGAACAAACGAGUUCCGACGAAGAGGAGGCUCCUCUACCUCAACUUGGAUGCACUCAUGUGGAGUUCAAGAAGUCAAGCCUCCCUGACCAAAGGAAGAAGCCUAAGACCUUGUUUAUCCCUUCUCGUUUCUUGCAGGAGAGUAAGCAGGAACUUUGCCAUAGAGUGUUGAAGCUUGAGGAGGAAAAUGAUGAUCUGAGGGAGCAAAACUUUAUGCUCAAGUUGAAAUUAGACAAGCUCAAGACUGCUUCAACAACACCACCACCAUCACCACAAAAGGAAGACAACUAAGAAUUGGUAUGGGCAAUCCUCUUGGCCUUUGCCAAGCUUGGGGGAGUUGCCCUGGUAUCGUAUCACCUUUAUAUCUUUUGUUUUUACCUUUGUUUUAGUUCUUUCCUUUUCAGUUUUUAUUUCUUCUCUUAGUGGAAUAAGUCUUUAGUGUUCAGUUUGAGUCUUUUGCUUUGUGUCUCCCCCGAUGUAUUCGAGCUCGCGAGCUAUAUAAUAAAGAGUAUUUUAGUCAAGGGCUUUGUUUUGUGUCGUGAUCAAAAGUAUUAUAAGAACGAUAGCAUGAAAGAUCAUGAGAUGAUCUUAUGGAAAGUAAUAGCUUCACAUAUCACAAGUAUGAUGAUUGAAACUUGUUGAGAAUAGACCAACAUAGACCCCAGUCAUUGUUGCAUUUAAUAAGAAAUAAUAAGGAAAGAGAGGUUCACAUAUAAAUAUAUCAUCUUAUACACUUUAUACAAUUGUGAGCACUCACCAAACUAUUACAUGCUUAGAAGAAGAUGUUGGACAAGGAAGACAACAUAAUGAAUUGUGUUUGUUUGGUUCCAAACAAUGUUAUAUGCCUAGAGAUCCCUUAGCAUGUGACGAUUGCUUCCACCUCAUAUUAGCCAAAACUUCUGCACCAAGUAGAGAUACUACUUGUGCAUCCAUAAACCUUCAACCCAGUUUUUCCAUGAGUGUCCACCAUACCUACCUAUGGAUUGAAUAAGAUCCCUCAAGUAAGUUGUCAUCGGUGCAAGCAAUAAAAAUUGCUCUCUAAUAUGUAUGAUCUAUUAGUGUGUGGAAAAUAAGCUUUGUACGAACCUGUGAUGAGGAAGACAUAAAAGCGACAGACUGCAUAAUAAAGUUCUUUAUCACAGGAGGCAAUAUAAAGUGAUGUUCCUCCGCACUAAGAGGACACGCAUCCUAACCUCAAAAGCGCAUGACAACCUCUUCUUCCCUCUGCGAAGGGCCUAUCUUGUACCUUUACUUUUUGCCCUUGAAAGAGUCAUGGUGAUCUUCACCAAUUCCUUAUUUUGCCUUUGUCUUGGCUACCGUCACAAGCUAGGGAAAGAUCUAUAUUCAUAUAUCAACUUGGAGGUGAGUACUUAUGCUUUAUUAUUGUUGACUUCACCCUUGAGGUAAAUGGUUGGGAGGCAAAAUUAUAAGCCCCUAUCUUUCUCUGUGUCCAACUGAAACUUUGAUACCAUGAGUACCACGUGAGUUGUAACAAUUGUGGAAAACAAAAGAGAUGAUUGAGUAUGUGGCUUUGCUUUACAAGCUCUUAUUUGACUCUUUGUGAUGUUAUGAUAAAUUGCAUCUGCUUCAAUGACUAUGAACUGUUGUUGGCUACUUCUCGGUAAGGUUUUUGUUUCAUACUUUGCUUUGUGAAGGAAUUGUUACUUUCCCAUAAGAAUCUUUGUGAUGUAUUGAUGUUCUAUGUGUGAUCAUGAUGCCCUCAUGUCUGUAUUAUGUUUUAUCGACACCUUCAUCCCUAAACAUGUGGACAUGUUCGUGGAUCUUUGUUUUCGCUUGAGGACAAGCAAGGUCUAAGCUUGGGGGAGUUGAUACGUCCAUUUUGCAUCAUGCUUUCAUGUUGAUAUUUAUCGCUUUAUGGACUGUUAUAUUACUUUGUGGUACCAUACUUAUGCCUUUUCUCUCUUAUUUUGCAAGGUUUAUUUGAAAAGGGAGAAUACCGGCAGCUGGAAUUCUGGACUGGAAAAGGAGCAAGUCUGAGUCCUCUAUUCUGCGCAACUCCAAAUGCCCUGAAUAUCAACGUGGAAUUUUUUAGGAAUAUAUAAAAAAUAUUGGGCGAAAGAAGUGCCAGAGGGGCGCUACCAGGGGCCCACAAGCCUGGUAGCCGCCGCCCCCCUGGUGGCGGCUACACGGCUUGUGGGCACCCUGGCGGCCCACUGCCCCCCCUCUUUUGCUAUAUGAAGGGUUUCGUCCAGGAAAAAAAUUAGGGUGGAACUUUUUCGUGGAUUCUCCGCCGCCACGAGGCGGAACUUGAGCAGAACCAAUCUAGAGCUCCGGCAGGACGAUCCUGCCGGGGAAACUUCCCUCCCGAAGGGAAAUCGUCGCCAUCGUCAUCACCAACACUCCUCUCUCGGAGGGGAGUCAUCUCCAUCAACAUCUUCAUCAGCACCAUCUCCUCUCCAAACCCUAGUUCAUCUCUUGUAACCAAUCUUCGUCUCGCGACUCCGAUUGGUACUUGUAAGGUUGCUAGUAUUGUUGAUUACUCUUUGUAGUUGAUGCUAGUUGGAUUACUUGGUGGAAGAGUUUAUAUUCAGAUCCUUGAUGCUACUCAUUACACAUCUGAUCAUGAUUAUGAUUAUGCUUUGUGAGUAGUUAGUUUUGUUCCUAAGGACAAGGGAUAAGUCAUGCUGAUAAUAGUCAUGUGAAUUUGGUAUUCGUUCGGUAUUUUGAUAUGCUAUAUGUUGUGUUUUCCUCUAGUGGUGUUAUGUGAACAUCGACUACAUAACACCACCCUCUCCUAGCAAAAUUUGUUUGGCUAAGUAGGCUUGCUCAGCUUCUAAUGAAUAGCUUUGCUAGUUGCACGUGCCAGCUGUCUCAUGUGUUAACAUGAGUAUUUUGAUAUCAUUAUGUUUAACUGCUAUUUAAUUAAUGCACAUAUAUACUUGGUAAAUGACAGAAGGCAUAGCCUUUUGUUGGGUGAUUUGUUCCGUUGUUGCCGCCUUAGUUUCGGUUACCAGUGUUUGAUUCCAUAACUGAUCGCUCCUAACACGUUCGGGGUUGUUAUGGGGACCCCCUUGAUAAAUCGUGUAGUGUUAAGGCUUGUCUGGGAGGACCCAACAUUGGUUUUAAUCUGCUAAUCACUUAAUAAUAAUUUGUAUAGGGAAUAGCUACCCCGAGGAUUUAAUCAACAACCCUGGCUAGUGCUCCUCAUGAGUGUUGGUCCCACCUGAGCGAUGUCCGGGGCCCCCCUGGUCACCCAGUGGUUUAGCCAACCCGAUGUCUAGCUCAUCCGUCGUGUCCUAAGACUAAGAUACAUGGCUCUUAUCGGGGUCGUCGACACGACGGGAGGUCCUGCUAGAUUUAUCUUACCUUAGCGAUAUAUCUUGUGUAUAGGAAUCCCGGUGAAACUUUGGGUCUCCUCAGAGGCAUUUAUAUCAAUUGGUAGGAAGCGAGCAUAUUUCGAUGGAAACAUGAUUCUAAGCAUAACGAAGCUAGAUACGGUAUCAAGGUCACGGUCAUCUUGCGUGUGAAUUCUUCAGCUUGGAACUGCUCGUGAUCUUCGUGCACGUACUCUCCAGAAUCCACGUACUUGCUCUCCGAUCCCGAUGCUACCCAAGAUAAAAUAACACCCAAUGAACACCAACACAACAUGAUGCAACAGAAAAUAUGAUGCAUGAGUGAAGAAGGAAGCAUGCAUCACUAUUCUAGUCACUUUCAUAUGCAUUAGUUGAGUCAAUAAACUUCUGGACAGAACUUCAUAUUAAGUUAUCUUGACAUGUAUGAUGAUGGCACCCAGCUGACGUGGCAGUACGACGAGGAGUCUGACCGACUGUACGUGAACUAUCCGGAGGACUGAGGUCGUGGUCGUGAUCAUGGGCCAGCAUGUGGGAUGUCAUAGCUCUUUUACUUGUUUCAUGUUGUCCGUAGCGGGACUAAACUUUGCUCUGAAUAAUUGUGUGGUUGUAAACCUUAUGUUAUACUAUGUCAGAUGGCAAGUGUAUGCCCUACUUGUCAUUCUUCGGUUAUGUAAUGUUAUGAUUAUCUCACUUGCGAAACGUUUAGAUGUGCCUCUUUCCCUUUUGGGGCAUCGCCCCCAAAAUAGGAAAGGGUCGCAUCUUAGUCGUUACAGUUUUGAAGUUUUAGAGAAGUCUUUAAUAAAUCUCCUAUAGAAACCAGCAUGACCGAGGAAACUACGAAUACCUCUGAUGUCCCUUGGAUAAGGCAUUCUCUCGAUUGCUUCAAUCUUUGCCCUGUCCACCUCGAUUCCUCUUUCAGAAAUCUUGUGGCCAAGAACAAUUCCCUCAUUGACCAUGAAGUGGCACUUCUCCCAGUUGAGUACUAAGUUCGUCUCCUCACAUCUCUACAAAACUUUAUUAAGGUUGUGGAGACAAUGGUCAAAACAGGUUCCAUAGACGGAGAAAUCGUCAAUGAAGACCUCCACAAUCUCCUCACAAAAACCAUGAAAAAUAGCGGACAUACACCUUUGAAAAGUAGCACGAGGAUUGCAUAAACCAAAAGGCAUACGUCUAUAAGCAUAAGUACCAAAGGGACAAGUAAAAGUGGUCUUCUCUUGAUCGGCAGUGUCAACAUGAAUUUGAGAGAAGCCAGAGUACCCAUCAAGACAGCAAAAGUGAGUGUUUUGGAUAAACUUUCAAGCAUUUGGUCAAUGUAUGGCAGCGGGUAGUGGUCCUUCCUUGUUGCCUUGUUCAGCUUCUUGUAAUCAAUACACAUUCUAUAUCCAAUAAUAAUUCCUUGAGGUAUUAGUUCAUUCUUAUCAUUAGGAACCAUAGUCGUACCUCCUUUCUUGGGAACACAAUGUACUAGACUUACCCACUUACUAUCAGCUAUGGGGUAGAUAAUACGUGCGGCUAGAAGCUUGAGGGUUUCGGUCCUCACAAUAUCCUUCAUCUUCGGGUUUAACCAUCGUUGAUGAUCAACCACCGGUUUAGCAUGAGGCUAAAGAUUGAUAGUAUGCUGACAAAUAGAUGGACUGAUCCCCUUAAGAUCAUCAAGGGUAUAGCCAAUAGCGCCUCGGUGUUUACGAAGGACUUCCAAUAAUCGCUCUUCUUCAUAUCCUGAAAGGUUAGAAUUGAUAAUAACAGGAUAUACUUUCUUUUCAUCUAAAUAAGCAUACUUGAGCGUACUAGGAAGAGGUUUGAGAUCAAACACCGGGUCUUCUUUUGGUUUCGAUAAAAUUCCCAAAGACUCAACCGGAAGGUUGUGCUUCAGGAUAGCAGGUUGUCUCAAGAAUAUGUCAUCUAGUUCAUUCGUUUCCUGCAUAUGCAUAUCAUUCUUGUGGUUCUCCAUAAAUUGUUGAAAACGAUUGUUAGGAGGAAUAGCAAUAGAAGCAAUCUCUUCAAUAAUAAUAUCGUUACUAGGAAGUCAGUACCACGAGUUUGCUUCGAGAAUUUAGAAAAGUUAAAUUCAUAUGGCUCACCAUUAAAUUCAAUAGAUACUUUUCCUUUCCUGCAAUCUAUAAUAGCUCCACAAAUUUUGAGAAAAGGCCUACCAAAGAUAAUAGGGCAAAAACUAUCUUGUACUGAACCAAGUACUAGAAAGUCGGCAGGAUAUUUUACCUUUCCACACAGAACUUCAACAUCUCGCACAAUUCCAAUAGGAGAGAUAGUUUCUUUGUUUGCAAGAUGAAUCGUAACAUCAACUUCUUCAAUUUCACAUGGUAGAAUCUCAUUCAUGAUCUCUUGAUAAAGUGAAAAGGAAUAGCACUAGCACUAGAUCCCAAAUCACAUAGCCCAUAAUAAUUAUGAUCUCCUAUUUUAACAGAUACAACUGGAGUACCUAAAAUUGGGCAUUUAUUCUUGGCUGUAACAAGGUUAGUGAAACAACACAAAAAAUUAUAUUAGAAUCCUCAAUAUUACUAGUAACAAGAUCCUUGACUAAUGCAACUUGAGGAUCGACUUUAAUCAGGUCCUCAUGCUCAUCAGUCGUUCUUUCACUUUUAUUCAGGAUGUGUGUGACAAAAGAAUGCUCCCUCAUCCUUGCGGGAAAAGGGGGCCUUUCAUAUUCAAUUAUAGGCAAGAUAGGGUCAACAACAUUAAUAUCAACAGGUAAUUCCUUAAAAGGUUUAUGAUGUUGAUCCUCCUUCUUCUCAGAAGAGUCAAUAUGAGAGGCAAAGUCUUUGCAAAAAUCAAUUAGAAGCUGGGAAUCAAGACCAAUCUUAGCGCAAAAGGUAUUGAAGUAAUCAGUUUUCACAUAGCUCUCAAUGUAAUCACGCUCAUAAUUUAUAACGGGUUCAAUACCUUUAUCAAUCUCCCAGUCUCCAGUGUUCUUCUAGAUCCUUUCAAUAAGAUCCCACUUAGCUUCAGUGCUUUUGUUGGAGAAUGCCCCACUAGAGGAAGCAUCAAGCAUCUCUUUAUCUUGACGAGAAAGCCUUGCAUAAAAAUUUGUGAGAAUAAUUUCUUUGGAGAGCUCAUGAUUGGGGCAUUUGAGCAUUAAGGAUUUCAAUCUCCCCAAAGCUUGAGAGAUGUUUUCUCCGUCACGAGACCAAAAGUUAUAAAUAUAAUUCAUGUCUCGAUGUAUUUCAUGAAGAGGAUAAAACUUUGCAUAAAAGAGAGGCAUAAGAUCUUGCCAAUUUAGUAAAUGAGAAUCAUCAAGAAGCCUAUACCAAUCCAAAGCCUUAUCUUUUAAUGAUAGAGAGAAUAAAUUUCUCAUAACAAAAUCCAUCGAUAUACCUGCGAGCUUAAAUAAGGAGCAUAGUUGUGAAAGAUAUAGCAAGUGUUCACCUGGAUGUCUAUCUCCUGCAUAUCGAUUAGCCAAAACACAAUCAAUAAUACCAGUUGGUAUUUUAAAAGGCACAGUUUCAGUAGGUGGGGGAGGCUUAUCCACCACAAUAGCGUUGGGGCGGUUCCCCACAAGCCACAAACCAAGAGCAGAGUGGUCCAUAGGGACAAAAAGAGGGAACAAUAAAACAAAAACAGCACGUAGAGUGUAAAGGUUUCCUUACCAAUUUCACGUACCAAUAGCGCUACACUCCCUGGCAACAGCGCCAUAAAAUGGUCUUGAUGACCCACAACUAUAGGGUAUCUAUUGUAGCCUUUUAGAUAAGUAAGAGUGACAAACCCAACGAGGAGCAGAAGGUAUUGACAAGUGAUCUUGAGCAAGGAAUAAAUGCAAGUAUUGAAAGGUAGCUUUUUAUGGUUUUUCUAGUAUAAGCAACAAGGAAAUAAAUGCAAGUAAAGUAAAUGGUGACGAGGUGCAGCAAGUGGCCCAAUCCUUUUGAACACAAAGGAUAAGCCGAGGGACUAAACUUAUAAAGACUAAGGCGUUCCUCAGGACACACGGGAAAGAUAGUCAAGUGCUUUCGUCAUAUUCCGUCUAGUACUAUGUUUUGUAUUGAUAAGUGUUAUGUGGGUGGAUCUUAACUAGUGCACGUCUAAGCUAAGACAAGUAAACUCUUAUGAUUAAUGCCUCUUGCAAGCAUCCUCAAAUACAAGAGAGAAAUUAAGGCAAAACCUAACCAUAGCAAUAAGCUUUAGGAUCCCAUACUCCCUCAUGCAAAAGUAUGCAAACUGGGGUUCAUGUUUCUGUCACUCCAGCAACCCACCAUAAGCAUUCUUUAUACACGAUGCAUCCCCCUAGGUCCUUAAAAAGGCGAAGUGGUAUGUAGUCGGCGUUCACAUAACACCACUAGAAUAAUAAGAACAUAACUUAAAUAUCAAUCAACACAUAUUACUUCAACAUCAUAUGACUACUAACAUCUAGACUUUUCCCAUGUCCUCAAGAACUAUUGGAACUACUCACAAGACAUAAAAGAGAUCAUAAUCAGAGGUGAUGAAAAUAUGAUUAACAAUCUUGUCAUAACAAUAAUCCUCCAACAAAACUAAAUAGCAUUCACCACAAAAGAGUAAUCAAAACCGGUAGAGUAGAGGGGAUGAAUAGUGCAAGGUACAACUCCGAUUGUAAUGGUGGAGUAGAUGGGAUGAAGAUGGAGAUGGUGUUGGUGUUGGUGAAGAUGGUGAUGAUGAUCUCGAUGAUGCCGGUGACGAUGGUGAUGACGAUGAGGACGAUCUCCCCUUCCGGGAGGAGUUCUCCCCGACGGAAUCUGCCCGCCGGAAAGGUCUUUUCUUCUCUGUAGGUUUCCGCCGCGGAGCGGCGGCGGAAUCACGAAAACUCUUCUGUCCCCCCAAUUUUUAGGUCAAGAGAGACAUAUAGGCCAAAGGAGAGUGUCAUAGGUCGGGCUCGUCACUCACGCGGCAUCGUGGCGCGGACUAGGGGGCGUGCCAGCAGGUCGCCUGGGUGACCUGUGGCCCCCCUCCGGCCCUUCUUUGGCCUGUCUUCGGGACCCGUUCGGAAACUUCUUCCCUCAAAAUAUCAGCUCAAUUGGAGAUGUUUUGAUAUUCCAACUCUUCGUGCUAUUUUAUCCGCUGAAUCUUGUGUUUGUUGUUUCGGCACCGGAAAGUUGGACACUGUGUAAAAUAAGCCAAAACACUAUAAGUACAUCAUCAAAAAGUGAAAUAUAUCAAUGAAUAGAGAUAACUAUGAUACAAAAUAGUGAUGCAUUUUGGACGUAUCAAUCCCUUCCCACCAGAAUGAUAUGGGAAGAGGACGAGGGCCUCCACCAUAAAGACAGAGGGUAGGAUACUUCGAGGGGGGUGGAUUCAUUCUCAUUCGCCCACCUUUACACCACUAAGGCCACCUAGCCUCAGGAGGCCGAAGAACAUUGUACUAGCUCAUACACCUACCUCCACGAGAGGCAAUCCACCAAAUCAGGAGUAGGGUUUUACACUUCGCAGCGGCCUAAACCUGGGUAAACAGUUGUGUUCUCUAUUUCCCUCACCAUCGAGUGAGUUCUUCGUCGUUCCCAUCGAGUAGCGAGCUAGGCGAGGCCAGGCCGUGAGAGAUCUUUGUACACGCCCCUGAGUUUGAAUCUUUAGGGUUCUGCGGAUCCCGAAAUCUGACAUCUCUUAAGCGCUCAAAAUUAUUUUUACUAACUUAUAGCUGCCCCCGAUAUGGUGUGUGGAUAAGAUGGAUUGUUGGGAGGCGUUGGUGGAUGAGUGGUGCACAGGCAACUGGCUCAUCCACGACAAUGCUAAGGAGUGGCAUGCCCAAAUGGUUGGUGUGCCACACCAUCAAGGCAGCUCCAACUUAAUUCAGCUCGGACGGAACUGGGGACGUGGUUUGCUCCCUUAUUCAUGCAAUUAAUUAUUCAUGCUAGAUUGAUCCCUUUACUAAUACUCUGUUCCUCCCUUUUAGGCGCAUCACAAUAAUAUGGAGGUGCCAGAGUUGUACGACCUUUAUGGCAUGGCCCAUACUACCCCCUACAAGAAGGCCAAGGCAUUCUCUGAGUCUGACCUGGAUCAUCCACAGAUGUUCACCAAUAUCUCCUCCCACCACAAGCUCGUUAAAUACAGAGACGUGGGGAAGGCUAGGAAAGGGGAGGACUUUAACCCAAACCAGGAACCUUUGGAUCCAGAGCUGGUGAUGAUAUCUGGCGGCAGGAGGCCCCAUGGCUCGAUAGCCAUUGGAGAUGGGAUAAUACGUUGUCCACUCACUCUCCUGGAGAUCAAGGCGCGCCAGUCGAGCUCCUGUCCUGAGAUAACACCUCGUCCACGGCCAGUCGAUCUCGCCAUCGAGGUUAGUUGUACGGACUCAGAGAACUUUCAUCCAUUUCAUUGUGUGUGUGGCCAUCGAUCAUUAUAGUGGUAAUGAGGUCGCGGGCUUCUCUUCGGAAAGAGAGAGCGGAAAACCAAUAUGCUCUUGAGAAAGAGAGAGUUGCAAACCAGGCUGCUCUUCAGGAUGCUCUUGAUGAGAGGGACCAGAACACGGCUCGGUUGUUGGAGGAGGAGAGGGCCCAGAAUGAUGCAGGUCACCUCGCCAUGUACGAGCUUAUUGUGGUAAGUUCCUGUUUCACAUUACCAAAUCAUGUGUGUAAUGUUGGUUUCAUUAGUAACUAAUACGACCGACUCUUCAAAACCAAAUGUGUAGUCUAUGUGCGAGAAGACCGGUCAGCCCCCUCCGCCGAUGCCCGUCUUUUCUGUGAUUGGCACGGUGAGUUUGAUUUCAAUGGUCAAUAUAAACUAGUAUUAAAAUUUGAGUGUCAUCAUGCUAACGAGACAUUGCAAAAUAUCUUUUCUGCAGAAUAACUCCCGACCGGCAUCGCACGACCCUUCUCGAGGGCGACCGUCUCCAAAUGCAACCGGUACGAGCAACCCUAGUGCUUCUCCUAGAUGACCACGAUGGUAAGUUUUCUCUAGUUCAUUUAUGACAUAAUUAGUUAAUUUAGCUCCAAAAUGACGUAAUUAGCUAAUUUCUCCGCUUUCUUCUUCUCCUUAGCUUAUUUUCCCAACAAAGACAUACUUAGCUAAUUAUCCUCCAAAAUGACAUAAUUAGCUAAUUUAGCUCCAAAAUGACAUAAUUAGCUACUUUAGCUCCAAAAUGACAUAAUUAGCUUAGUUAGGUAAAAACAUCACAAAAACCUUUAUUAGCUCAUAACUUAGUGUAUCUUCCUCCUAAAUGACAUAAUAAGCUUUUCCUCCUAAAUGACAUAUCCUUUUCCUCUCCUUCUUGUUCUUCUUCUCCUCCUUCCNNNNNNNNNNNNNNNNNNNNNNNNNNNNNNNNNNNNNNNNNNNNNNNNNNNNCUCCUCUUUCUUCUCCUCUUUCAUCUUCUCCUUAGCUUAUUUUCCCCAACAAUGACAUAAUUAGCUAAUUUAGCUCCAAAAUGACAUAAUUAGCUAGUUUAGCUAAUUUAGCUCCAAAAUGACAUAAUUAGCUAAUUUAGCUCCAAAAUUACAUACUUAGCUAAUUUAGCUCCAAGAAUAGGAGAAGAGGAGAAGAAAGAGGAAAAAUGAAAANNNNNNNNNNNNNNNNNNNNNNNNNNNNNNNNNNNNNNNNNNNNNNNNNNNNNNNNNNNNNNNNNNNNNNUUCUUCUCCUUCUUCUUCUCUUCUUUCUUCUCCUCUUUCAUCUUCUACUUAGCUUAUUUUCCCCAAUAAAGACAUACUUAGCUAAUUAUCCUACAAAAUGACAUAAUUAGCUAAUUUAGCGCCAAAAUUACAUAAUUAGCUUAGUCAGGUAAAACAACAUCACAAGAACCUUGGUUAGCUCAUAACUUAGCGUAUCUUCCUCCUAAAUGACAUAAUAAGCUCAAAAUGGCUUAAGAACCUUGGUUAGCUCAUAAAUAUUAUAUACUUAGCUUGGUUUCCCCUAAAAUGACAUAAUUAGCUUAGUUAGGUCAAAAAAGGCAUAAGAACCUUUGUUAGCUCAAAAAGUUCAUAUACUUAGCUUAUUUUCCUCCAAAAUGACAUAAUAAGCUCAAAAAGUUCAAAUAUUGUUGUUGCUCUUCUUCUAACUUUCUUAUUCCCAUUUUUCACAUUAGAUGUACUACAUGGAAGCCGACAUUGAUGUAGUGCUUUAGUUUUUGUUUUCAUUCGAGUUGAUGAUAAUGUGGAACUAUAUGUAUAUGUAUAUAUGGAUGAACAGCGUAAAACAUUGUAUGUUGGUUCUUUCGAUAAAUGGGCUGUGAUUGAUGAACAAAUGGCAUUGAUGAACUUUAUAUGUAUAUUAUAUAUGUGUUGUGAACUAUAUAUGUGUGAUGUGAACUAUAUAUCAUAUAUGUGUUGUGAAAUAUAUANAGUCAGUUGUGCAACCUGGGGCAACAUGGGGCUGGCCCAUAUGGUUACUUUGUCGUCUGCUGCCUGGGAAGGCAAACGACAAAGACAGUAGAGAGGCAGGCGGCAAAGAUAGUGCGACAGGCAGGCGAAAAAGAUAGUGAAACAGGCAGACGGCAAAUCCAUGCAAACAAUAAGACGACAACGAUAUUGAGGAGGCAGACAGCAAAGACUAUGAAAUAGGUAGACGGCAAAGAUUUUCAAAAGAGACACACGGCAAAUGCUCCGUUAGCCACCUAAUGGAGUAGUUGCCUGUCGGUUGCCAUGUACAGAUCUUUGCCGUUUGCUUCGAUAGAUGGCUGACGACAAAGGUCUUUGCCGUCCGCUUUGUGUUGGUGGAUGGCAAAGAAGGUACUUUAUUGUUGAAAGGUGUCGCAGAAAUUUUGCCGACACGAAGCUGAUGGCAGUAGCCUUUGUCGUCCGUGGAACACCCCUUUGUCGUCUACUAUGGAAAACGGCAGAGUCUGAUUCCUGUAGUGAAUGUCUUACCUUCAGCUUGAGCCAAGAAGAAACAAUAACAUCAAGCUCAAGUAUAAGGCCUGACUCAAAGGUAUUAGUUCCUUUGACGUUAGUGGUGCGGAGUGAUGAUCACCAAACAAACAUAUACACUCAAGUAUGGAUUAUCGGUAGCUAUGUAGUGUAGAUCUUUUACGAUUCUUGAGUUUUAGGGACCCCAUAAUAUUAAGAAGGGAUCACUGGGUAUCGCAAGAAACUUGCUCAAAACUCUAGGCAAUUCCACUAUCUCUAUCUUCCUGGUUGGUCUGCUCCUAUUCGGUCGUCCGGUGGUUCUCGGGCGUCCGGACCCCGGAUGGCCGACACCGUCUGGAAAUCCGGAGCCAGCCAACAGAGUCAAACCUUCGACUUCUGGCCCCUCCGGUCGUUCGAGAACUAGACGUCCGGGUAUGGUAGGAAUUCCGUUGCCACCAAACAGAUCCAAAAUGUCGGACUUUCGACCAUUCUGGGCGACCGUGUUCCGGACGGACGAUGCCUUUCGGUCGUUCGUGUGUUGUUCACUUUUUCACCUGAUGCUGACCUAAUAUCUUCUGUGUCUUCGGACGACCGACGUCCUCCGGACGACAGUAUGCUGAUUACCUCUUACCAAACACUUUGGUAAUCAGAUACCUUGUGCAUCUUUCGGACGACCGACCACUAUCGGACGUCCAAACCCUCUUGGUUGUCCGGGCGAUCGUGAGCUGCCGGACGUUCGGCAACUGCACAGCAUAAGUGGCUCCAACGGUCACCUUUUUUCACCACUAUAUAUAGUCUUCUCCCACCUCGAGCGGGAGGUGCCAAACACAGCCAAAAGAUUCCAAGAACAUCUUUCUUUCUCACUCCCAUUUGCCUACACCAAAAGAUAGAUCCCAAGUGCUUCUGUGAGUGCCUUUUAGGGUUGCUCCAAUCAAAAGAUAGAUCGUAUCCCUCUCCUCCUCUCAAUCCAAGAUAUUUGUGAUUUGAGAAAGUUUUCAGAAGUUCUCGUGAUCUUGUUACUCUUGGAGGUUGGAGACUCCUAGGCGGUAGUACUUCUUCGGAGAGGAAUCAAACCGUUGUGAUUACCCCCGGAAAGUUUGUGAGGGUUUGGAAGCCACCUCAAAGGCUUACCACUAGUGGUUGAGAAACGCCUUCGUGGUGUUGUCUCAAAGGGAGAAUAGGGUGAGCCUUCAUGGCCUUGGUGUGCCUUCGUGGUAACAUCCACCUCUCUAACGGUGACUAGCUUCCCUCCAAGGAAGUGAACAUUGGGAUACAUCCUCGUCUCCGUGACUUCGGUUAUCCCUAACCCUAACUCCUUGCUUGCGUCUUACCUUGGUUACUUGAGCGUACAUUCACUACAUAUUGUUGUCCGCAUUAUAUUGUGUUGGCUAUUUCCCUGUAAAGAUUAAUCAGUCAGGCCUACAUUUUAUAACCCGGAGUUCAUACUUGCUACUAUUGGUAUAUCUUGUGUUUAGUGUGAUUUGCUAACUUGUGUCAUACACUUACACAUCUUGUGAUACUGCUCAAGUAACUUUGUGUAACUUACUUGUGCUUGUGAGUAAUCUUGUUGUGAUUCAUCUUGGUAGAACAAGUUGUUGGUGCACGUAGUUGAGCCUAGUAUAUUUAGGAUUUGUGCUUGAAAAGUAUCCUCUUUAGUUUAUUUCCGCAUUAGGAUUAAGCCAAAUCCGUAGAAGUUUCUAAAACGCCUAUUCACCCCUCCCUCUAGGCGACAUCGUGGUCCUUUCAAUUGGUCUCUCCUUAUUCGGCUUCACCGCCUAGAGAGUAUCGAUGUCGACUAUUGGAUUAGUGCACAAUGACACCUUGACUUUGAUGGCACAAAUUAUCACUUGUGGAGAAUUUGUAUGCUUUAUCACCUUCGGGCCAUGGGCCCAAAUUCUUUAGGAAUUGUUCUCGUAGGGAUUGCUGCUGCAAAGGAUGAUCCAUCUCCAUCUAUAGAUGACAUGUAUCUUGAUUGUGAGGCCUCCCUUGCAUUCAUCAAACUAUAAACCCUGAAGUGUUUAAGUCAAUCUCGACUUGCAAGUCGGCUCAUGAAGUUUGUACCAAACUCAAAGAUAUAUAUGGUGGGUCCAAUCUCGAUGAAGACAAUAUUAUGUUGAAGGAAUUGGUGCACGAGCUCUUCACACUUUUCUAUCAUGAAGAGACCUCCAUUACUUCCAUCUCUGAUUACUUGCACACUUCAGCAUCUUUUACUCCAUCAACAUGUGGUGUGCCACAAGAUAAUGACAUGGUGAGUGAAGAAAUAUCUCGUGAUGAUGGUGUUAAGCUCAUUAUUAAUGAACUUGCUUGUGUUGAUGAUAAUGUUGUAUCCUCUAUGAACAUGGGCAUAUCUAGCACCACAUAUAGUGUAAAUUACUGUGUUGAUAGUUCAUGCAUACAACCUAAGGAUUCCUUGACAAAUGUUUGUGGUGAUAUGCUUGCUCUCCCGUGUUUCCAUGAUCAAACUGCUUUGGUUCCCUCUAGUUUCCCUAUGACUAACCAUUUAAGGGAAAUCAAGAAAAAUGAGGCACUUUUGACUGAUGAAGAACCUGGUUCUCCAAAAUAAUCAUCAUCAACUCCCUUUGUUCACAUGUGCCUCAUGGCAAGAGGUAAUGAUGAGGUAUUAUCUUCUCUUACUGAUAACGAUGAUAUUUGUAAUGAGGAUGAUGAUGAUGACUUGACUGAAAUCUCUAUGUGAUUGGUAAAAUUCUUCAUAGAGCUAAAAAUAACGCCUAUAAAAGGUUUCAAGAUGUUCUUGCUUACUUUGAAAAUUGUAAUGAUUCACUUAUGUACGAACAAGCUAAAAGUGAACAACUUGAAUAUGAACUUGAUAAGGUUCAUCAAACAUGUAGAGACUUAAGAUCUUCAAAAGGAGAGAUUGAAUGAUCAUGGUAAACUUAAAGAGGAUUUUGAGCUCCUUCUCCUUGAAUGCAAUAAUGUCAAUGGAGAGAUCAUCAAAACCUCUAAGAUCAAUGAGGAGCUUCAAUCUACUCACGAGAAGUCUCUAAUUGCCACUUACUCCUCUCAUAUUGUCGAUGAUACUUGUGCAUCUAACUCUACUUCAUUUGAAGCAUCAACGUUGAAGGAUAAUGUUGAGUUAUGUGCUCAACUUGAUUUGUUAACCAGCAAUUAUGGGAAAUUGGAAGAAAUUCAUGAAAAUCUCUUAAGCACUCAUGAGGAUCUUCUAAUCUCUCAUAAUGAGAUAAAGUUAGCACUUGAGACUAUGGCAAUCAAGGUAAAAUCUUGUGAGUCUCAUGUGAACAUUAGCACAUCUACUAUAAAUGCUUUAUUUACAUGUGUUAAUCCUUGUAAAUCAUCCAUCUCUCAUAUUAUUACCAAUCAUGAUGGAUUGCUCGCAUUGUCUUGUUGCUCUAACCAUGAAGUUUCUACUUCCACUAGUCCUCUUGUUUCUAGUGUUGAAACUAACCAUGUAGAAGAAAUUAAUGAGCUCAAGGCCCAAGUCACUAGUUUGAAGAAAGACUUGAAAAAGUGUGAUGAUGGACAUACUUAUCACCGCAAUAAUAAGAAGUCCAUGAACAAGAAAAGGGGACAAGACCAAGCCACGAACAAGUCCAACAUUUCUUGCUUUAAGUGCAAAAAGGUUGGGCAUCACGUGAGAUCCUGUCCAUUAAAGAUCAGGGUGUAUAAGGAUAUGCUACAUGGGAAGAGGUCUCAAGAUCAAUCUCGAGCUCAAGCUCAUGUUUUAGAACAACCACUAUGCAUGAUGAAACAUGUUACUUCUUCCCAAGUUGAGAGAGUAAAGAAGAAGAACAGAAAAGGCGGUACAUGUUGAUAUAUCUGUCGAAAGAAGGGGCACAUAUCUUCAACAUGCCCCACUGGUAACAUAUCUAAACCUCCAAUUAUCAAUGAUCAUUUUUCACUUAGGAAGGAUAUUUUUGGCAAUGUGUUUGCCAAGUAUGUUGGUGCUCAAAGUGGUCCGGAAGUGGAUAAGACCAUUUGGGUUGCCAAGCCUAUUGUUACUAACUUCUUAGGACUCAACUUGCUUGGGGACCAUCAAUCUCAAACCUGAUAGGUCUGUGGAGGGCAUUGGAGACUUGGCUAGUUCAUGAAGAAAAAUUAUUUUCACCAUUUAUUAUGGUUCAAGCCUAGUCAAGAAUAUUACCAUCAUAUCUGUCAUUACAAUGCCUCUCCUAGCGGUAACGUGUGUAUAUCGUCUACAUUGAAAGUUACUAGCCCCUCUCAUGUUUAGGUUUGGUACCUACCAUGUGUUUUGACAUGUUGCACCUCCUAGUAUGCUUGAUUUGAGUUAUCUAGCAUGUGGGGGUUGUUGUGCAUGUCAUAUAUUGUGUGUGUAGUCAUGAUCCUUACUUGCAUCCUGGUUGCACCUUACGGGGCUCUUUUGAGACAUUAAUGGGUCAUCACAUUGUGGGGGAGUGUCAUGCUCUACGCACAUCACUAACCUAAAAUGUGUAUAUAUUGUACACCACCUAGUAUUUAUAGUGCAAGAUUAUCUAGUUACUUUGUGGUAUGUCAAGGUCAUCUAAAAGUUCACUUUCUCAUCCAUUGAGUAUUUUUAGUUGGAUUUAAAUUUCCUCGUAUGGAAAAUACAUGGAUUAUCACAUUAUGGGGGAGUGAUAUGCUUUGUGCAUAUCACAAUCCUUGGUAAUAUAAACAUUCGAUGAAUGCCACUUAGAAUAUAUUAUUGAGAUUAUUCUAUAUCUUUGUGUCUUGCCAUGGUCAAUGUGUCUCUUUGCAUAAUAAUUCUUUUUGUCUUUAGUUCCUUAGAUGUGUAUGGGUAUAAAUGACUUUGUGCUUAUCUGGAAUCUAUCACCGGAUGAUAAAUCUAAAUACCAUUGUGUUCUCAUACACAUUGUAUCCCAUGUAUGGUAGAGUUUCAUGGUCAUCUUUAUAUUUGCUUUGCUUCUACUUGCAUUUUAUAAAUAGCCCAGAAAUUCAUUUGUCUCCCGGUAAUCUCCCAUGCAUUUGUUUGAGCUCGUAUUACUAUUUUUAUGAUGUUGUGGGAGUUAUUUACUUAUUACCUAUACUAUAAUAUAUCUACUUGAGUGAGACAUGCAUGUAAGAUUAUGUGCAAUGCAUAUCUUAUAUGCUCAUUUGUUUUUGCUUGGUUCAUGUUUUGAACUUGGUGUGCUAUCAUAUGUUGAUUUCUCACUUUGAUUUAUUUUGGACAACAUGAAUGAUUGGUGAGGUUAUUGGAAGUAUUAACAGUUAUGUGUUCAUUUGUCCAAUUUGUAUCUCUUUGGAUUUUGAUAGGCUUGUGUAGGCAUAUUUACUAUGUGUAAAUUCUCAUGCCUUAUUUAUCAUAUUUUUAUCCAAUAUAUAUAGGGUAAAUCCAUCAUAUCCUUUAAAGCUAAGUUGUGCAUGAAUUUAAAAUUCAUAUCUGUAUGCACAUAAUUGAGUGGUUUUUGCCCUAUAUAUUGUAGUUUGACUGACUACUUCGGAUCCAAUAAGUUUGGGGACCAUAUUGUACUUAAAAGUGAUCUAGGUACUUUGGGGAAGCAUUGUUGUGUUAGCUUAUUCAUAAAGAAGGUGGUGCCAUCACGAGGGAAUUAGAGCCAAGAGUACAUGACUCAACCAUUACUACUCCAUACCAAUGCUUUCUCAGUAACAAGUAUUUACUUCAUGCAUGUAUAAAAGUAGAGUCGACCUUGUGUACGUUGCAUCAUAGGAUGAAAUAGUACUUAUUCUAUUUUGUGUUUUCCUGCUUUUUCUUGAAAACACUGUGUUGCAAUGUUUACACAAUUGAGUAGAAUCGUCUAAUGGGGAUCAACAAAAUCAUAUUCAUGGUUCAUUCAUCCCAAGACAUGCCAAAUAAGCAACUCAUUGCAUGUAAUUUCCUAAAAUGUUCUCUCAUGUGCAGCUUUUAUGAAAAUUCCAAGAACACUAUAAUUGCUUGUAGUAUUGGUAUCUUCGUAGGAAUUCAUGGUCAUGCGAAUGAGAUCAAUUUGUGCCAUGGUCCUUCUGCCAUGUGCCUUGCUCUUAUGUUAGGAUAACAUGUGUAUGAUAAUGGAUUCACUUGUGCAUAUCAUGUUCUUAUCAAUUGUGACUUUUUAUGUAUGCAAGUUUUGUUGUGGAUACAUAGUGUCCACUUAGAAAUUUGGGCACAUAAGUAAGUUCCCAUCUUUGCGAUAUCAAUUGAUCCUUGCUGGUUACUUGGUUCCUUCCUUAUUGAUUCAUUGGUGGUGUCGGUAAGAGGUUGCGAAGUGCCUAUAUGUCUUGCACAUAAUCUUAUGCACUCAUGUGUUUGGAUGUAUUUUGGACCCAUACUUAUCAUAAUGAUCGAUUUGUAUAUUCACAUUAUACCUUGUCCAAAAUAUGUUGUUUGGAUCUUUAAAAUGUUUGUCGAAUGCUUAUUUUCAUAUCCCAUCUAUUGCAAUCUCUAGAUCCUAAGUUCCUCAAAUUUCCUGCCAUUAAAUAUGUACAUUUUAUUUCACUCACAUCUUGCAAUACGCAUACAGUAAGGGGGAACUCAUUGCCUUCGAGAUUUGUCCCAUUUUGGCAUUUGUUUCCAAUGGGGGAGAAGCUUAGAGGAUUUAAGAUAUAUAAAAAUCUUGUUUAUUGCAUGAAUUAGUAUAUAUAGAGCAAAUAGAGAAAACCCCACCUAGUUCAUGUCAACCAAUAUAUGCAAGAAAAUUCAUAGUUCGUUCACACAUGCAUAUAUUGUGGGGGAGCAUGCUCUAUAUAUUUUGUAGGAUUUUGAUGUUAGUACACCGAGUGUGAUAAACUCAAGUAUCUUUGUGACACUUGAUGCUAUCAAGUAUUUUGAUGUUAGUACAUCGAGUGUGAUAUUUUGAUGUUAGUACAUCGAGUGUGAUAAACUCAAGUAUCUUUGUGACACUUGACGCUAUCAAAACCAUCCCAAGUAUUCAAUAUAUCCUUGGGUAAAUUGCAUACUUGUGUUAAAAUUCAUUAUAUAAAUCCUCUUGUUGAGAUUGUCAUCAACUACCAAAAUGGGGGAGACUGAAAGUGCAUGUAGUUCCCAUGUGUGGUUUUGGUAAUUGAUGACAAUCCUAAUGGACUAAUGUUUGCAUUGAGUUAUACAUUUGAAAGAAUGGUCUAUAUGAAACACAUGAAGAAUAUUGGAUGAUUUGAAGUAUGCUUGUUCCAUGAAUAUGCAAGAAGGAGCUCGAAUGAAUUCUAAAUGAAUGUCAUAUACAUAUUGUUGUGCAUGCAUCAAGGAUGAGCUCAAUGAGUGAAUCAAAUAUGAUACGAUCAAGAUGAAUUCCAUGUGAUGAACUAAUGUGGUCUAUGUGGAGUUCAUUGAGGAUCUCAGACAUUCUCAUGCUUUGGCUUAUGGUUUGAGCCAUGAUGGAUCAAGAUCUUGAGAAAAUAAUUAAAGAGAAGAAUUCUACAUAUGUCUUUAAAUAACAUCAUGAUGAGCUCAUAUGUUGUAUCAUGAAGACGAGCAAGUUAUAGCCAAUAUGAGAUUCAUGGAGAAACUUGAUAUGGUCAUGGUGAAUUGAGAUAUUGGCAAUCAUUUCUUAAAGCAAUGAAGCCUAACAAGAAAUCAAUAGGGCCUUCGAGGCAUCAAGAUUAAUUAUGGAUCUAAGAUAAAUGUUGACCAAGAUGAAGACCAAAGAGUUAACUCAAAGUUGGUCAUCACACAAGCACAAAUGAUGUACCACAUGGGAUCGUGUGGUAUGGUAAUUAAUUGUCAAUUGCACGUUGUGUACUAACCCAUACUAUGUGAUGUCUAUGUCUAUAAGGGUUAGGUAAUUCUCAUGGGCCUGCAUCAAGAGAGAGAUUCCAAGUGUCCAUGAGAUGAUGACAUCAAGGGUUCAUGAUCAUGUUUGACAAGGACAAGUUCAAGACAACCAUUUCUAAGGAUUACAUGCUUGAAGCUUGUGGAUGUUCACCUCAUAGACAAAUGAAGAUGAAUACAAAGCAAGGCUUUCCACGUUGUGUAUCGGAGAGCUACUUGAAGACUUCAUCAAUGUCUUGCCUUCAGCUUGAGCCAAUAAGAAACAAUAACAUCAAGCUCAAGUCUAAGGCCUGACUCAAAGGUAUUAGUUCCUUUGACGUUAGUGGUGUGGAUUAUCGGUAGCUAUGUAGUGUAGCUCUUUUACGAUUCUUGAGUUUUAGGGAUCUCGCACUAUUAAGAGGGGAUCACUGGUUCUCACAAGAAACUUUCUCAAAACUCUAGGCAAUUCCACUCUCUCUAUCUUCCUGGUUGGUCUCCUCCUGUCAGGUCGUCCGGUGGUUCUCGGACGUCCGGACCGCCGAUGGACGACGCCGUCCGGAAAUCGGGAGCCAGCCAAUAGAGUCAAACCUUCGGACUUCCGUCCCCUCCGGUCGUCCGAGAACCGGAAAUCCGGGUACGGUAGGAAUUCCGUUCCCACCAAACAGAUCCAAAAUGUCGGACUUUCGACCAUUCCGGGCGACCGUGUCCCGGACGGUCGAUGCCUUUCGGUCGUUUGUGUGUUGUUCACUUUUUCACCUGAUGCUGACCAAAUAUCUUAUGUGUCUUCGAACGACCGACGUCCUCCGGACGACAGUAUGUUGAUUACCUCUCCACCAAACAAUGUGGUAUUCAGAUACCUUCUGCAUCUUUCAGACGUCCGAACACUCGUGGCUGUCCAGACGACCAUGAGCUGCCGAACGUUCAGCAACUGUAGUGCAUAAGUGGCUCCAACGGUCACCUUUGUGCCACCACUGUAUAUAGUCUUCUCCCACCUCGAGCGGGAGGUGCCAAACACAGCCAAAAGAUUCCAAGAACAUCUUUCUUUCUCACUUCCAUUUGCCUACACCAAAAGCUAGAUCCCAAGUGCAUUUCUGAGUGCCUUUUAGGGUUGCUCCAAUCAAAAGAUACAUCGUCUCCCUCUCCUCCUCUCAACCAAAGAUAUUUGUGAUUUGAGCAAGUUUUGAGCUGUCCUCGUGAUCUUGUUACUCUUGGAGGUUGGAGACUCCUAGGCGGUAGUAGUUCUUCGGAGAGGAAUCAAACCGUUGUGAUUACCCCCGGAAAGUUUGUGAGGGUUUGGAAGCCACCUCAAAGGCUUACCACUAGUGGUUGAGAAACGCCUUCGUGGUGUUGUCUCAAAGGGAGAAUAGGGUGAGCCUUAGUGGCGUUGGUGUGCCUUCGUGGUAACAUCCACCUCUCUAAUGGUGACUAGCUUCCCUCCAAGGAAGUGAACAUCGGGAUACAUCCUUGUCUCCGUGACUUCGGUUAUCCCUAACCCUAACUCCUUGCUUGUGGCUUACCUUGGUUACUUGAGAGUACAUUCACUACAUAUUGUUGUCCGCAUAAUAUUGUGUUGGCUAUUUCCCUGUAAAGAUUAAUCAGUCAGGCCUACACUUUAUAUCCUGCAGUUCGUACUUGCUACUAUUGAUAUAUCUUGUGUUUAGUGUGAUUUGCUAACUUGUGUCAUACACUUACACAUCUUGUGAUACUGAUCAAGUAAGUUUGUGUAACUUAUGCUUGUGAGUAAUCUUGUUGUGAUUCAUCUUGGUAGAACAAGUUGUUGGUGCACGUAGUUGAGCCUAGUAUAUUUAGGAUUUGUGCUUGAAAAGUAUCCUCUUAGUUUAUUUCCCCAUUAGGAUUAAGCCAAAUCCGUAGAAAUUUUUAAAACGCCUAUUCACACACACCCCCCUCUAGGCGACAUCGUGGUCCUUUCAAGUAAUUUGUUUACCCACCGUAUGCUUUCUACGAGAGAGAAGCCUCUAGAGAAAACUAUGGCCCCUAGUCUAUUCACAAAUAUAUUUACAAAAACUCUAAAUACCUCAUUGCAUUUUAUUAUUUGUAUUUACUUAUAUUUACCUAAUAAUAAAGAGGCUAUCGCCUCCGUCGGAAAACCCACCUAGGUGAUUUUAUAAAAAAGCCCUUACUGUUUAUGACAUUAAACUCGUAGUAUAUAUUAAAUAUUUUUUAAAUACUCAUAUCUUUUAAACCGUAACUCCAAAUUUAACAUAUUAUACAUGGAAUUUGAUUAGAAAAAUAUGUAGAAUUUAAAUAUGAUAUUAUUUUAUCUGUUAAACGUUUAAUAAAAAUACUAUCUAGGGUGCAAUCUUAAUAAAGAAGUUUCGUCUUUCUUUCAUACCGGUACUCAUCCGGGUUGGGGAUGAACACGUCAACAAAAUCAGGAUUAGAGAUGAAACUGAAGGUCACUUGACUGAUUCUUUGUACGUAUUAAAUUUACAUGCAAGCCGUGUUAAAAUAGAAGACCUGUGAAAUUUUGAACUGCAUUUUUGUAGGAUAAGACCAUCUUUAUUUGUAUCGUAACUAUAAAUUCUCAAAUUAUAGACAUUUUUUAUAAAUUAAGAGCGUGUGCCGUGUGGUAUUUCUUUCUCCCGUUGCAACGCUUGGGCCCUUUUGCUAGUUAUAUUUAACACAUUUCAAUUAUCUAUUUAUCACUACUUAUCUCUUGCAAGUAAUGAGUUCAAGGGGAUGGACAACCUUCUUGCCCGCUUUGCGUGCAAGUGUGUGCUCUUUUGUGUGUAGGCGCUCAAGACAGGAAAUUGUGUGGUGCUCCUAUUAGUUCAAUAACCUUGGUUCCCACUAUGGGAAAUACUUAGCUAUAUUGUGUUGCAUCAUCACCUCCUCUUCGGGGAAGAACACAACGCAGAUCACAAGUAUCAGAGACGUAUCAGCAUCCCCAAACUUAAUUCCUUCUUGUCCACGAGUAGGCAAAUGAUAAAAAUAGGAUUAUUGAUGUGACAUGCUACAUAAAAUGUAAUAUUUUUCAGGUAUGAUCAACAUAGUAAUAUCCAUGAACAUAAAUAACACAAUCAAUAACUUUCAAAACAUAUGAUCCUUAAAGAAUGUAACCCCCCGUUCAUUUUAUCAUAUUAGCAUUGCAUGGCUCCGUCUUCACCAGAUAAGUACAAAUGUUGAGCACCAUGGUGUUAAGUCAGGCAAUUGGAUCAUACUUCUUACGUGCUUCAGCAUUUCCAACUUCACACAAUACAUGAGCGUGAAUCAUGGACAUAGCAUAUGGGUGGAAUGGAGGAUGGUUGUAGGUAUAAAAAGGAGUAGAAGUGGAGAAGAAAGUCUCGCAUCAACUAGGUGGACCAAUGGGCCAUGGAGAUGCCCAUCAAUUGAUAUUGAUGCGAGGAGUAGGGAUUUCCAUGCAAUGGAUGCACUAGAGCUAUAAGUGUAUGGAAACUCAACGGAAGCUAAUUGGGUGUGCAUCCAACUUGCUUGCUCAUGAAGACCUCGAGCAUUUGAGGAAGCCCGUUGAUACAUCUCCAAUGUAACUAUAUUUUUUUAUUGUACCAUGAUAUUAUAUUAUCAAUCUUGGAUACUUUAUAUGCAUUUAUAUAUUGUUUUAUAUCGUUUUUGGGAACUAACCUAUUAACCCAUAACCUAGUGCUAGUUGUUGUUUUCUGUGAGUUUUUGGAUUUUCAUGAAAGUAGUACGAAAAACAAAGUCCAAAUGCAACAAAACUUUUUGAUAAUUUUCCUGGACAAAAAUAAGACCUGGAAGCUUCGGAGGGAGACUAGAGACCACACGGAGUGGUGCCAAAGCAAUAGGGCAUGCUCAGGGGGUGGGCCGCGCCCUCAUGACUUGGGACCUACUUCCGAAGCCUCCUGACCUAACUCCGCCUCUAUAAAUCCUAAUAUAUUCGAAAAACACUAGAGAGCCACCUAAAAUACUUUUUCCGCUACCGCAAGUCUCUGAUCCACCGUGUUCCCAUCUGGAGCCCUAUUUCGAUGCCCUCUCGGUGGGAGUAUCAAUCACGGAGGGCCUCUACAUCAUCCUUGUUGCCCACAUGGUGAUGUGUCAUUAGUCUACCACAUGCCUACGGGUCCAUAAUUAGUACCUUGAUGUGUAUCUCUCUCUAUGUCUUGAAUGCAAAGAUCACCACGAUUCCAUGGUGAUCUAUCCUAUGUAAUCUUCUUUUGCGGUGUGUUUGUUGCGAUCCGAUGAAUUGUGGGUUUAUGAUCAGAUUAUUCAAAUAUAUUGAGUCUUUUAUGAGUUACUUAUGCAGGAUUAUGAUAGCAUCGUAUUUCUCUCCAGUCUAUAGGUUUGGUUUGUCCAACUAGAUUGAUUUAUCUUCUGUGGGAGUGGUGUGUUGUUAUGGGCUCAAUCAAUCCUAGUGACAGAAGGGGACAAGACAAAUAUUGUAUUGUUUCCAUUAAGGAUGAAAAUAUGGGGUUUAUUCAUAUUAGUUAAGUUUACUUUGACUAUAUCAUGUCUUCUUGCUUCAAGCAUUUCUCUGUUUUACUUAGUACUCUAGAUGCAUGUUGGAUAGCAGUCGAUGGGUGGAGUAGUAGUAGUAGAUGCACGCAGGAGUCGAUCUACUUGCUUAUGGACGUGAUGCCUAUAUAUAUAAUCAUCGUCGUGAAUAAAUAUUACAUAACUAUGUGCUUUUCUAUGAAUUGCCCAACAGUAAUUUGUAUACCCACCUUAUGCUUUCUUCAAGAGAGAAGCCUUGUUCCUGCUUGGGUGCUUUCAAUGAGAGCUCCGCUGAAGGAUCGUCAAAAGAAUCAAUGGCUCGCUCGCUCACCAGCAAAGACAUUAACACCGGGGAUAUCUUUAUCCCACGCCAACUUUCUGCUUUCAGUGGUAUUUUCCUGCACAUCAAGGUGGUUCAUCACCAGAUCGACAGGUUCGCACAUGGCGAGGGAUCCAAGUUCGACAACUUAGAUUGUGUCGUCGACACCCAAGGUGAUCUGAUCCUCGCCGGGAUCUCAGCUUUGGCCAAAGAGCCCAGAAACCCCGAAGCCUUAACUUCGGGCCCCUUCCCGACCUUGGGUCCAGGAUAGUGCAUACCUCAGAUUCGGCCUUGAGACCGGAUCUGACCUUUGUGUUCGAAGGCCUAGAGGUAACCUCGCCCGAACAGACUCCCUAUGCUGAUGCACCAGUGCUCAACUCCGCCAGAAUUCUGAGGACUAGUCCGGCCAAUCUCUCGUUGUCAAACGAGACACUCAUCUGAACUUGAACCCUAGAUAGUUCGGACAGCUCGGCCCCAAUAUAUGAUCCUUCCGUCUCUGAGUCUAGGUGCAUGGAACAUUAGUCCCCACCCUCCACCCACUUUAUAGCCACUAUUGAAUAUCUAAAUGAUCUAUUAGACUUCUCCUCACACGAAGCCUAGGACAUGGACACGGUUGUCAACUCACAUGUUCCUCCCGCGACUAGAUGAUGGACCGCCACUUCCACGUACGACGUGUACAUGGUGGACACCCCUAAACAUGAUGGCAUCACAGGGAACAACGAUGAUGACACACCAGUCAAAAAUUGUGGCGACGAGCCCGUUGGAUGUCGUCACCAGCGCAAAAAGCCUAAAGCUUGUAAGGGCAAGGAAAGUAACGCGGGGAUCGGAGAUAACCUCAUCCCUGGUGAUAUCAAAAAUCCCGUCGAACCCGCAGACCCCAAAAAUAAUCACAAUGAUCUGCCGGAUCACAUGGAUCUGUACAAGCCUUAGGAUCUCGACGAUUUCGAAGACAUCAACUACCUCCCUCCAAUCAAACAGGAGGAGAGCUUGGGAGACGAGGAUUUCAUCGUCUAUGAAGACCCUCUAGAUCAAGAGGUAUUCAAGUGGUGGCUCAUAGCCACUGCUCGGAGCCUCAAGUUAAAACAGAGGCAAAUUAAAGCUGGACAUGACUCCAUCAAUGAAAGAUGGAUGAAAGUCCUGGCCGUCGAAGAAGGGUACAACCAGGAAUGAAGGGACAAAAUAAAAGCUACCCACGUCGCCAGUUGCUACCAGAGUUUGAAGAUGAGGCCUUGGAGCACACACUACCAAGAUUCGCACAAUACGACCAAUGACCGCCCCCCUCAAGGACGGGAUAGGACAGCUGGAGAGCCCAGAGACCGCCUCAAACACCCGCAUGGAAGAAGAGAACCGGCAAAGACCGAAGAACCAUUUGACCUGCGGCACAAUAUUUAAGGAUCGAGAGGUUACACUCCCCCUAGACGGGAUGGGUAGCAAGCUCGGCUUGAUGAGAAUGAUGGAUUUUGGGAACAACAUCGGGGUAGGAUUUCAUUCAACCUCCAACAUGAUACAACUCGAAUAAGGAGCCCUGCUCACCCAAUGUGAUUCUCAAAUGAGGUGAUGCAGCAUCAGCUCCCCGAAGGGUUUAAACCCAUGAACAUAGUGCAAUACGAUGGGACAACACACAUGUCUGUAUGGAUUGAGGAUUUCCUUCUCCAUAUCCACAUGGCUCACGGAGACGACCUCCAGGCAAUCAAGUACCUACCAUUAAAGUUGAAAGGGACAACAAGGCAUUGGUUGAACAGCCUCCCUGAAAACUCCAUUGGGAGCUGCGAAGAGCUCAAAGAUACUUUCCGAGACAACUUUCAAGGCACUUAUGUCCGACCGCGUGGGUCCGAUGACUUGAGCCACAUCAUUAAACAAACUGAUGUUCAUCCUGGCAAAUAUGGAAUUGAUUCCUCACUAAAAAGAAUCAAAUUGUUGAUUGUUUGGAUGCCAAGGCAUUAGCUUCUUUACGAAACAAUAUACGACGAAUGGUUAGCCCGGACGCUCGAACGAGAGAGGCCGGGGACAAUGGCCGCUCUUACCUCACUCAAUGCCCGCUUUUGUGUGGGCGAGCAUACUUGGCUAGCCCGUCGGAACAACCCUCCUGCAAACCUCGGCACUUCUACAGUCCAUGAUGGCAAUGGAAACCCACACUGCAACAAGAACAAGCAUUGACACAGCAGUGUCGAAGCCGAUGACAUGCAGGUUAAUGUCGGAUUCAACAACUCUAGGUGUGGACUGAUACGUCUCAAACGUAUCUAUAAUUUUUGAUGGUUUCAUGUUGUUAUCUUGUCAACUUUGGAUGUUUUAUAUACCUUUUAUACCUUUUUUGGGACUAACUUAUUAAUUCAGUGCCAAGUGUCAGUUCCUGUUUUCUCUAUGUUUUUUACUCUUUUCAGAUCUGAUUUUGGAACGGAGUCCAAACGGAAUAAAAUCCCCAAAAUAUUUUUUUCCAAAAUAGAAGAAGGNGGGGGACUUGAGGGCCAAGGCAGGAGGCCCACAGGGAGCCCACAAGCCCUGACGCCGCGGCCCCCUGGCCGCGACGACCAGGCUUGUGGCCUCCCUGACGCUCCCCUGCCCUAGCUCUUUGGCCUAUAUAUUCCCUAAAAUCCCGGAAAAAAUCAAGGCGUCCACGAAACCACUUUUCCGCCGCCGCAAGCUUCCGUUUCCGCGAGAUCUCAUCUGGAGACCGUUCCCGGUGCCCUGUCGAAGGGGACUUUGGAGUUGGAGGGCUUCUACAUCAACAUCAUCGCCUCUCCAAUGACUCGUGAGUAGUCCACUUUAGACCUACGGGUCCGAAGUUAGUAGCUAGAUGGCUUCUUCUCUCUCUUGGAUCUUCAAUGCAAAGUUCUCCAUGACCUUCAUGGAGAUUUAUCUGAUGUAAUCCUCUUUGGCGGUGUGUUUGUCGAGAUGCGAUGAAUUGUGGAUUUGUGAUCAGAUUAUCUAUGAUUUAUAUUUGAGUCUUUGUUGAUUUCUUAUAUGCGUGAUUUGAUAUCCUUGUAUGUCUCUCCGAGUCUUGGGUUUUGUUUGGCCAACUAGAUCUAUGAUUCUUGCAAUGGGAGAAGUGCUUGGUUUUGGGUUCAUACCGUGCGGUGACCUUUCCCAGUGACAGAAGGGGCAGCAAGGCACGCAUCGUGUUGUUGCCAUCAAGGGUAACAAGAUGGGCUUUCAUCAUAGAUUUGAGAUUGUCCAUCUACAUCAUGUCAUCUUGCUUAAGGCGUUACUCUGUUCUUAUGAACUCAAUACACAAGAUGCAUGCUGGAUAGCGGUCGACGUGUGGAGUAAUAGUAGUAGAUGUAGAAAUUAUCGGUCUACUUGUUUUGGACGUGAUGCCUAUAGAUAUGAUCAUUGCCAUAGAUAACGUCAUGACUUUGCGCGUUUCUAUCAGUUGCUCGACAGUAAUUCGUUCACCCACCGUCUACUUGCUUUCAUGAGAGAAGCCACUAGUGAACACUAUGGCCCCCAGGUCUGUUCACAACUAUCGUCUCCACUUUUACUUUUACUUUGCUUUAUUUACUUUUUGCUUUCAGUUCUCACUUUGCAAACAAUCUAUAAGGGAUUGACAACCCCUUCAUAGCGUUGGGUGCAAGCUCUUUGUGUUUGUGCAGGUACUUGUGCCUUGACUCGAUCCUCCUACUGGAUUGAUACCUUGGUUCUCAAACUGAGGGAAAUACUUACCGCCGGUGUGCUACAUCACCCUUUCCUCUUAAAGGGAACACCAACGCAAGCCUCCAAGGCCGCGGGGGAAUCCUUUGCAUAUUUGCCAAGGAAGUCCCUAUAGGCGUAGCCCGCAGUAGAAGGAUUUCUGGCGCCGUUGCCAGGAAAGGUCUGUUGUCGCAGUAGGAGAAGGAUUUCUGGCGCCGUUGCCUGGGAGAGAUCAAGUCAAGAUCUAUCAAAGUAGGUGUCACAAACUCAUCUCUUGCAUUUACCUUUUUUGCCAGUUGCCUCUCGUUUUCCUCUCCCCUACUUCACAUUUGCCGUUUUCAUUUGCCUUUCUCCUUUGCCGUUUUCUUUUGCCUUUUGUCGUUUUCCUUUGCUAGUUUUCUUGCUUGCUUGUGUUCUUGUUUGUUUGUUGAAGUCAUCAUGGCUGAAAACACCAAACUUUGCGACUUCUCGAGUACUAAUAAUAAUGAUUUUAUUAGUACUCCGAUUGCUCCCGCCACUAGUGCGGAAUCAUAUGAAAUCAACGCUGCCUUGUUGAAUCUUGUUAUGAAAGAGAAAUUCUCUGGCCUUCCUAGUGAAGAUGCCGCAUCCCAUCUCAAUACCUUCAUUGAGCUUUGCGAUAUACACAAGAAAAGAGAUGUGGAUAAUGACGUGAUUAAAUUGAAGCUUUUUCCUUUCUCGUUGCGAGAUCGCGCAAAAAUUUGGUUUUCUUCUUUGCCCAAAAAAUAGUAUCGAUUCUUGGAAUAAGUGCAAAGAUGCUUACAUAUCUAAGUAUUUUCCGCCGGCUAAGAUUAUCUCUCUACGUAACGAUAUCAUGAAUUUCAAGCAACUUGAUCAUGAACACGUUCCACAAUCUUGGGAGAGGAUGAAGUUAAUGAUUAGAAAUUGUCCCGCUCAUGGCUUGAGUUUGUGGAUGAUUAUACAAAUCUUUUACGCUGGUUUGAAUUUUGCUUCUCGCAAUAUCUUGGACACCGCCUCAGGUGGAACGUUCAUGGAAAUCACGUUAGGGGAAGCUACAAAACUCCUAGACAAUAUCAUGACCAAUUACUCUCAGUGGCACACUGAAAGGUCACCUGCUAGUAAAAAGGUACACGCUAUAGAAGAAAUUAACUCGCUUAGUGCUAAGAUGGACGAGUUGAUGAAUUUGGUUGCUAGUAGAAAUGAUCCUUUAGAUCCUAAUGACAUGCCACUAUCUUCCUUGAUUGAGAGUAGCAACGCUAGUUUGGACGUUAAUUUUGUUGGUAGGAACAAUUUUGGCAACAACAAUGCUUUUAGAGGAAACUAUGUUCCUAGGCCUUUUCCUAGUAACUCCUCUAACAAUUAUGGCAAUUCCUACAACAACACUUAUGGAAAUCAUAAAAAAUUACCCUCUGAUUUAGAGAGUAAUAUCAAAGAGUUCAUCAACUCUCAAAAGAUUUUCAAUGCGUCCAUAGAGGAAAAACUACUCAAAAUAGACGAUUUGGCUAAGAGCGUUGAUAGGAUGUCUUGUGAUAUUGAUGCUUUGAAAGUUAGAUGUGCUCCUCCCAAGGUUAACUUGGAUGAAACUCUAAAAGCUAUGUGUGUCUCCAUGAAUGAGAGCAAAGAAAGAACCACCCAAAUUCGCGCUAAGCAUGAAUGGUUUAAAAGGGUGCGUUCUAGUGAUGCAAAUCACGAAGAUCUUAAAGUGCUUGGUGUGACUCCUCUUGAAUCUUUGUUUUCGCGUGUCAAACCUAUUGAUGAAGGGGCUGGAUGUGAAUCCACUUUGGUUGAAAAACGCCCCAAUGAUUCGGAGUCCACCUAUCUUGAUGAUAAAGGUGUGGAGAGUGGAGUAGAAGAAAUCAAAAUAUUGGGUAGUAAUGAAACUCCCACUUUGGAUUUCAAGAAGUUCAAUUAUGAUAGUUUCUCCUUGUUUGAAUGCAUUUCCUUGAUGCAAUCCAUUGCAAACUCUCCACAUGCUUAUAGCCAAAGCAAAGCCUUUACCGCUCAUAUCGUAGAUACUAUGAUGAAAUCUCUUGAAGAGAAACUCGAAUUAGAAGUCUCUAUACCUAGAAAACUUCAUGAUGAGUGGGAACCUACUAUCAAAAUCAAAAUCAAAAACUAUGAAUGCAAUGCUUUGUCUGAUUUGGGUGCUAGUGUUUCCGCGAUUCCAAAGUCUUUAUGUGAUAUUCUUGGUUUUCAUGAGAUUGAAGAGUUUUCUCUUAAUUUGCAUCUUGCGGAUUCUACUGUCAAGAAACCCAUGGGAAGGAUCGAUGAUGUUCUUAUUGUUGCAAAUAAGAACUAUGUACCCGUGGAUUUCAUUGUACUUGACAUAGAUUGCAAUCCUUCAUGUCCCAUUAUUCCUGGUAGACCUUUCCUAAGGACUAUUGGUGCUAUCAUCGAUAUGAAGGAAGGGAAUAUUAGAUUUCAGUUUCCUCUAAACAAGGUCAUGGAGCAUUUCCCUAGAAAGAAAAUAAGAUUGCCUUAUGAAUCUAUGAUGAGGGCUACUUAUGGUUUGAGCACCAAAGAUGACUAUACGUGAUUCCAUCACCUUAUGCCUAGCUAAGGGCGUUAAACAAUAGCGCUUGUUGGGAGGCAACCCAACGAAUCUAUUCUUUUUAUUUCUGUUUUGUGUUUUCCACACUUUCAUAAUUCUGUUAUGAUUGUGUUUUUUGUGUUUCUUUUGCAUUUUUGCCAAGUAAAACCGUUAUGAUUAGUCUUGGGGAUGAUCGUUUGGUCAUGCUGGAAAAGACAGAAACUUUCUUCUCACGAAAAGAAUUUUCAUUUUUUUCUAUAAGAGAUGUUGAGUUGAUUCUUUUUGCUUAUGAUUUAUACACAAAUUCUUCAGACUGUCGUAAUUUUUCAGAAUUUUUGAAGUACCAGAAGUAUACGAAGUAUACAGAUUGCUACAGACUGGUCUGAUGUUAACAGAUUCUAUUUUUGUUGAGUUGGUUGCUUAUUUUGAUGAAACUAUGGAUAGUAUCGGGGGGUAUUAGCCAUGGAAGAUUGAAAAUACAGUAACCCAACAUCAACAUAAGUAGAAUUUAAUUUUGCUACAGUACCUAAGGAAGUGGUGGUUUGCUUUCUUAUACUAAUGUUAUUACAAGUUUCUGUUUAAGUUUCGUGUUGUGAAGUUUUCAAGUUUUGGGUGAAGUUCUUAUGGACAAAGAUAUAAAGAGUGGAAAGAGCUCAAGCUUGGGGAUACCCAAGGCACCCCAAGUUUAUUCAAGGAUGUCGUAAAAGCCUAAGCUUGGGGAUGCCCCGGGAAGGUAUCCCCUCUUUCGUCUUCAAUCCAUCGGUAACGUUACUUGGGGCUAUAUUUUUAUUCACCACAUGUUAUGUGUUUUGCUUGGAGCGUCUUGUAUCGUAGGAGUCUUUUAUUUUUGUUGUGUCGCAAUCUUCCUUGCUGCACACCUAGAGAUAGAGACAUGCACUCACCGUAAUUUUGUCGAGCUUCACUUAUAUCUUUUGGUUAGACAAUUCAGCUCACAUGUGUUUAACUUAUAUCUUUCGAGCUAGUUGAUUUUGCUCUGUGUGUUUAACUUCUAUCUUUUAGAGCACGGAAGCGCGUGGCGUGGUAGUUGAUCUAUGCUAUGAAAGUAGUCUCAAAAGGGGUAUUUAUCCAAAGGUAUAUGAAAACUUCCACCUUCAUGUGCAUUGAGUAGUUACAGAAGUUUGAUUCAUCUCGAUUAGUUUUGAGUUGUGGUUGUGGUAAUAUUGAAGUUAUAUUAGUAAGGUGUUGUGGAUCUAGAAAUACUUGUGUUGAAGUUAGUGAUUCCCAUAGCAUGCACGUAUGGUGAACCGCUAGGUGAUGAAGUCUGAGCAUGAUUAGUUCAUUGAUUGUCAUCCUUUGUGUGGCGGUCGGGAUCGCGUGAUGGUUUAUACCUACCAACCCUUCCCCUAGGAAUAUGGGUUGAAUGCUUUGUUUCGAUUACUACUAAAACUUUUGCAACAAGUAUAUGAGUUCUUCAGGACUAAUGUUGAGUCCAUGGUUUAGAUGCACUUUCACCUUCCACCAUCACUAUCUUCUUUAGUGUCGUGCAACUUUCGUCGGUGCACAAAACGCACCAUAUAGCCUCCCUCAAAACAGCCACCAUACCUACCUACUAUGGCCUUUUUAAAGCCAUUCCGAGAUAUAUUGCCAUGCAACUACCACCAUGACAUGUGCCACCACUUCUACAUUGCGAUUGCAUGAUCAUAAGAUAGCUAGCAUGAUGUUUCCAUUGAUGUCUAUGCCAUGCUAGAUCAUUGUCACGGUACACUACCGAAGGCAUUCCAUAUAGAGUCAUCAUUGCUCUAAGUUUUGAGUUGUAAGUGUGAUGAUCAUCAUUGAUGGAGCAUUGUCCCAUGUGAGGAAAUAAAAGAGGCCAGCUAAGCCCAUUUACAAAAAGAGGCCAAAUAUGCCCACCAAAAAAAAAGAGGCCAAAGAGCCCACCAAAAAAUGAGAGAAAAAGAGAGAAGGGACAAUGCUACUAUCUUUCCACACUUGUGCUUCAUAUUAAGCACCAUGAUCUUCAUGAUUUAGAGUCUCUCGUUUUGUCACCACCAUAUAUCUAGUGGGAAAUUUUCAUUAUAUAAGUUGGCUUGUAUAUUCCAAUGAUAGGCUUCCUCAAAAAUUGCCUUAGGUCUACGUGAGCAAGCAAGUUGGAUGCACAGACACUAGUUUUCUUUAAGAGCUUUCACAUACUCUUAGCUCUAGUGCACCAAUUGUAUGGUAAUCCCUACUCAUUCACGUUGAUAUCUAUUGAUGAGAAUCUCCAUAGCUCGUUGAUAUGCCUAGUCAAUGUGACCAUCUUAUCCUUGUUUGCCUUGCAACCUCCACCACACUCCAUUCCACUUAUAGUGCUAAAAUCAUGGCUCACGCUCAUGUAUUGCGUGAGAGUUGAAAAUGUUUGAGAAAGUAAAGGUGUGAAAACAAUUACUUGGCCAAUACCGAGGUUGUGCAUGAUUUAAAUUCGUUGUGCAAGGAUGAUAGAGCAUAGCCAGACUAUAUGAUUUUGUAGGGAUAACUUUCUUUUGGCCUUGUUAUUUUGAAAGUUCAUGAUUACCUUGCUAGUUUGCUUGAAGUAUUAUUGUCUCCACGUCAAUAGCAAACUAUUGUUUUGAAUCUAAUGGAUCUGAACAUUCACGUCACAUAAGAGGAGUUACAAAGGACAUCUAUGCUAGGUAGCAUGAAAGCAUCAAAAAUUCAUUCUUUAUCACUUCCGUACUCGAGGACGGGCAGGAGUUAAGCUUGGGGAUGCUUGAUACGUCUCAAACGUAUCUACAAUUUUUGAUGGUUUCAUGCUGUUAUCUUGUCAACUUUGGAUGUUUUAUAUAACUUUUAUAUCUCUUUUGGGACUAACUUAUUAAUUCAGUGCCAAGUGCCAGUUCCUGUUUUUUCUGUGUUUUUGACUCUUUUCAGAUCUGAUUCUUGAACGGAGUCCAAAUGGAAUAAAAUCCCCGAAAUAAUUUUUUCUAGAACAGAAGAAGAUCGGGGGACUUGAGGGCCAAGGCAGGAGGCCCACAGGGAGCCCACAAGCCCUAACGCCGCGGCCAGGGGGGCCCGCGGCGACCAGGCUUGUGGCCUCCCUGGCGCUCCCCUGCCCUAGCUCUUUGGCCUAUAUAUUCCCUAAAAUCCCAGAAAAAAUCAAGGCGUCCACGAAACCAAUUUUCCGCCGCCGCAAGCUUCCGUUUCCGCGAGAUCUCAUCUGGAGACCCUUCCCGGUGCCCUGCCGGAGGGGACUUUGGAGUUGGAGGGCUUCUACAUCAACAUCAUCGCCUCUCCAAUGACCCGUGAGCAGUCCACUUCAGACCUACGGGUCCGUAGUUAGUAGCUAGAUGGCUUCUUCUCUCUCUUGGAUCUUCAAUACAAAGUUCUCCAUGAUCUUCAUGGAGAUCUAUUCGAUGUAAUCCUCUUUGGCAGUGUGUUUAUUGAGAUCCCAUGAAUUGUGGAUUUGUGAUCAGAUUAUCUAUGAUUUAUAUUUGAGUCUUUGCUGAUUUCUUAUAUGCAUGAUUUGAUAUCCUUGUAAGUCUCUCCGAGUCUUGGGUUUUGUUUGGCCAACUAGAUCUAUGAUUCUUGCAAUGGGAGAAGUGCUUGGUUUUGGGUUCAUACCGUGCGGUGACCUUUCCCAGUGACAGAAGGGGCAGCAAGGCACGCAUCGUGUUGUUGCCAUCAAGGGUAACAAGAUGGGCUUUCAUCAUAGAUUUGAGAUUGUCCAUCUACAUCAUGUCAUCUUGCUUAAGGCGUUACUCUGUUCUUAUGAACUCAAUACACUAGAUGCAUGCUGGAUAUCGGUCGACGUGUGGAGUAAUAGUAGUAGAUGCAGAAAGUAUCGGUCUACUUGUUUUGGACGUGAUGCAUAUAGAUAUGAUCAUUGCCAUAGAUAACGUCAUGACUUUGCGCGGUUCUAUCAAUUGCUCGACAGUAAUUCGUUCACCCACCGUCUACUUGCUUUCAUGAGAGAAGCCACUAGUGAACACUAUGGCCCCCGGUUCUAUUCACAACUAUCGUGUCCACUUUUACUUUUACUUUGCUUUGUUUACUUUUUGCUUUCAGUUCUCACUUUGCAAACAGUCUAUAAGGGAUUGGCAACCCCUUCAUAACGUUGGGUGAAAAGCUCUUUGUGUUUGUGAAGGUACUUGUGACUUGACUCGAUCCUCCUACUGGAUUGAUACCUUGGUUCUCAAACUGAGGGAAAUACUUACCGCCGCUGUGCUACAUCACCCUUUCCUCUUCAAGGGAACACCAACGCAAGGCUCCAAGGCCGCGGGGGAAUCCUUUGCAUAUUUGCCAAGGAAGUCCCUAUAGGCGUAGCUCGCAGCAGAAGGAUUUCUGGCGCCGUUGACAGGAAAGGUAUGUUGUCGCAGUAGCAUGGACCAAGGAAGAAACCUUCUAAAAGAAAUUAGGAUGGUCGACUACACUAGAAAAAAAUACUUGACAAGCCCUGCCAAAUCCAUGGAACCCAAAACAAGCCCGCUACUCACACCAACCAUAACUAUUGGGUGAUCAAGCAGGCGACCAAGAACAUAGCCGAGGACCAGGGCAAGAGUCCCCGCAGUGAGGACGAUGAGGAACCUCAUCAGCCAAACAACGGGGGCUAAAACCAGUGUCCCCCUGAAGUGAAAACCGUGAACAUGAUCUAUGACAUGCACAUACAAAAAAAGGAGAGGAAAUGUGCACUUCAGGACGUAUACGCCAUAGAGCAAGUACCCCUGAAGUACAACCCAUGGUCGGCAUGUCCGAUCACUUAUGACCGCAGUGAUCACCUAACAAGUAUUCGGCAUGGGGGUUCAGCGGCCUUGGUGCUCGAUCCCAUCGUUGAAGAGUACCAUCUCAGUCGAGUCCUCAUGGAUGGAGGGAGCAGCCUCAAUCUAAUUUAUGCGGACACAGUGAGAAAAAUGGGUAUUGAUCCAUAAAGAAUUAAACCCAGGAACACUACCUUCAAAGGUAUAAUUCUUGAAAUCGAGGCCCGCUGUUCGGGCACCAUAACUCUGGAAGUGGUGUUCGGUACGCCCGAUAACUUUCACAACGAAGACUUGAUCUUUGACAUUGUUCCCUUCCGCAACGGGUAUCAUCUAGUCCUCGGUCGAACAACAUUUGCUCGCUUUAAUGUUGUUCCCCAUUAUGCAUACCUCAAGUUUAACAUGCAGGACCUAAGGGUGUCAUUACCGUCAGUGGUAACACAAAGCGAUCCCUUCGAACAGAUGAACACAUUGCGGCUCUGGCAGCCAAAGUACAGGCUGGAGACAUGACUUUAUAGUCACAUCUAACCGUUAAGGAGCACAAACAAGCUCGCAGUCCGCCGUAGUUCCCAACCACCUCACAUGAUCAAACUAAAUAGGGAUACGCUCCCCAUAGCAGCACCUCGCCUCCAGCAAAAUACGUGUCCCAAAGGCACAAUUUUGCGCCUAAAUACCAUGGGCAGUUGUGAGGACUAAUUACAUGAGACCUUGUGUUUGGCUAAACCGAACUAUGGUCAUGAAUGUCCUCGGACACAUGCAAGUACUAUAAAGGACCAACUUUGCAUCAAGCUUCACACCUCGGCGGCUUCUCAAGACCAUCUUUGUUCAAGGACCGCUCGGCGACGUUCCCCCCCUUUCAAGGAGUACUUCCAGAAGGGUGAAGGUGCAGACGUGCAGCAGGGCAUCAUAAGGGAAAUCAAGCUAGCUAUAAAAAAACUAUGUGUAAACCUUUACCCUCUAAACUUCUUUUUUUCUAUCUAUAAAUAGUUGCUAGAUGAAUUUGUAUUGUACGGAUACAAGUUAGUCGGAAAUAAGGAACACUCUUUAUGGUUGAUUAGCUUCGUUACAUCUUUUUUCCUCCUUUGUUUUCUGAAUUGUUUCUCAAACACCAACAUAAGCAUGUUUUUAUACACAUGUUAUAUGCUAUUGGCUAAAUUGAUGGGGGGCUUGGCUAUCAUGGACGCCCUUAGAAUCAUUCAGAUGCUAUUUGGCAUUACAUGUGUGCGGAGUCUUGGAUUUGCGUUAUAUGCAUUGGUUUCAAAUUAUGUCCUGGGUCAAUAGUUGAGUUGCCCCGCUCCUAUGCUUCCCCUUUAUGUUCCGCUCGUUCGGCUAAAAGGGUAAAGGGAGAACCGCUACAAUUGUACUUCGAGUUGGUCUGGUUAAGUACCUCAGCGGAGAAAGCCGAAAACCGACUGUCAUAAUAAGCGAGAACUGGACUAUGAUCCGAGUACAAAUAUUAAAUUAAGAACCAUUGGAGGUUCAUGGCAUUACGUGAAGGUUUGAAGUCAUACAAACCAAGUGAUAAUAGGUUUUUACACCGCAGUAUAGCCGAACAUUACAAUUUGCAAGGGGGCUCCAAUUGGUCCCCGCAGUCAAGCUCCUAUGGUUAAGUGAAAGACUUAAAGCCACAUAUUCUGGAUGCCUUUAUUUCUCCCGCAUUACUACCCUAGGGCACCAAGACGUUGGCUAAGGGUAACAAUGCAGAAGUCGAAAACACCCCUGGUUGCAUCUAUCACGGGGUUGAAGCCAAUGAGUGGAAACUUUUAGGUCACAGCGACCACACAGGAGUUAAAAUUAAAAAGAAGAUAAGACAUGGUAUACCAUGCAAAAGUAAAUAGUACUGCAUCGCACAAAAUUCAACCAUUUUUACACGAUAAGGUUUUUCAUUCAAAGGUUACAUCUUUGGAGCACUACGCUUCUAUAGCCCGAGCACCUUCCAUUAUAGUGGAGAAGUAUAGCUAGGGGCGACUAUGCUCUUUUCCAAAUAGUGGAGGUGCGGUGGCCAUCUUGGAGGGUUCCACUUUUGUCCAAUUCAUCAUGGUUCUUGCAAAGGUCAUCCGAGCUCCCUCGAUGCAGGCAGAGCGCUUCAUGAUGUCAAUCUGGGGCGCAUAAGAAUCAGCUUAUGCACCAGGCCAAAAUAGCUGCUCGGCAGCGGCUAUGUCGGCCAAAUCCUGAUGCAGAGAUCCUUCAUUGUCGGCUCUGCCAUCUUGGGUAGCUCCAUCAGUUGUUUCAGCUGAUCGGAGACAAGGAGUUGCUCAGGGGCUUGAAACUGCGCCAAGAACAACCUUUGCUCGGCUUCACCCUCUUGGGAUGCAUAAUGCUUCGAAGCAUCAGUCGCACUCUUCGAGACAUCUGCAAGCGCUCCUGGAGAAUGCCACAUUCGAGUAAGCAAUGCAAACCUCUUUCCACCGAAAAUACACUAGAGUAAAUAUUUCUUACCAUCUGCAAUUUGCUUGAUCUGAUGGGUCUCCUUCCAAUGAUUGUGUGCCUACUUCCGUGCAUCUUGGAGUGUGCAGUUGCCGAGGACAGCUCGAAAGAUUUUUUUUUUCUUUAUUUUUCUGCUCAAGGACCUCAUUUUUAGUGAUGGCGUCCUAAGCUCUUGCUGCACCUCGGUGACCCUGGCCUCGUGCCUGGUGCUGGCACACUUGACCGUCAACAGGCCGGCUGCAGCCUUUUCAGCCACCACUCUCUGUUCGGCAGCUUUCUACUUGGCCUUGCAUAGUUCAGCUUUGAGCUUCUCGACGUUAGCAGCAGCGGCUAUGAUUGUAAUGCAAAUAAGUGACGCAUAAGGGCACAAAUAUUAACACCUCACUUUUUAUGUGAAAACUAAGUGUUCAAUGCUUACCUUGUGCGUCAUCAAACCGCUUAUUGAGGCGGUCGAGCUCUUCCUCAGAAACCUUCAGUUUCCGGUUCAUUUCCGCCUACUCCAUGGAGUUAGGGGCUGCUGCCGAGGUUGCGGCCUGCAGACAGGCAUUUUUAGACUCCCAAGUUCUCAGGUUUUUUAGAAAUCCUCUGCGAGGGUUUUUUAUCAUCCUACUAAAGUCUUGGGGGCUACCACCAACUUUUUUAGGGAUGUUUUCCAUACUACUUUGACCCCGGCAUGAGUUUUUGUAUAACUCGCACAGGGUUCGGGGACUACUGAGCAUAGGAUUGCUUAUAAACACUAUAAUAAACACAAUUACUUUCUGAAGAAAAAGAGUGUACGGAUUACCUUGAAGCCUGCCAACAGACCACCGAAGGCCUCUUUCAGACCGCUGUCAAUGGACUGAAUACUUUUCAAUACCGCACUCAGAUGAGCAUUGUGCUCUUCAGGGAUGGAAGAAUCAUUUAGACCCUCCUCCAUCAUGGAUGGGCACCCUGUUCGGAGUUGCUCUAUUGUGGAUGGCUCCGGGUGGGGCAUAGCAGUUUCUCUAUGCGAAAAAACUCCUACUGAUGGCUCUAGAGACUGAGGGGCCUCCGGAAUUGUCUUUGGAGGGGACCCAGAGUGUCGGGGCCCUCCUUCCUUUCUUGCCAGGAGGGAUUCAUCCUCCUGGUCCUUUGUGGCCGAGGUAUCAACCUCGUCCAUGAUAUGAUCACCUCUGACCUGGUUUCUAGCUCUAGGGGAUUCUCUCCAUAUACCACCUCUUCGAUCUUCUUGAUGGCUGGGGAAGGCAUAUCGUGUGAGCCAAUCCCGCUUUCCACCAGUUAGCUAGCACAGAGUCCCCUCUAAAAUCUGAUUGGUGGGGAAGUCACGCGGCGGGCUACAAUAUGGAAAAAGGCCUAAUUAUUAAAUCAUAACAUCUAAGAAGAUUGAUAUUUUGGAUUAUUGAUAAAUACCUUCGUGCUUGGGGUUUCACCGUGAGGGUCAUCCGAGGGACGAGUGCAUAAUCCUCGGACCCCUCGUCAGAGUCUGGAACAUCUUCGAAUAGGGUCAUGGGGGCCCUGGUUAUUUAUUUAGAGCAAUGGGAGCUAGAUAUCCCUCGACGUCUUCGGACUCCGCUCUCUUCCCCAUGUUGGAGGAGUCACUCUCCUCCUCCUCAUCUUCUUCUUCUCCCUCCAGAUUGGAUGGAGCCAACGUCUCCUCAGACCUGGUGUCCGGGGGAUCCUUUUACUGNNNNNNNNNNNNNNNNNNNNNNNNNNNNNNNNNNNNNNNNNNNNNNNNNNNNNNNNNNNNNNNNNNNNNNNNNNNNNNNNNNNNNNNNNNNNNNNNNNNNUGAGAGAAUAAUUAAAGAGAAGAAUUCUAUAUAUGUCUUGAAAAUAGGAUCAUGAUGAGCUCAUAUGUUGUAUCAUGAAGACAAGCAAGUUUUAGCCAUUAUGAGAUUCAUGGAGAAACUUGAUAUGGUCAUGCUGAAUUGAGAUAUUGGCAAUCAUUUCUUAAAGCAAUGGAGCCUAACAAGAAAUCAAUAGGGCCUUCAAGGCAUCAAGAUUAAUCAUGGAUCUAAGAUAAAUGUUGACCAAGAUGAAGAUCAAAGAGUUAACUCAAAGUUGGUCAUCACACAAGCGCAAAUGAUGUACAACAUGGGAUCCUGUGGUAUGGUAAGUAAUUGUCAAUUCCAUGUUGUGCACUAACCCAUACUAUGUGUUGUCUAUGUCUAUAAGGGUUAGGUAAUUCUCAUGGGCUCACAUCAAGAGAGAGAUUCCAAAUGUCCAUGAGAUGAAGAUAUCAAGGGUUCAUGACCAUAUUUGACAACCACAAGUUCAAGAUAACCAUUUCUAAGAAUUACAUGCUUGAAGCUUGUGGAUGUUCACAUGAUAGACAAAUGAAGAUGAAUACAAAGCAAGGCUUUCCACAUUGUGUAUGGGAGAGCUACUUGAAGACUUCAUCAAUCACUACUGGAAUCAGAGAAUUUGCCAUCAACCUGUUUUUUGCAGUGUGUUGGCUGAUGACAAAGACCCUCUUUGCCGUCAGCUUCCAGAAAGCUGACGACAAAGAUAAGGCUGAUGGCAAAGGGCAUUUUUGCCAUCAGCCACUGCUUUGCCGUGUGCUUGCUGAUGGCAAAGAAGGGUAUGGCAGACGGCAAAGGGCCCAGACCCCACCCUCCCACUUUGCCGUCUACCAGCUGAUGGCAAAGAGGGGACAUGCAGAUGGCAAAGAACAGGCGUAACGGUGAACACACCCCCGCCCCCCUACACCCCCUCUUUGUCGUCCGCCACGGACAGCAUAGCCUAACUACCCUAACGGUCGCCGUUAGCCCCCUCUCUCUCCUCUCUCCCACCUAACGGCCGGCUACCCCCACCUCGCCACUCUUUGUCUCUCUUAGCCGGCCACCCAUCUCCCUCGCCCUCGCUCCCAGCCUGCACCACCGGCCACCAAGCUCCCGCGUCGGCCACCCCUCUCCCCUCCCUCUCCCCGCGUCGGCCCCGCGCAUCCGGCGCACCUUGCUGUGCCCACCCCGCAGCCGGUGACCCUUCCGGCAAUCGGUGUCACUCCCCACAACCAGCGCUCCUCCCUGCACCCAGCGCCCCUCCCUGCAUCUAGAGCNNNNNNNNNNNNNNNNNNNNNNNNNNNNNNNNNNNNNNNNNNNNNNNNNNNNNNNNNNNNNNNNNNNNNNNNNNNNNNNNNNNNNNNNNNNNNNNNNNNNCGGCUCUGGCCGCCGCGGAUGGCAAGGCACGACCUCGGGGAGGGCCCCUCGAGGUGUCCAGGAGGACGGGGGAGCCGCGGGGGAUCUCUGGAGGGAAGGCCUAUGGCCGGACAGAUGCUGGUUGGCUCGGGUGCAAGGGGGGCGAGGCGGCGCCAUGGCCGUGGAGGGAGGAAUAAGAGAGCUUAGAAGAGGAAAGGGGAGCUCAAGGGGCUCCAGGGAGAGAGGGAGAAUGUGGGAGAGCAAGUGAGGGCUCAGGGGAGAGGAGAUAGGAGAGGGAAGGGCCCAGAGAAAUCAAGAGCUCUCUGGAGCUCUCGGUGCAUGGUCGCCACGCAUCCCUGAGGGGUCUUGGAGGCUAGAUGAUGGCGGGGGAUGGUUUGAACGGUCAAGGGGAGCCUAUGAGACACGCUGGGGCACACUGGCUCGGCUUGGUGUGGCCUGGAGGAAGGAGACAAGGCGCAGAGCGCCCAUACUGCAGGCCAGAGUGGUGGUCACCACGGCAUCCCGUGUCUACAUGGUCCCAAUGGCCAGUCCAACAUGUCUAGCACGUAAGANNNNNNNNNNNNNNNNNNNNNNNNNNNNNNNNNNNNNNNNNNNNNNNNNNNNNNNNNNNNNNNNNNNNNNNNNNNNNNNNNNNNNNNNNNNNNNNNNNNNAUCAUUGCAUUGAGCUUGACCCUACCCCUUGAGGGUCAUGUUAUACCAUGUUGACAAGUAAAGAUAGAGCAUAUUAUCAUGAGCAUAAUGAUGAGUUAAAUCAAGAGUUUAUGAAAACCCCAUCGGGUGCCACUAAUGCCCGAGGGUGAUGAUGAGUUGGUGAUCACUUUUGGUGAAGUGAUGCACCGGGUAUUUUGCGUGUGUGGUUUCGGAAAUGGGAUUAGAUUUCUGAUGUGUCGACCGUCCCAACCUUACCAGUACGACCACGAUACCCCUUUAUGGGACGGGGCUUUGUUGACUACUCUGGUCGGUACUAGCAAAGAGCCACAUUACUAGUGGCGGGAGUGAUCGGUGUCACUCUCGUGAUGGGGUCGUGCCAGGUAGGACGACUAUGCCAUUAUUAUGAGUUCCAGGCACACCGUUGGUCCCUGCAUGGUUGAUACANNNNNNNNNNNNNNNNNNNNNNNNNNNNNNNNNNNNNNNNNNNNNNNNNNNNNNNNNNNNNNNNNNNNNNNNNNNNNNNNNNNNNNNNNNNNNNNNNNNNNNNNNNNNNNNNNNNNNNNNNNNNNNNNNNNNNNNNNNNNNNNNNNNNNNNNNNNNNNNNNNNNNNNNNNNNNNNNNNNNNNNNNNNNNNNNNNNNNNNNNNNNNNNNNNNNNNNNNNNNNNNNNNNNNNNNNNNNNNNNNNNNNNNNNNNNNNNNNNNNNNNNNNNNNNNNNNNNNNNNNNNNNNNNNNNNNNNNNNNNNNNNNNNNNNNNNNNNNNNNNNNNNNNNNNNNNNNNNNNNNNNNNNNNNNNNNNNNNNNNNNNNNNNNNNNNNNUGCUUAAACUACGUCCAGCGUUUCCGCAUAAACCAAGUGUGUGUGUGUGAGUUCGGUGAAUGGUGUUAAUAACCGGAGUUACUUGAGGAAUUGAUAUGACCAAGUUCGGUGACUUGGUAUAUAGGGUGAACCCGGUGUGUUCAACCCUUGUCAGAUAUGUCGAUAUCUGUAACCUGUUCUUCAAGAGUAAUUCUUUAGCUUGAUGCAUAUACAUGAUCAUUCCACCCAGAUGAGUUACACUAAAGAUGCAUGAUAUUGUUAUCCUUCACUUUCAUUGUUCGUAUCAUGGGCUGUUUGCGAGUACAUUCAAAGUACUCAUUGGCUUGCCACUGGUUAUUUCAUUGACNNNNNNNNNNNNNNNNNNNNNNNNNNNNNNNNNNNNNNNNNNNNNNNNNNNNNNNNNNNNNNNNNNNNNNNNNNNNNNNNNNNNNNNNNNNNNNNNNNNNCUUCCUCCUCUUCGUCCUUCCUUUUCUUCUUCUUCUUCUUCUUCUUCUCCUCGUCUUCUUCUUCUUCUUCAUUUCCUUUUUCCUCUUCUUCUUCUUCUUCUUCUUCUUCUUCCUUCUUUUCCUUUUUCCUCUUCUUUAUUCUUCUCCCCUCUCCUCCUCCUCCUCCUCUUCUUCUUCUCCUCCUCCUCCUCCUCCUCUUCUUCUACUUCUUCUUCCCUUAUCUACUUAUUCUUCUUUUAUUGUUCAUAUUUUCUAGUUAUUUUAAUUAUGACCAAGUGACUAAACCUAGCACUAAACAGCAAAAAAUAACAAAAACAGAAUAACCACUAAUUAACUAAGAAAGAAUCAACCACUAACUAACAAAACACAAUCUACCACUAAUUAACAAAAACAGCAAAAAAUAACAAAUAACCUAGCAGUAAUUAACUAAACCUAGCACUAAANNNNNNNNNNNNNNNNNNNNNNNNNNNNNNNNNNNNNNNNNNNNNNNNNNNNNNNNNNNNNNNNNNNNNNNNNNNNNNNNNNNNNNNNNNNNNNNNNNNNNNNNNNNNNNNNNNNNNNNNNNNNNNNNNNNNCUAAACCUAGCACUAAAUCUACUAAUUAACUAAAUCACUACUAAUUAUCUAACCUACCAACUAAACUAUAUAUACCACUAAAUCUAUUAAUUAAAAAAACAUAUUCACCUUGGGUGGGCAGCUGGGGUGGUGGGGGCCGGGGCGGUGGGGGUGCGGGGCGUUGGGGCGCCAGCGAUGGCACGGGCGCCGAAUGCGGGGAAGGGCGCCGGGUGCAGCGAGGGNNNNNNNNNNNNNNNNNNNNNNNNNNNNNNNNNNNNNNNNNNNNNNNNNNNNNNNNNNNNNNNNNNNNNNNNNNNNNNNNNNNNNNNNNNNNNNNNNNNNGCUGGCGAUCGCCUCGCCGUCCCUUUCGGCGCAUGCAUCCCCGCACAAAUGUCACCCGCACGGCGCCCCCCGCUGCCCCNCAGACGCAGGCGCGCCGUUUCCCAGCGGCUCCACGUCACCCUUCUGCGGCCCUUUUUCGCUUUGCUUGGUGCAGUCCGGGACGUGCGCCGAAGGAUUUCGUGAGAGCAAGAAUCCAUUUCCGUCGUCACGCUCGGGCACAUAGCGCGCCGCUCUUCUAAUCUAAUAAAAGCAUCCGGUUUCCUCGUCUUAGAAAAAGAGAAAUCUAUCCAUCCAUCUAUCUGCCGCUGCCGGUAGCCACCGCCCGCUCCCUGCCCGCGUCUCUCGUCUUGUGUGUAUAUAUAAAUGCUCAGGGGCUCCCUGAUCCCCAAUUGUCCCAGGGCGGCCCCUCUCCCCCAACUCCAUCCUUAAACCCCCCAUAAGCCUUUUCUCUUUCCUUUCACUCUUCUAUCUACUCUUUGCACUUUCUCCGACUCCGGGAACCACACACGGCGAGGCGAGGAGGCGUCGGAGCUCGCUGCCGUGGCGGCGCAACUCCGCCGGUGGAGUCGAGUCGAGUCUGGGUCUCCCUAUAUCAAACUGCCUCUGCAGGUAAGACCAGCCCUUUCGCUUGAUGCAGGCAUGCAGUUAGUCUCUUAGUUUGCUAUACGUUUGCCUCGAUCUGUUAAUUACUUCUCCCCCCGUGCCAGUUAGCUAGCUACCGAACGAUCGCUAGCUGAUACAGCUAGUCAUACGGAUUACGGAGACAUCUUCUUCUUCCUCUUGCUUGGCUUAACUUGGUAUGGCGCCGGCAGACUUUAAGAGCAUAGCUGCACACCAGCCAUGGCGGUCUUGUCACCGUCCGUUCUUUGAGAGAGAGAGAGGGAGGGGAAACGGAGGAGCAGGCGGUGGCGUGUGUAUGGCGCGAGGUACAGACGCGUAGACGGGGGGGGAGCGGGCGAGGGCUCUCCCUACAGCUGGCUCCUGGGUGGACAUCUAGCUACGUCGGCGACCGGAUUAAUUAGCCACGACCCGACCCCGACCCCGACCAGACGAGGCCUUAAUUAAGCGCCAGGGUGGUUGAUUAGGCGCCGGAUAUAUACGCACACACACGAACAUAAACAAGCACCCCGGCCCGUGAUUGCGUCGCGACGAGGCAAGUACGUACUCAGCACUCAGCAGCAUUCAUCACGGCCGGCCGGUAGACCAGUGACAAAACGUACUCUUAUGGAGUACAAACACGCAGUAAUGCUAAUUCCGAAAGAAAAAGAAAAAGGCAACAGUGGGUGCAGUACUGUGCUACACCAUGGCAUGGAGACACGAGGGAAGGGAAAGCCCUACCGCUCGAGCGCGUGCGUGCAUGCCAUGCCAUGCCAUGCUAGUUGACAAAUUCGUCAAUCAUGGUUUCUGUUACCAGCAUCGCAUCAUCGACGGGACAAAGCGCCUUGUCCUUUCUUCUUUCCCAGCUUCCUUCCACACUUCAUCCACCUGCUCGCUCCUCCCUUUUCCUCAUCCCAUCUCAUCUCAUCUCCCACAAGUAAAGAAAAAGUGUGUACCAAGCCAUGCAUGCAUCCAUACAAAAGCCCAUAACAUCUUUACAGCAAAAAGUGAAACCAAAGCUAGCCAGCCGGUGAAAUGACAGAAACCAAAGUAAUUUCCCUAGUGUAAACAGUAGGACUACACUACUCCUAGAGUUGCAUCGCUGCUUUUCCAAAUGGGAUGAUCAAGGCAUGCAGGUGCGGCGCCCUAGCAAGCAGCUAAAUUUGACAGGGUCCAAACAAAGCCCGUUGCUCCUGUACUUAGUCAAUGGGCCUGUAGCCCGAUUGAAUCAUCCCCGGAAUGGUGCACAAAUGGAAGGUAGCUGCGGGGUACACCGAUGUCACUGCACGCUGGCCACCCUGAACUAUACAUUAGCUGGCACCUUGUUGUCUUCCUUCCUUCCCAACCGAAGGAUGGGGCCCCCGGACUGGCCGGCCGGGACGUGAUGACGGAGUGUACUCCUAUGCUGGCCACCUAUGUGGUGGUGCUCAUGCUAGUUGAUCGUCACCAGCCAGAGGCAGCCACACGCGCAAGGACGUCGUCGAUCACCUUUGUUUCUACCGUCGGAUCGAUCGAUGGAGAUUGAUCAUUUAAGUUCGUUGCCUACCGUGCAUGUACAAAUAUUGUGCUGUAAAGUGCAAGCUCUCAUAGUAUGUACUCCCUCCGUUCCUAAAUACAAGUCUUUUAAGAGAUUUCACUAAAUGACUACAUACAUACGAAGCAAAAUAAAUUAAUCUAUACUUAAAAUUAUGUCUAUAUACAUCCGUAUGAGGUCUGGUAGUGAAAACUCUAAAAUGACUUAUAUUUAGGAACAGAGGGAGUAAUACACAUGUUUUACAAUUAUUAUUUUGCGAGCGUACAUUGGUACUCCCUAUGUUCGGGUUUAUAAGACACAUUUCUUUCUUAAAAAUGAUCACUAAUUUGAUAUUCAGUGUCAUAAAUUAUAAUUUCGAAUCUGGUUUUAGAGCUAUACUUUUUGUGGACAUAUAUAUAGCCAGUUUUUAUUUAUUGAAAUAAUGGUCAAGUUUUUAUAUGUAUGAGUCUUACAAACCCGAACGGAGUGAGUAGUUACAUUGAAAUAAAUUGAGAAACUAUAGGUAAAAUGCAACGAUUCACUGCGCAGGUGCAUCUGUGUCUAGGCGAGUAGGCAUGAAUUGCAGAAUCAUUUAAAAUAGUAAAAAAAUAUGAAAUGUUUUGGCUUUUAAGAUGCUCGAAUGCAUCAUGUGUUUGCAAAGUUCGUGAUGUUUGAACAUUCAAGGUGGUUGUGGCAACAAAAUAUAAAAUUUGGUCGUGAAAGGAACUUCAAAAAUAUACAUUGUUUGGGCCCGUUUCGGUCUUAUUUUUUCCUUGAACUCCUUGAAUGUCCACACACCCCGAAAAUUUGCAUGCUCCUUACACACUCACACAUCAUCGAUGCAAAAAAAAAUACUAGUCUUUUUAUUAUCUUAUUUAUUUACCAUUCAUCAGGUGUAGAUGAUCUUGGGCUCAGACCUGAAUUACCGUUAGUUUACCAUUAAUACUCGGGCUUCAGUUCAUUUUUAACACACGGUGGACCCAACAGUUCUUAGGACUAUUUCUAUCAAGAUGAACAUCAUAUUAAAAAAAAUGAGAUUCAUGGGCACUAGCACCGAAGACAUUUUUAUAGAAGAAAUUAACUCAGUGAGAUCGCGGAAAUUUAAUUUCCUCUCGACGGGAGUAGAACCCCGAUCUGCAAGGUAACACCACUGCGUCCUUGCCACUGAACAUAAUAUUGAGUUUCAUGCAUGAGACAUAUUCCCUCCGUUCCAUAAUAUAAGAGCGUUUUUAACACUACACUAAUAUCAAAAAUGUUCUUAUAUAAUGGGACGGAGGGAGUAAUUAUAACUGUGUAAUGUGCAUAAUAUUCUUCGUAACACAGUACACAUGCGUCUGUAACCAAGUGCUCAUGAUAUCCCUGCAAGUGUCCUUGCAAGUGUUUCGGACCCGCACCGCCGCACGUUAUCUGGUGCUGAUAGAUAAGGAUGAAACUAGAUUAUUAAUUAGCUUUGACCCGGCCUGCUUCCUGAUAACGUUGGUUAGCUCAACUGGGUAGAGAAGACCUCUUAAUCUCGUGAUAAGGUUAAAGUAUAGACUGCGAAUAGGAGUACAACUUUUCUUUGCCCUACCCCUCUGUAACUCAAUUUAGUGGUCAUUCUGCCUGACGAAGAAGAAACCUUCAGAUAAGGGCCAAAGAAGAAGCUUCAGAUAAGGGACAAGUACCCAACUGGCGGCAUUAGAAGCGGACAAAGUUGUCAAUUGAUGAAAGAUUGCACGCGGCCGCUUGGGAAAUGCAAGUUGGCAGCCAAGGAAUACUAGGCCAGCACUCGUACCAAAAUUUGGAGGGCAGUUGAGUACCAAUCCAGAGAUUCCAUUUUCCCUGGUACAGUUUGGAUUGUUUAGUUUCCAUAGAACAAAAAGUUUCUGUCUUUCGGCCGGAGAAAAGAAGGAUUCUUGACGCUCAUGAUACCUUUGACCGCCCCUUGUCAUGCCGUUCCAUUACUGUUAAUUGCGUAGCAGUUGAGUAGGAGCUCAUAAAAAAACUAAAGCUAGGUUUUGUUUGUCUGAGACUGAAACCUGGAUAGAAUAAGGGAUGGUGAUUUCCAUGAAACCGACCUCUGAACCAACGAGUACAGUUGUAAAAGUCAGCUUUUACUCCGGACCGAAGUCAUACAGAAACGCUCCUGGUUUUCAGCAGGAAAAAAGGGGGCGGACGCAUAGCCAGCAGCAGUAGCCCGAGAGGAAGAUGAUGAUGACUCAAGUGUCCAAUCACAGCAAGAGGAACCACACCGACAGCUACUUCAGCGGGGGGGGGGGGCAGGCCGUCGCCACCGCCGCCACCACCACCAGCGGCUCGGAGGAGUUCGGGGGCAUGGGGUCCAAGAAGCCCAGGAACG
rnacentral:lncRNA from 1 species